UUUUUUUUUUUUUUUUUUGUUACAAAAGAGAGAGGUGCAUCCUCUUAAACGUUUACCCCUAAGAUGUCCGCUCCAAGAAUUUCCUCAAGUUCAGUUGGAGGCUCUCUAAAGAUCUGCAUGCAAUCCUGGUUCUCUGCAGAUGCUGCCAUUGGCAGACCAGUCAGCACUUUGAUCCAUUUUAUCAAUGCAUUUGUAACUGAAACUAGAGUUCUAUCUACAACAAGUUGUUUACUAAUUUCUCUCACUAGAGAGAAGUUGAUGAACCAACUGCUCCUUAGUCUUGACUCUUCAGGGCCAUGUACAGAGGUCAUUGUUUCUCCUUGUCAACUCUGCGGAUAUAAAGCAAAAUGCUGUUGAUUUACACAGAAAAGCACCAAACUGAUCUUUCCUGUACUCAAAGGAACACAAAAAGAUCAUACAAGAUGCACUGACAUAGGGCUUCGGAAAAGAGGAAGAUUCUGUUUAUGUAUUUGACAAGAUGAUAGAUCGAUAGGAUACAGCCAAGCACCAAAGCUGAAAGCACUUGCAUGAGUUCCACUCGAUAUACAUUAUUGAUUAUUCACAACAACCACGAUUUGCUUCGCAAAGAUUGCACGAGUAUACUAGACAAAACCAAAGCACAAACCUUGAAAAGGGCAAUUCCAGAUGAUAUACAUUAUCCACGGGUCACUGCUACCAGCUGCUUCCCAAUGUUGCGCCCUGAGAAUAGCCGUAUCAGAGCACUUGGGCCAUUCUCGAGGCCUUCAGCUAUAUCUUCCACAUAACUAAUCUUCCCUUCUUUAAUCUGUGGGAUAAUCAUUUCCAGGAACUUAGGAUAGAGAUGGUAGUAAUCAAACACUAGAAAUCCUUCCAUUCGAAUUCGCUUGGUGAGUAGGCAAAGCAGAUUGUGAAUUCCUUCCGGAUGCUCAAGGUUAUAUUGCGAAAUCAUGCCACAGGCAGCAAUGCGGCUGUGGACGGUCAUGUUUAGAAGCACGGCAUCAAGCAUCUUUCCACCUACAUUCUCGAAGUAAAUAUCAAUACCAUCUGGAAAAUACCUGCAAAAUCAACAUUCGAGUCAGAAGCCUAUUCUAGCUGUAGAAAAUACCAAUAUAAUUGCAGAACACCUUGAUGUCAUGCACAGAAAGUAGUUUGAAUGACACAAAGAAACAAGAAACUAUAAAUGCCAACUUUGAGAUGAAAUCAAUCUGAGAAUCUGAAAAAUCCAUUUUGAGCUAGAAAUACUGCUCAGUGGCACAUCAACAUGAACUAUACUGCUCCACAGCCGCAUUUAAAUCCUGCCAGAUUAAUUCCUCAUUAAUCCCACUAUUAUUGAAAGCUGACCUUUCCAGAGCCACAUUUAAAUCUGCCUCUUCUUUAUAGUUGAAAGCUUCGUCAAACCCCAACUUGUUCUUCAAUAAAUCAACCUUAACAACAAAAAACAAAUGUCAAUAGCAGCAAAAACAAGCAAAGUGAGUUAGUUGAUCUUUUAGGCUUUUGGAUCCACAUAUCAGAAUCACCAGAACACUUUUCUGUGAGAAACAGUAAUUAUACCAAAUACCUGAAGCAGGUCACUAGGUACAUGGGGCAGUAAAAAAUUUGAAUCUGAAACAUAUUGUGAACUGCAAAGCUAAGGAAUGUCCUAAACAUAGUUCACAUUCCAAUUCGGUUUCUAGAAGCAUCUUCAGGAUAACAAGUAGUUCCAGGACAUACAUAGGUUUAUCUAGCUUCCACUUCAACAGGCCUGGCACGAUGUUUGAGAAUUCUUAGCCAAGGAAAAAUGCAAUUCGUCCACAUAGAUACUCAAAAACUCAUCACUUGGCUAUGGGAUUCCAACUUUAGCUCAUAUCAAUCACACUAAAUAUUGAACAUGAAAGAAUUUUGAAUGUUUGGAUGGACAGACAUUUUAGCAGAACUACGACAAGCUUGGCUAUCAUCUAAAUGCAGAGUUAUGACAAGCAGGGUAUUAUCAGCUCAAACAGUUUCUCACCCCAACCUGGAAUUAGGAGAAACUUAUGGAGUGGACUUCUCAAUGCACUGACCUUCUCUUUGCUUCCAGCACUUCCAACAACAUAGCAGCCAAAUAGCUUUGCAAAUUGCCCAACAAGUUGGCCAACUGCUCCAGAAGCUGCUGAAAUAAAGACACGUUCUCCCUUCUUCGGAGAGCACACCUCAAAAAAACCAGCAUAAGCAGUCAUGCCAGGCAUACCUGUUAGCAACUCAAAGCCAAUUAGAGAACCGAUGGAGAUAAUAAGUGGGCCCAUGCAGGGAGGCCGGUUGAAACUAUCACUUUGCAAGUAAUUAAAGGACAAGAUUUUGCACAAUAAAUCACAUAAAUAUUUCUUCCAGUACGAUAAAAAUUUCUUCAAUAUAGCAGAUUGAGACAUUACAAAUAACGUAGUUCAAGAAGCUGCAAUUACUGUAUACCUGAAUGAUCAGUUAGUGGAACGUCAUUUAGGGAAAUUCGUGAUGAGAGCAAGAGACUAAAUGAAAAAAUGACUAGAAGAUUGGAUUACUAGCUCAAGGUGUUUAUGCCUGAGCAUCUGCUGUAGGCAGAACUAAUAAAUUACAGGACCCCUUUCUUUUUAAAGACCAUAAGAUUUCACUAUCACGAAUUGAAAAUGGCAGGGACUGUGGAGGAUAGAAAGGGAAUGAGAGUCUAUCUGACCUUUAAUGUUCAUCAUUAUUCUUCACGAUAAACUAUUGCUGGAAAAAGGAAGAAUGCUCCUCUUUUAAACAUGUUAACCUGCUGCAUAAUAUUUCAAUUAUGCUCUCUCUCUCUCUCCUCCCCCCUUUACGACAGGUAAAGCUUGUUAUGGUUUACAGGAAAUCAUUAUGUAAAAAGGGAUAAUAUCAGAAACCUCCCCAGAGGUUUGUCUUAAUAUCACCUAUCACCCCUAAGGUUUUAAAAAUAUCACUUACCUCCCUUACUUUUGUUAUUUGUUUAACAAAAUUUUUAAAAACCCUAAACUACUCUUUCACUUGCUAAAUAAAAAUUUUCCUAAACCACUUUGUUUCACUUGAAGAAAACCAUCACCUCAAAAACAAUCUUUUGUAGUAUUACCACAUCAUAAUGCUAUAGCUCAUAAAAAUAUAAAUUUGAAAAAUAAAAAAGAAAUUUGAAAAGAAAUACACUUGCAUCAAUUUAACUCUAUAUGUUCAAAACUGAUUUCUUAUGAAUUUAUAUAUUUUUUCCAACAUCUUCUCAACCCUUGCUCAAACCAUUAAACUGUACCAAUCAUUAUAAAAAUCAACUCAAAAUAAGCAAUCUUUUGUAGUAUUACCACAUCAUAAUGCUAUAGCUCAUAAAAAUAUAAAUUUGAAAAAUAAAAAAGAAAUUUGAAAAGAAAUACACUUGCAUCAAUUUAACUCUAUAUGUUCAAAACUGAUUUCUUAUGAAUUUAUAUUUUUUUUCCAACAUCUUCUCAACCCUUGCUCAAACCAUUAAACUGUACCAAUCAUUAUAAAAAUCAACUCAAAAUAAGCAAAUAAAUCAUACCCUACUUCAUCAUAAUCACAAAAGGUAAAAGACAAACAAAAUUCAAUUUAUUAUAAUUUACAAAUAAAAUAUUGCAUAGUCAUCCAAAAAAUGAGUUAGAGAGAAUGAUGGAAAAAAGGGAAAAAAGAAGAAAGUGACAUUCGUUUCUUUUUCUUUUUUUUUUGAGCUCCAUUCAUUUGAUAUGUUGUGAAUUAUGUGUCAAGUGAGGGUGAAUAUAGUCUUUUUACAAUUACUAGGGGGAGGUAAGUGAUAUUUCUAAAAACCUGAGGAGUGCCAAGUGAUAUUAAGAGAAACCUCAAGGGAGGUUUCUAAUAUUAUCCCUUAUUUAAAAAUACCAAAUUACACUUGAACACAAACUUCCAUUGGAGAGCUACUAUUUAUGUCGAUGCUUGGAUAUCUGGGUGGAUUCUCUGAAAUUGCAUCAUAAUUAAGACAACACAGGGAAGCAAAAUAUUAGUUUAUUUCAUCAUUAUUGACCAAUCAAAGAAACACACUCUCACUAUUGAAAAAAUGAAAUGUUUGUGAGAAACUUACCCAGGAUGCCUGUAUAGUAGGACAAAGGCACAUCUGUGUGCUGAAUCUUAAAGAGACCCUCUGUGGAAGUGAUAAUGCUGUACUCUUCCCAUGUAGUGAUUCCCCACACCAGAUCACCUUUCUUAAAAUUUGGAUGACUAGAAUCCAAAACUUCAGCAACUCCAUAUCCCACUAUAGGCUACAACGAAAGCAAUGGCAAGAAGUUAUGAUCUUGACUUACCUUUGUCCUCUCUCAAUUGAAUCAUUAACCACUGUUGACAGUACCUAUCAUGCUGAUAAUAUAUUCUUGCAAUCAGUUAAAUAAGUCUUACAAGAGGACCUUUCUACUGGAUAUAACAGAUUACAAUCAACUUCAACCAUAGUCAGUUAGGCAUACCAUAAAAAAUGUAACUUGGAGCACCCAUAUUAGACAACUUUCAAUUGCCGAUCUUCACACAGGUAUCCAGUUAAUAUGGACCACUAAAAAUGCCAAAAAUAAAUAAUAUAUGCACAAGCAUUAUGUGCUUGCAAGAUCACAAAAUGGAAAGCCAUUGAUGGAAAGAGCUCCUGAAAGAAUCUCAAUCACUAAACUGCAACCUGGAUUACCAACCACAACCUGCUAUUAGAGUCACCUGUAACCUAGAGGUGAUUAUGCACUACCAAUCCGAAGUUAUGAUGUUAUAUCAUAUCUGAUAACUUAAGAAGCUCUAAAAAACACGUGUUAUCCUUUUCUGAAACAUUUACAUGAUGUGAAGCUAAUUAUAAGCAAGUUUUUUCUCCAAACUGUAAAUUGAAUCUUUAAGUAUUUUGCCGCAUCAUUUCACACAUGAUGACCUUAAAGACUCAAUCCAGUUUUUUGAUGGUUCUUAAAACAAAAGCAUAUGCAAACCACUGCCUCUUGAUUUCACGUUGCUGUAAUUGUUCAUUCCUUAAAUUCAACAUUGGCCAAGUUCAAUGAAUAACAACAGGCUCUCAAUAAUGGUCUUCGGAAAUGAAACAGACUUACAGAGCCUCAAAUAAAGGACUCAACAUAGCUUCCCUCGAGUUUCAGCAUACAAUUUCUCAUGUGAGGAUCACAGGACAAAUACAGAUUCUUCACUAGCAAAAAUUAUCAGAAUCUUCUGGGAGCUUCAGCCUUAUGGAACAAGGUGCAAAAAUCAUAUCGGUUGUUGGUGCAAUAUUUACAGCUUAUGGGCAGAUAGAACUUUUCGGCAGCAUUCAUUAGAGCCCGAUCAAUAAUCGGCAUAAUGGCGAUAUUCACACACCUGUUGGCAUCCACAAACAUAUGCAGAUACAUGCAGAUAUAAAAAGGAGAAAGGAACCAGAUUAUGCUAACCAAUUUAUCAGAAAUCAUGCAUCAGAUCAUGGUCGUAAAAAUCAGGGACGUGGGAGUUAUAAAUUCCUAGAGGUAAGGAAGUGGGUGAUUCCUGCUACCCACGUUUCAGCUGAUAUGGCUGGCAUGGUAGGAGGUUAUCUAAGAGGUGGACCACUAAAUCAGCAAUAAACCAUGAGCUCAGGGAGUGGAACACCAAACCAGCCAUGAUUCCAUAAGACGUGGAAAUGGCUCUAUCAGCAACAUCUACCACCACAAAUCAAGAAGCAAACUAUAAAUACUUGGAGAUUACAUCAGAACAUUUACGAACUCUCAACAUGACAAACAACUCAAAGAAAUUCUCUAAAAAAUAGUAGUUUUCAUGGGAAAAUGCUCUCAAUUUAGAAACGUUCAUAGAUUCUUUAGGCUAGCUUUAGGAUUUCCCAAGCUUUCUUGCAAUCAUUUCCCUUUCGUUUAACCUUUCCAUUUCAUGUUUCCAAGCAGUUUUUAUAUUUCAAGCAAUCUUUAUGUUUCCAAUCAAUUGUUGAAUUUCCAGUGUUUCAAACUUUAAUUCCUUUAUCAGUUUAUAAAUUAGUUUUCUUUCCCAUUGCUUUCUUUAUCAGUCACUUGUCAUGAAUUUCAAGCCCUUGAGGCUACUGAUGGCAGAUGGACAACAGUGGUCUACAAGUCAGAGGGCACAUCCUCUCGCUUACAGAUAUCAGCUCAUUUUUCAUCAUUUACCUGAUCAAAUCAGGUGGCAUGCUUGCAACAACUACAACAUCGACGUCAGUUCGUCAGCUGCCAAAAAUCAACGCAAACAGGGCUCUUUGGGAAGACCAUUUACAUACUUUUUCAUUAUCACCUGGGCGUUACUCACGUCCUCUGCCUCUACCAUUUUCAAGAAACUCACUAAUUAUUAGAUAAAAAUGAUCUUCUCUAGCUUUCAGUCUAAAGCAAGCUCUUCAUUUCUGCUUAUUUUCACUUUCAAGUGAUUACCUACCCAAAACAACUCCUUUUAUUCCGUAAUCUCAUUCUAGGAUAGUGGUGCAAAGCAACAGAAGUUUUGAACAGAGUAUCUUUAACAUAAGAUCCCUACAACACGGAAUAAUCUUAAGCCGACAACUCAUUCACCUAGAUUAAUUUCAACAUGAUUUUUUAGUAAAAUACCAACCUGCAUGUAUAUCACUUUUCUGGACCUCGAAAAUUGCUUUUAUUUGUAGUCCAUUGGUUUCUAUUAUUCUUGUUUUUCAUGACCUUCUCAAUACUUCCCUUGUUUGCUUUUGAACAAAGUCUUGGAGGAUGGAAUUGGAAGGUCACUGGCCCAAAAAGGGCAAUCAAACAAAAGAACAAUAAGAUAGUCAUCCAAAAGUACUCACAGCAACCUCCCAAAAAAAUUUCACAAUUAAUAUUAAAAAAAAUUAUCCAAAUCUAUAUACUUAUACUUACAGAGCCAGGAUUGAAGGACUCCAAGUUGACGCCUUCGAUCUUGCCUUCCAUCUUGCUCAUGCCGUUUGUCACGUAAGUGUAAGGUUCACAAGACAAGUAGAGAUUUUUCACCAAAAUUGCGCCCGAAGAACCUCCCGGAAGCUUCAGCUUCGUUCUGGCGGUCCUGAUUUCCAUAUCGCUCUCCUUCGGAGAACCCCUGACGCAGUGGUUCAGUAUCACCUGCUUGUUCUCCACUUCCUCCCGUUCCGCCAUUUUUCCUCUCAAAGCUGCUCUCAACUGAGCUGAAAAUGGCGCGAAGUAGCAACUAGCAAUGCACACGUAUCCUGUAUUGUUACUUCCACCAGUUCCUUAAUCUUCUCCGUACUAAAUAAGGAGAAAUCCCUAAUUUUAAGAUAUGCGGGGUUUUGUGUCAAAAAAAAAAAAAAAAGAUAUGCGGGGUUUGAAACCUUUUAGUUUUUGAAUAUUAAUAAAUUCAUGCUCAUACAUUUCUGUUUUUUUUUUCUUUAUAUAUUCAAAUAAACCGUUUUUGUUUUUCUUUUGAGUGUGGGUUUUGCUUUUUAUUUUGCAAAAUUAUGAAAAAUGAAUUUUUAAGUUAUUAUCCAUUGAUCUUGAAUUUCCAAAUAUUACCUGAUCUCAUAAUUGGAUUAGUGCUUAUUAUAAAUCCUACUCCUCCCGUUUCACUAAAAGUGUCAUACUUUCUAUUUUAGGAUAUUUCAAAACAUUUGUCAUAUUAAAAAAAUCAAAGCACAUUUUAGUCUUUCUUUCUAAUAUAGCCCUUCUUUUUAAUCAUAAACAUGUUACCAUUCAAAUUUAAAUUUUGAAUUUGUGAGAGUAAAAUUGGAAAGAAAACACAAACAUCAACCACUAUUCUUAAAAAGUUGGAUUUUCAAAACAUAACUACAUAAUUGGGACGAAAAGAGUAUUUAAAUUCAACCACUUCCCUUUUUUCUUUCCUAACAAACGUUAACAGCUUUUAUGUAUCAAACUCGAUACUACAAUUACAAAAAAAAAGGGGCCACUACCCUCAUCUCCCUUCUUGCUAUUUCUAAUAGCCAUAUUGGGACAUCACAUUCCUAUUCUAUGUCCUGGACUAGUUUUACUGCAAACUGAGCUAGUUCAUGACUGCGUCUGUUUUACGCUCUAUUUGCAAAAGAAAAGCUACAGCAUUGAAACCACUGGCUUAAAUCCUGAAUAUCCUCUAAGAUAAUUUCAAUGUUGUAGUUAUUUACAUUGCAUGUGUUGAUUUGAUCCGCCACUGAUUUGAAGUCUGUGUAGACCUCUAUUUUGGUCCACCCUGCAUCUUUGGCCAUUACUAAGGCAUUUGUUAUAGCUAAUGCAUCCACCAUGCUGGCUUCACUCAUUCUCUGAUGUACUAUCCCUUUUGUCUUCACAAUUUUUCCUAUCGAAUAUUUUGCUUUUAUUCCUUACCCAGUUCUUACCAUUCUUGCCGAUAUUGCUGCAUCAGUAUGCAACCUAAUCACUCCUUCCAUUAGUGGCUCUCUCUUGAUCUAUUUUUGUUGUUGCACAACAGCAUUGACUAGUUCUUCACUUUCAGUUUCCUUCGCCUGUUCAUAUUCCAUCCAAUCUUCUUAUGCCUUUUGCACAAUCUUGUUUGGGUCUGGAUUGAUUUUCUCAAAACACUUUUUUGUUCCGAACUUUCCAGAUUUGCCACAAUAUAUUGAUAGUAAUGUUGAUCCUGUCUUGACCAUGGUCCAUUGAGCUUGCUUACAUUGCCAUUUCCCACCAUUUCCACAAGUUGUGAUGUACUUUUAGCCCCUCCCAUUUGAUUGGAGGCAGUUUUAAGACCAACUUAGCAUUUGCACAAAAAAAGAACAUAUGCUCUAUAGCUUCAAAUUCUUCCCUACAACAAUCACAUCUUCCAUCCCUCUUUCCUAGACUUCUAAAAAUCAUAUCAUUAACCGGGAUACAGUUUUGCAGACAUUUCCACAUAAAGUGCUUCAAUUUUGCCUUUAUGUUUAGUCCCCAUAGCCUUUUCCAAACACAGUGUUUCCUAAUCUCCCAACUAGUUUCAGCAUUGAUCCCCUCCUUUUUCCUAUGCUAGUUAUCCUCUUUUUUAGCCACUUCAUUUCCAGAUUUUACAGUAUACACACUAGUUUUGGAAGAACUCAAAAAUGAUCUGUCCAUCUUUCUAUGCAGGCUAAGAGGGAUAUUUUCUAUUAGUUCUGCCUCAUUUUUACUGAAUAGUUGUUGUAGGGUCUCCUUUUUCCAUCUGCCUUCUUCUAUCAAAUCACUUACAUUUUCCAAAUGACAGUUUGUAGGUCUUCUUGUGGUCACUAUGCCCUUUUCUGAGCCUAUUAACCACUUAUUCUUCCAAAUGUUCACACUUGGUCCAUCACCAAUUCUUUUCCAUAACCCUCGAGCAAUAGCUUCCUUGCACUGUGGAUACUUUUCUAGCACUAUGAUCCUGAUUUUGGGGGUUCCUUCUCUAGCCACCUUGGAUCUUUCAUGUAUUUAGCUUUUUAUCACCUUGCGUACUAGCAAAUUUGGAGAUGUUGGGAAUCUCCAAAUUUGCUUUGCAAGCAAGGCUGUGUUGAAAGCCACUAGAUCUCUAAAUCUCAAUCUCCUUUUUCAUUUACUUCAGAAAGUUUCUUCCAGAUUGCCCAGUGUACAGUGUUUUCCUUUUCUCCACUACCUACCAAAAUCUAGCAAUUCUUGCUAUGAUCUAUUUGUAUAGUCCUUUGGGAAGACUAAAACAAGCCCUAGCAUAAUUUGGCAUAGCCAUUAUGACUGAUUUGAUAAGGACUUCUUUACCUGCUUGACUUAGCCGCCACUGUUUCCACUCCUGCAUUUUGUUAAUGAUUCUACACUUUAUGUAACCAAACACUUGCUUCUUUGAUCUUCCAAUGGGCAUAGUCAAGCAUGUUCCUUUUGUUGCUUCUCUCAUCCUAUCCAAGGCCUCACUUGUCUCCUGUUUUGUUUGAUCUACAGUGUUUUUGCUGUAAUAUAUAGCAGGCUUUUCAAAAUUUACCACUUGACUAGAAGCUUUGUCAUACUGUGUGAGGACUUCUUUUAAUUUUUCUGCCUCUUGUCUACUGGCUUUGCAACAAAGUAGUGAGUCAUCUACAAAAAAUAAGUAAGAAAUAGUAGGUCCAUUUUUACUGUAUAGUCCUUCAGCAUAGACGAUGAAGAUGUAAGGUGAUAAGGGGUCCCCUUGGUGGACUCCCUUGAUUGGUCUAAUGUUUCCUACUUUUUGGCCAUUUAGAUUGAAGGAGUAAGAGAUAGUUGACAAGUAGAUCAUGAUCCAUUUAACAAACAUAGGAUAGAAACCCAUUUGAGUCAUCGCGCUCCCCAAAACCUUCCAUUCUACUCUAUCAUAGGUUUUAGACAUGUCAAGUUUGAUAGCCAUGAAUCUUUGUUUGCCUUUCCUUUUUUUUCCAAGAAGUGAAACAUUUCAUAGGCUAUGACAACAUUGUCUAGGAGUUGUCUUCUUGGGAUGAAAGCUGAUUGGGUACUGCUAAUGCAGUGAUUCAGGACCUUUUUAAGCCUAUUAGCCAGUAUUUUGGAAAUGAUCUUAUAUAGGACAUUACACAAACUAAUAGAACUAUAAUUAACCACACUUACUGGGGCAUCAGCUUUUGGGAUUGAAGAGAUGAUAGUUUUAUUCAUUGUUUUGAGAAGAAAACCAUAAUGGAAGAAACUAUUUAUGGUAGAGACAAUGUCAUUGUUAAUUAUAUGCCAGUAAUGCUGGUAAAGCAGUGGUAACAUAUCAUCAGUGCAUGGGGCCUUAUUAGGGUGCAUGGAGAAAAGGACUUGUCUGAUUUCUUUCUCUUCAACUGGUUUGAUCAAUUGCUCAUUCAUUUGACCAGUAAUAGUGUGAGUCACUUCUACUAAUAUUUCCCCAAAAUUGUCAGGAUUAGUUGUAGUGAACAAGUCCCUAUAGUAGUCACUCAUCUCCUUCUCAAUGUCCUGCUCAUUGGUGUACCAGGUUCCAUCAUGUUUCUAUAAGGUGUUGAUCAUGUUUCUUUUCCUUUCUGUUAUUACAGUUGUGGAAGAAUGCUAUAUUUCUAUCAUUUUCUUUCAGCCAUUGUCACUUGAUUUUUGGCUCUAAUACAGUUCUUCAUCCUUGUAUGCUUUGCUGAGUUUUGUUUUCAGUUCAACAGUCUUGCAUCUCUUGUGUGGUUCAUUUCUUGCUUUGACCACUGCUAGUGGUUCCUUUAGAUCCUGUUUUCUUACCUUUGAGUUCCUUUCCUCCUUCUUAUUCUACUCUAGCAUAGCAAUCUUGCAUUCCUUUACUUUCUUAGUCACUUAUACAUUCUUGAUCUUGCUUGCUCUUUUUCCCAUGCCCUUUUAACCACUUUUUUUUGUCUUAGGAUUUUUGGUCCAUUUCUAAUCAAAGUAGAAUCUUUUUUUGUUCCUACCUUUUGAAGGAUUAGUGUCCAACAUCAACAGGUAGUGGUCUAAGGCCUUCUUUUCCAUAUGUGUACAGGUGGGCUUUCCAAAUCUUUAUAUCUAACUAGUAUUACUGAGACACCUAUCCAACCUCUCCUUUGUGAGAACCCUGAAAAUAGACAUAUAAAUAUCAGUGCAUAUUUUAUUUGCAUUUUAAUUCCUUAAUAAAUUUUAGCACUAAGUCCAAUUGUUUUUAAAUAAGUAUGUAGAAUUAAAUGUUAAGUGCAAAAUAAAAGAAUUGUGCUAAACUACUAAACUUCUUGGUUUUGUUACAUUAACUUCAUAUUUCGAUGGUAAACUAUUUCAUUGAUCUAAUCAUUAAUUUCUUCGAAUUCUAGAAUGGUAAUUAAUUAUUUUGAAAUAAAAGUGUAGAGAUAAUUUUUAAGUAAUAAAUAAUAUAAUUGUGCCAAUAUUGAAUUAUUCGGUUUUGCUAUAUUAAAUUAAUAUUUCUUGAGUUAGAUUUAAUUUGUUUUCGCCUUAAUAUAAAAUGUUAGAAUACUUAAUUCCUUUAUGCUAAAUUAAUGGUACUUGAGUCGAUAUAUUUUUGAGGAAACGUUACAAGUACUAAGUAUUCUUAGGAUGUGAACAAUUUCUAGGAUUAAUUUUCGCAAGGAUAAUAUAUAAUUAGGCGUUUAAAAUCACACUUGGGGAUAAUUUUUAGAAUUAAGUUGAGAUUGGGGAGCAAAGUGAAAAGACUAAACUACCCUUGAACAAUUCCUCAAUCUAUCAUGCAACUCAAACCAGAUUUCGGACAGAAACCAGAGGCCACCUCCUUGUUCGGCCAAUGCAAACUUUCACCACCUACACACUCAACAUCCUGCACACUCAACCUCCCUCAAAACCGCAGCACCACUCCACAAUUCCAUUCCAUAUCCUCUGCACACUUCCUACCCAGAUAACACUCUACUUUCACCUUGUUAUCAUCGCCAGAGUUAGAGAGGGAGAGACCGAGCUUCACUCUGCCAUCCGAGAGGGGGGAAAAAAAAGGGAAGUCGCACGAGCUGCAACUCUUCCAAGGUUCUGUUUGCAAGCCAGAGUGGAACUAGGAAGAAGCCGUGAGCAAGCUCCAUCCCUAUCCGCGUCAACAACCAGCUGCAACCCAGCUUCACCCUCCACCAGUCGCAACCAGAAAACCAGAACCAACAAACCUGUGCGUGAGCCGAGAGAAAAUAUCAUAGCUUACUUAUUCGUGAGCUGAGCUAUUCUGAGGUAAUUUUCUGGACUAUUUUGGGUUGAUCAGAGGUAGAUUCUAGUUUUAGAUUAGCCUUCUAGAGGUUGAUGAUGGUGUUUAAGUACUUGCAUGUGGGAUUUGUAUGUUCGGAUGUUGAAAUCUGUCUUGGUAGCAUCUGGUUCUGCCGAGAGUAGAUUAGGAGUUGCAGUUUUAAUUCUUGUUUCCCUGACAUCAUCUGAGCAUGAAUCGGUGAUUAGCUAACAAAAACUGAGUGGAUUAAGCUAGUUAUAGCUUUGCAUGUGAGUUUAGGCGGCCAGAUUUGUAAUUAAGAAAAGAAGAAAAUUUCUGUGCGCUAGUUAUGUUUCUGCCGAGAGCUUGAGCUGGAAAUUUUGGUUUUAAUUUGCUGGGUGUGAUGAUUUGAGCUUAAUCUUGGAUCAACCUGAUAGAUAAGCUCCUUACUUAGUAUUGCAUGUGAACUUUAUGGCUAGGAAUUUCGGUUGCAUGACUGGAAAACUUAUUAGAAAAUUUCUGGACUGCUGAACUAAUUUUUCCAGAUUAGCCGUUGAAGUUGUUUUGGAAAUUGCUUGGGUAUUUUAGCAUGAAUUUUGCUGGAACGUGUUUGAUUUCCACUUAGUUAGGUGUUUGACUAAUUAAAAUUAAAUGAUUAAGCCUUGCAUGAGGUGUUUUGGUCUGGCUAAGCUAGAAACAAAAAAAUAAACAAGAAAAUCUGCUGUAUGCAAGAUUAUCCAAGAAUAGCCGAAUGAAUUCCUGGAUUUUUGGGAUGUUUGUAGUUGUUAAUUGAAUCUGAUUUUGAACGAGAGAUGUUAAUUACCUAGCUAAGUGUUGGCAUGUUGAAUUUGAGUAACUAAUACCCUGUUUUGGCCAAGGAAAAGCUGGAGUUAAGAACAUACAAUUGCUAGAAAUUUUUUUUGUGAACUGCCGUGAAUUCGAACCAGGAAAUUUUGAAGAGUGUAGCUAUUGUUUGGAUUUAACUUCGAACUGGAAGCAAUUUGUAGCUAACUAAGUGUUUAGCUAUGAAACAGUUGAGAUUUUGGAAGUUUGAAUUGAAUUAAUGAAGUGUAGCUGUUGGGAAACUUUCGGUCAAAAUGAUGGAAGUAGUAAAGGAAAUUCUUUCCAGAUUUCUUUUGGCGAAUUUUAGUUCUAAAACUUCUGUUUUGAGCUAUAAACUAUUUCAUGCUUAUUGACCUCACUCUCGAGCAUGUCAAAAGGGCCGUGCAUGUGAAUUUUUGGGUGACCAUUUGAUGUUAAUCAUGGCUACAAGGAUGAGAUGAAUUUAUCGGCAAUUGAAGGAAUAAAUUUUGAAUUAUAACCAUUGUGAAUUACUUAAUCCGCAUUGGUGUAUGUGUUAUGAGAAAUAAUUGUUGAAUGCUAAGGGUUAAUGAUUGAUGAAGCCCUUGGCCAUGUGAAUGAUUUUUAUAUAAUCGUUAAAGUGAUGAAAUUUAAUUGCUGAAAUGUCUUUGAGGCCUUACCUUUAUUUUUAUGUGUAUAUGAUGAGUUUGCUGAAACCAAGUGCUAAUGAUUGAUGAAGCCUUGGUCGUUCAAUUUUAUUUUUAUCAGAAAUGCAAUUGUUGAAAUCUAGGGCUAAUGAUUGACAAAGCCCUAGUGAUUUGCUAUGUGAUUUUGCCAUAUUUGAUCCAUAAUAUGAUUUCGAAACGGAAUCGGAGCUGUGGAAGUCGCUUCUACCUUGCGAACUCGUGUAGCUGUGAGCAAAUUAAUCAAAAAUAUUUUCCAGCUAGUAUUAAAUCAUAAAACUCAAUAUCUAGUAUUUUGCCUAAAACUUUCCAACCGAUAAUUUCCUUUAGCUCAAACUAGCCUUGAUAGUUAUAGGAAAGAAUUUCUCUAGCUUUUGAAAAUCCUAAGUCUUAUUUUAAUUUCCUUUCCUUUCAUUAAGAUUUGCCCUUGGAUAGUUGUCGGUAGGAAAAGUUCCAAAAUAAGAGUUUUAAUAACUUUAAUUAAGAAUGUAGAAACUUGCUCGGCAAGAAACUUUAUUUAGAUUAAAUAGUUUUUAGUGACAAUUUUUACAAGAACCAUAGCUUAAAAGAAAUCUUUCGAAGUAUCUUUCUAGUUUUAUUAUUAAGUGGUUUGUCGAAUUAUCUCAAGAAAAUAAUACUAAUUACCUUUUAUAGGGAAAACUACAAGAAACAUUUUUACUACUUUUGCCAAGUUUCAACCUAAGUAGAUCUUUGAGUUUACUUCGAAAUGAUAAACUAGUUAUAAACUCGAUAAACCUUUAUAGUUAUAAACCUGGAACUUGAAUAGAAAUUGAAAGUGUUAUAUUUGUACUUUAAAGGUCAAACUUGAUUUUAAUAAUUUACGCAGAAAACUUGUUUGGCAAGAAACCUUAUUCAAAGCAAAUUGGUUCUGGUUUGCACCUCUAGAAAGAAAGAAAUCCUAUGAAGUAUUUCAUCACUUUCACUAGUUUAACUCUAGGGAAAUUGUUAAUUUAUUUGGUGUAGAUAAACUAGUUAUAUACCAGAUAACUUUGUAUUUAUAAACCAAGAACCGUACAACAACACUUAUAGUUUUAAAUUCUGGAUUUCUAGGGUAUAGCGAGGACGUGGAUUUGUGAAUCCCAGCUUGAACUCUGAACUUCACUUUUGGUGAGUGUCCCUGCUUGUUUUAUGUUAUGUGGUUAAGCGCUUUACCAAUUCGCUAUGUGAUAAUUGUCAAAAUGCAAUAAAUGAUUUUUGAUCCAUCGAAGUGAGCAGUGUGUACUUUAUCGCACUAGCCGUUCGAGUGGUGACGUGUGUGAAACAUUUUCUAAUGAAUCCGUGAAUCUAAAGGACGUAACGUCGUUGGGUGAAUCCCUCGACGAGUCAAUAAUAAUAAAUCAAGUGCUAGACGUAAAGUCGUUGGGUGAAUCCCUCGACGAGUCAAUAAUAAUGAAUCAAGUGCUAGACGUAAAGUCGUUGGGUGAAUCCCUCGACGAGUCAAUAAUAAUAAAUCAAGUGCUAGACGUAAAGUCGUUGGGUGAAUCCCUCGACGAGUCAAUAAUAAUAAAUCAAGUGCUAGACGUAAAGUCGUUGGGUGAAUCCCUCGACGAGUCAAUAAUAAUGAAUCAAGUGCUAGACGUAAAAUCAAUAAUAAUGAAUGAAGUGCUAGACGUAAAGUCGUUGGGUGAAUCUCUCGACGAGUCAAUAAUAAUAAAUCAAGUGCUAGACGUAAAGUCGUUGGGUGAAUCCCUCGACGAGUCUAUAAUAAUGAAUCAAGUGCUAGACGUAAAGUCGUUGGGUGAAUCCCUCGACGAGUCUAUAAUAAUAAAUCAAGUGCUAAUAAUAAUGUAAGUUCAGGACGUAACGUCGUUGGGUGAAUCCCUCGACCAGUCUAAGGUACACUUGGGUAUUAUCGCCUUCCUAUUUGUUUACUUCAGUCGAAUCAAUACGUGUUAAUUGUUUUAAUUGAUUGCAUGUUUUUGGGGCACCACUGAGCUUUAGCUCACCCCACGUUUAUUGUUUUCCUUAACAGGUUCUGGAAACUGAAAGCUGGAUGCUUACUUAAGUUUUCCUUUUGGAUUGUAUUUGAAUACUAUAACUUAUUCUGUGGGCUGUAAUGUGUUAUUUGAGAUAAUGCACUUUUCUUUUGGGUUGCCACUUGAAACUGGAAAAUGGGUAAACCCUAAUUCGAUUACUUGGCCUGUAAAUUUGUAAUAGAGAUUUAUGUAUUUAUCUACCCGGAUUAGUACGACUUUAUAUUUUGGUACGUAGCACGUGGGACGUUUAAGAGCCUCGACUGGCUAAUUUAUCUCUGCUAUCUCUGAAGUUAAGUUGGAUGUAAGGAUGAUCUUAUUCGGGAAGAUUUGUUUUAUCACAGAUUAAGUUCUCCUUUGAAAGGAUUUGGGUUAGAAUGCUUGCGUGAGUCCUGGCGAGAGCUGGGCAGACGGCUCGCCAACCCUUUGGUUCGCCUUAGGGGGAAGUGGGGUUGUCACAUCCUUGACCUCCCCAUCUUCUUCCCAAGAAUUACUCCAUGUCCAUGGUACUCCUUGGUAACCUAAGUAUAUGAGCUCGUUCCCUCUGAUGAAAUUGUUAAAUUCUUUUAGACUCCUUUCAGCUAUUUCCCUUCCUCCCUAUUUUUUUCCAGUUGAUCUAAUAUCAUUGAAGUCUCCCACUAGUAUCUAACUCACCCCAUUCCUUUUUUCUAUUCUUUAUGUGUUUCCAUUGCUCCUUUCUUGUACUGAUGUUAGCACUUGCAUACAGGCACACUAACCAUCAUUGGCAUUUAGCUUCCUCAUCUUCUAUCCUUGUUGAUAUUACCAAUUCGUAUCUUGCACUUGGCUUAACUUCAUGUCCUUUUUCCAAAACAAUGCCAAUCCUCUUGCUCUACCCACUAAAUUUACAAAACGUCCAUUAUCAUAUCUAAUUUGUUUUUGUAUUUUCUUCAAGAAGGUUUUCUAAUUUUUUGUUUCACACAAGAACACAAUGUUAGGAGAGUGAAGGCUUAAAACCUCCUUCAAUUGGGGAAUUGUCAAGAGGCCUUCUAUACCUCGACAAUUUCAUAUCACUACUUUCAUUCAACCAUUGGAGGCAUUUUGGAGUUGGCCUCCAGUUCCUCAUCAAAUUCUGUAUAAUUUGCCUCCCUCUUCAAUGCUUUCAAUCUUCCCUCUGCAGUAUCCUCUUCCGUUGGUUCAACUUCCUGCCAUACUGUUUCCAUUUUCCUCUUUCCCCCCAAUUCUCCUCCCUGAUUCCUGUUUGUGAUGUCCUUCAUUGGUGUUCUAUUUAUCCUUGCAAUUUUCUUGACAUACAUGUCCUUUCUCCUCCUUUCUACUGCUGUUGCAAUUUCUAUCCUUCAUUUCUUUCUAUAGUCCUUUCUACCUCACCUCCACUUCACAUAGGUCACUUGUCUAGCCACUUGUGUUCUUUUCUCCUAUAAUCAUAUCCACCACAUUUUGUUCCCCCGCCCCCUCCCCCCAAAAUUUCCUUCACUUUCUCCUAUAAGGGACCAGUAUUCUUUCUUUCAUUUUCCUCAUCCAAGUUAUUUCCUUUUUUCCUCUCCUAUCUCCAUUUUUUUCGCUAGUUUUGUUCCUGUAGUAGUUCUCUCCACUUCUCCUCAUUUGCCAUUUUUCUCGUAUACACUUGGGUAUUUUGUUUGCCAUUUCCAUUCUCUACUGCCAAUAAAUUGCCAUCACUCACUUUGGUGGACCAAGUUCCUGUAGUCACUAUUAUGGCUUUGUUUGAUUCCUUUUCCUCAGUUUUGUUUCUUGCUUUUUCUUUUGUUAAUCCAUCCCACUUUUUUACUAGUGAUGUCAUGAUGUUCCCUACCCUCAUCCAUGCUCAAUACUACACUUCUCUCUGGAUCUGCUCUUCUUUUUCUUCUUCCUUACAAGAUGUGUCCCCAUGCCCAAUCACUCCAUAGCUCUAACAAAAAUUUGGGCACCCCUUAUACUUAAACUCAAUCCACACCAUCUGAUCUUUAAGUGUCACUGUUGUUCCUCUUAUUAAAGACUGUGUUAUGUCAAUUUUCUUUAGUAUUUUCAUGUGCCUUUCUUCUUUUCCACCCCUUGUUAGUAUUAUCACAUCUCUCACAGAGUUGAAGAUCUCUCCUAGCUUAAAUCCUACAGCUCCAUUCAUCCAGUAGACUCGGAGAUUCCAUAGUUGGACCCAAAUGAAGGUAUGCUUAAAGCUAUUAGGAUCUUUUUCACAACCUUCCGACCAUUCCUUGAUGAUUAAUACCUGGUUGUCCACUAUCCAUGGACCCCCGCUAGUACGCUUCUUCUUUUCUUUUCCUUUUCUAGGUGGAACUGGAACAAAUUAGGUCCUAACUCAGUUAUCAUUAUUUUCCUAGGGUAACCCCAAGCAUGAUUUGUGAAAUUCUUGACCCUUGUGAAAUUUACCACUUUUGCCCCUAUGAUCUUUCCCACUAAGCUACCAUUGCAUCCUCGUAUACAUUCUUCCACAUCUUCCCCACUCAGAUCUAUUCCUCCUAGCUCCUUCCCAGACAGAUCAAACUUAUGGAAUGCCUAAGCUAGAGAAGUGUCUUUACUAUUUAGGUCUCAAAAUCGUUCAGUUGUUUAAACCUGCAAGAAAAUUCAAAUAGAGAAGCUUAAGAGUUAAGGCCCAAAAAAGAGACAAACUAAGAGGAAAAAAACACAGCUUAGGAAAAGAAUAUAGUUCAAAAAAGCCCCAAAGGACUAGAAGGUUUAGUUAAAGAUGACAAUAAAACAUGUUCUUGGACACAAGUUUGUUAAUGGAUCAUGCUUGGUACUGUCAUUUACUCCCGCAAUAAAUGAUUGUAAGAAAGAUAGAUCACUAAUCUAUAUAUUCAAUGUUAUUGGUGUCCAGGGUGUUUUCUUUUUGGGAUUUGGGUUCAAAAAGUUUGAGCUUUUUGAAUUUUUGGUGUUUUGAAAUCUGAAACUCCUACAACAAAGAGAGACACUCUAAAGUUAGAGAGAGAAACUCUCGUGUUAGAAAGAGGAGACCUAUAUUGCUUAAUUCAACUACUUCCCGUGCUAUCUAAAUAUGCUUAUUACUGAGCAAGUUAUUGAAUUAGUUAAUUAGCAUAUUAGCAUCUGGUAUAAAAAUAACAUUUUUCUUUGACAAAGAUUUACAAUAUUAUCUGGUCAAUUGAUAAUGAUAAAAGUAAUGCUCAUACUACAUUGUACUAUUUCAUUGAUAAUAGAGUUACAAUUUGACUAAGUUCUGUGUACUAGAUACAUAUUAACAAUAGUUGAUGUAGAAUUAGUUAUCCUGAGGCUUACUUCAAAUAUCUUAAAAAUCUAAUUCUAACUAUGAAAUAUUAAUUGGGUUGGUAUUUAGCAUUGGUUAAAUAGAUUCCUAAUAUUAGGGAUUGCACAAGUCAAUAGAUUAUAUCUUAAAAAUCUAAUUCUAACUAUGAAAUAUUAAUUGGAUUGGUAUUUAGCAUUGGUUAGAUAGAUUAGUAAUAUUAGGGAUUGCGCGAGUCAAUAGAUUAUAUAUGACAUUUAAGCGAUACUAAUGCUAAAAAGAUUAGAUAGAGUAUGUCGAAUAGAUUAAGCCAUACUAAUGCUAAAAAGAUUAUAUAUGACAUUUAAGCCAUACUAAUGCUAAAAAGAUUAGAUAGAGUGUGUUGAAUAGGUGUUUAAGAGAGAGCUAUACAAUAUUAUUUAGUUUUAUCAUUAAAGCGCACAACUGUAACAUGUGUGAGGUCAUUUUUUUUUUCCCAUUUAGUGAAAGAAAAGAAGGAUACGGACUUCGCAUUUAGCAAAUGCGAAUUUAAAGAGAUUGCAUUUUCUAAAAGCGAAGACCCUUCUACUAAGAAUAACCAAUUCAAAAAACUCCUGUUGCAAAAUUACUUUCUUUUUUAUUUUCAUAACAAUUUUAGAAUUUACUAUGAUAUUCUUCACAUGCCAUCUGUCCUGCCACCGCACCCACAAGCAUCCACCACCACCCUUUACCGCCACAUCUCCCCUCUCUCUUCUUCUCUCCAUUGCCACCACCUCUCCUUUUCUCCAACUACCACCACCGCCAUCUCUAUCACACGCCACUAGCAACCAUCCUCAUCCACUUUCUCUCUCCUCCUAUUUCUCCCAGUUUUACCACAAUCACACAACCAACCUCUCUUUCCUCCUUCCCCUCCUCCUCUCUCUUCCCCAACCCUUCCCCCUCUCUCUCAAAUCUGGUCACGAGACCAAAUCUUGGCCACCCAUGCCCCUCCCCCCACCCCAGAUCUAAGGGAGAGGGUAGGGGAUAGGGGACUACUAGGUGCCAUUUCAAGUUGCUCAAUAAUUGGUUCCUACAAAUGGCAUCAAAUGUUCAUGCUAAAAAUUGAGUAGGCUCCGAAAUGAUAAUUAAAUCCUCAUUAGUGCAGUCAAUAUACAAUAACUAAGUUCUUUGGUCUAGUUGGAGUGGUAAUAAUGAGUUUUUUCAAAUAUAUACAAGCAGGUAUCCAUGUAUCUACAAUAGAUUCAAGAUGUAAAUAGCAGGACUUGCUAUAUAUUCAAGAAGUAAAUAAUAGAAAUUUGUAUCUACUGUAAAUUCAAGAAGUAAAUAACAGGACUUUUACCCCCCCCCCCCCAGGAGACUUUUGCCCCUAACGAGUACUUUACUAUUUAUACUGGAGAAUUAAGAGGCUUUCACACCAUGAGUUCUGAUAAAUCUUAUGAUCUUGUGAAAAAUUGAAUUGAUCCAAUAUAGUUCUAGUAUACCCUAUAUUUGCAUUUGACACGUUACCUCCCUUCUAAAGCUAAAGCUAAAAAUUCCUCCCUUCUCCAUCUCAUUUUAUAAUUGAUCCAUUUUAUCAAUGCAUUUGUAACUGAGAGUAGAGUUACACACCUUACAGGAAGUUCUCUAUCCUCCCAAGUUGUUCGCAAUUUUAUCACUAGAGAGAAGUUGUUGAACCAAUUGCUCUUUUAGUCUUUAGUGCCUCAAUUGGCAAUUGAAGUAUUUUCUCAAUUCUCUCUCUGUUUCUCACGACUUUAACUGUACCUAUCUCUUAACACCCAAAAUAUUCCGGACCAUUUACAGAAGCCAUUUGUUUCUCCAUGUCAACUCUCUGGAUAUAAGGCAAAAUGCUGCAUCUAUCAUUCUUAUGCCAAAAUGCUGUUGAUUAAUAUCUCCAACACAGAAAAGCACCAACUGAUCUUUCCUGUACUCACAGAAAGAUAAUACAAGAAGCUGCUAUUGGGCUCCGGCAAACAGGGAGAUUCUAUUUGUGUAUUUGACAAGAUGCCAGUCGAUAAGACAAAGCCAAGCACAACAGCUGAAACCAUUCCAUGAGUUCCACUUGAUACACAUUAUUGAUUACUCACAGUAAACAGCUACUAUUUGCUUCCCAGCAUUGCAUGAGAUACCAAGUAUUCUAGACAAAACCAAAGCACAAACCUUGAAAAGGGCAAUUUUAGAUGAUGUACAUUAUCCACGGGUAACUGCUACCAGCUGCUUCCCAAUGUUACGCCCCGAGAAAAGCCCUAUCAAAGCACUUGGGGCGUUCUCAAGGCCUUCAGCUAUGUCUUCCACAUAAGUAAUCUUCCCUUCUUUUAUCUGUGGGAGAAUCAUUUCCAGGAACUUAGGAUAGAGAUGGUAGUAAUCAAACACCAGAAAUCCUUCCAUUCGAAUUUGCUUGGUGACCAGACAAAACAGAUUUUGAACUCCUUCGGGCUGCUCAAGGUUAUAUUGUGAUAUCAUGCCACAGGCAGCAAUGCGGCCGUAGGGGGUCAUGUUUAGAAGCACGGCAUCAAGCAUCUUUCCUCCUACAUUCUCGAAGUAAAUAUCAAUACCAUCCGGAAAAUACCUGCAAAAUCAAGAUUCGAGUCAGAAGUCUAUGUCCUUCUAGCUGUCGAAAGUACCGAUAAAAUUGCAGAUCACCUUGAUGUCAUUCACAGAAAGUACUUUGAAUGACACAAAGAAAUGAGAAACUAUAAAUGCCAACUUUGAGCCAACGAAAUCAAUCUCAGAAUCUGAAAAUUUCAUUUUGAGCUGAAAAUACUAUUCAGUGGCACAUCAUUGUGCUUUAUCUGAGUACAACGCCCUCUUCAUCAAGAACUAUGCUGUUCCAGAGAAAAAGCAGAAUUUAUGGGGCUUUUCUUUCUUAAUUCCUCAUUAACCCCACUAUUGUGGAAAGCUGACCUUUUCAGAGCCACAUUUAAAUCUGCCUCUUCUUUAUAGUUGAAAGCUUCAUCAAACCCGAACUUAUUCUUCAAUAAAUCAACCUUAACAACAAAAAAACAGAAGUCAAUAGCAGCAAAAACAAGCAAAGUGAGUUAAUUGGUCUUUUAGCUUUUAGAUCCACAUAUCAGAAUCAUCAGAACACUUUUCUUUAAGAAACAGUAAUUAUGCCAAAUGCCUGAAGAGGGCCACUGGGUACAGGGGCAGUAAAAAUUUUGAUGCUGAAACAUAUUGUGAACUGUAAAGCUAAGGAACAUCCUAAACAUAGUUCACAUUCCAAUUCAGUUUCUAGAAGCAUCUUCAGGAUAACAAGUAGUUCCAGGUCAUACAUAGGUUUAUAUAGCUUCCACUUCAACAGGCCUGCAUGAUGUUUGAAAAUUCUUAGCCAAGAAAAAAUGCAAUUCGUCCAAAUAGAUACUCAAAAACUCGUCACUUGGUUAUCGUAUUCCAACUUCAGCUCAUAUCAACACACAGAAUGCUGAACAUGAAAGAAUUUUGAAUGUCUGGAAGGAUAGACUUUUUAGCAGGACUACUAUAAGCCUUGACUAUCAUUUGGAUGUAGAGUUAUGAUAAGCAGGGUAUUGUGAGCUCAAAUAGUUUCUCACCCCACCUGGAAUUAGGAGAAACUGAUGGAGUGAACUUCUCAAUGUACUGACCUUUUCUUUGCUUCCAGCACUUCCAACAACAUAGCAGCCAAAUAGCUUUGCAAUUUGCCCAACAAGUUGGCCAACUGCUCCAGAUGCUGCUGAAAUAAAGACCCGUUCUCCCUUCUUUGGAGAGCACACCUCAAAAAAACCAACAUAAGCAGUCAUGCCAGGCAUACCUGUUAGCAACUCAAAGCCAAUUAGAAAACCCUAUGGAGAAUAAGUGGGCCUUUUUUUUGGGGGGGGGGGGGGGGCGCCACUGAAACUAUCACUUUGCAAGUAAUAAAAUGACAAGAUUUUGCACUAUAAUUGAUGUAAAUGUUUCUUCCAGUAUGAUCAAUUUUCUGCAAGAUAGCAGAUUCAGACGUUACAAAUAACGUAGUAGAAAAAGCUGCGAUUACCAUAGGCUUAAAUGAUCAGUUAGAGGAACAUCAUUUAGAGAAAAGGAAUUAGUGAUGAGAGCAAGGGACUAAAUGAAAAAUGACUAAAAAACUUGGUGGAUCACUAGCUCAUCGUGUUUAUGCCUAAACAUCUGCUGAAGGCUGAGCUAAUAAAUUACAGGACCCCUUUCUUUUUAGAGACCAUAAGAUUUUCACUAUAAAGAGUUGAAAAUGGAAGGGACAGUGGGGAUAGAAAGGGAAUGCAAGUCUACCUAACUUCUAAUGUUGUUCAUUAUUCUUCAUGAUAAACUAUAACACGAAAAAGGAAAAGUGCUCCUCUUCUAAACAUUUUAACCCACUGCAUAAUGUUUCAAUUAUACUCUCUCUCUCUCUGUCUCACGCGCUCUCCCUCCCUCACUCUCUCUACACGACAGGUAAAGCUUGUUACGGUUUACAGCAAAACAUUAUUUAAAAAUACCAAUUGCACAUGAACACAAACUUCCAUUGGAAAGCUACUAUUUAUGUCAAUACUCGAAUAUCUGGUGCAGGAAGUUGAUUCUAUGAAAUUGCAUCAUAAUUAAGACACACUAAAUUCAACACAGGAAAUCAAAAUAUUAGCUUAUUCCGUCAUUAUUCACCAAUUAAAGAAACACACUUUCACCAUUGAAAAAUGAAAUGUUUGUAAGAAACUUACCCAGGAUGCCUGUAUAGUAGGACAAAGGCACAUCUGUGUGCUGAAUCUUAAAGAGACCCUCUGUAGAAGUGAUAACACUGUACUCUUCCCAUGUAGUCAUUCCCCAAACCAGAUCACCUUUCUUGUAAUUUUGAUGACUAGAAUCCAGAACUUCAGCCACGCCAUAUCCCACAAUAGGCUGCAAUGAAAGCAAUGACAUCAAGUUAUGGUCUUGACUUACUGACAAACGGUCAAAACUUUUUCCUCUUUCAAUUGAAUGAUUAACCACCAUUGAUGGUACUUGUCAUGCUGAUAAUCUAUUCUGGUAACUGGUUAAAUAAGUCUUACAAGAUAACAAUUCUACUGGAUAUGACAUAUUACAAUCAACUUCAACUAUAAUCAGUUAGGCAUACCAUGAAAAGAAAAAAAGGUAACUUUCGAGUACCCAUAUUACCGACUUGCCUAUCUUAACACAGAGAUCCAGUUAAUGUGGACCGCUAAAAAUGCUAAAAUAAAUAAUAUAUGCACAGGCAUUAUGUACUUGAAAGAUCACAAAAUGGAAAGCCAUUAAUCGAAAGAACCCCUGAAAGAAUCUCAAUUACUAAAAUGCAACCUGGGUUACCAACCAUAAACUGCCAUUAGAGUCACCUGUAACCUAGAUGCGAUCAUGCACUACCAAUCCAGUGUUAUGAUGUUAUAUCAUAUCCAAUAACUUCAGAAGCUCUAGAAAACAUGUGUUAUCCUUUUCUGAAAUAUUUACAUAAUGUGAAGCUGAUUAUAAGCAAGUUAAGAAUCUCCAAAUUGUAAGUUGAAUCUUUAAGUAUUUUGCCACAUCAUUUCACACAUGAUGACCUCAAAGACUGAAUCCAUUUAUUUUUCAUAGUUCUUACAACAAAAGAAUGUGCAAACCAGUGCCUCUUAAUUUCGCAUUGCUACAAUUGUUAAUUCCUUAAAUUCAACAUUGCCCAAGUUCAACGAAUAACAACAAACUCCCAAUGAUGGUCUUGAAAGAUGAAACAGACCUACAGAGCCUGGAAUAAAGGACCCAACAUAGCUUCCCUCGAGCUUUUGCAUACGAUUUCUCAUGUAAGGAUCACAGGACACAUAGAUAUCUGAAUCUUCUGGGAGCUUCAGCCUUAUGGAACUAGCUGCUAAAAUCAUGUUGGUCUCUUUGGGAAGACCAUUUACAUUGUUUUUCAUUAUCACCUGAGUGUUACUCACUUCCUCUGCCUCUACCAUUUUCAAGAAACUCUCUAACUAUCAGCUAACAAUGCCCUUCUCUAGCUUUCAGUCUAACCAAGCUCUCGACUUCCGCUUAUUUUCACUUCUAUGUGAUUACCUACCCAAAACAACUCCUUUUAUUCCAUAAUCUCCUUCUAGGACAGUGGUGCAAAGCAACAAAAGUUUUGAAUAGGGUAUCCACGACAUAAGAUUCCUGCAACACGGAGUAACUUUAAGCCAACAAUUCACUUUUCUGACCUUGUAAAUUGCUUUUAUUUCUAUUCCAUUGGUAUCCAUUAUUCUUGCUUUUCAAGACCUUUUCAAACACUUUCACUUUUUCUUUUGUACUAUCAAAGUUUAGGGGGAUGGAAGCUCAUUGGCCCAAAAAGGGUAAUUGUUCUUUCUACCUAAUCACCAUGUCCCAUCAACUACCUCAUCUGCUGAGACAACACAAAAGUUCGAAAUCCGGCAAACUCUCGAAUAAGAAACUUCAAGGAAGACUCAGAAUUUCUAACUUUGACCAAAACUCCCAGUAUUGGAGGUGUUCCAUCACUGAUUAUCAUAAAUUAUGAUAAUUAAUUAAUGAACUUUAAAUUGUCUAAUAUAUUUCACAAUAGACCAAUCCCAGGUGAUGUACCAAAAAAACAGAAAAAAAAAAACCGCCAUUCAAACAAAAGAACAAUAAAAUAAUCACCCAACAGUACCCAUAGCAACAGUAAAAAAAACAAAAAAAAUGACAGAAUUGACAUUUAAUAUUAAAAAAUUAUCCAAAUCUGUACAUUUUGUACUUACGGAGCCGGGAGUGAAGGACUCAACAUAGCUGCCUUCCAUCUUGCUCAUGCGGUUUCUCAUGUAAGGGUCACAAGACAAGUAGAGAUUUUUCACCACAAUCGCCCCCGAAGAACCUUCCUGAAGCUUCAGCUUCGUCUUGGCGGUUCUGAUUUCCAUAUCACUCUCCUUCGGAGAACCCCGGACGUAGUGCUUCAGUAUCACCUGCUUGUUCUCCACUUCCUCCCCUUCCGCCAUUUUUCCUCUCGAAAAGCUGCUCUCAACCGACACUGAUAAUAAUGCUGGAGAAGUCGUGCCGUGAAGGAGUAUAUAUGGUGUGUGUUGCCUGUGUGGAAAGUGCUAGUAGCGGCGGCGGAUCCGUAUUGUACAGAUUACGUGGAUAAGGGAGAGUGAUUGUGAAGAUGAUGACUGAAUGAUGACCAAAUGAUUGACGAGAGGCUUUUUUGUUGCUUGGAUAUACGAAAAAAAUGGAAAUAUUCUAGCACUUUUUCUUUGUGAUUUAAUGUACGCAAGAUAGGAAGGGAAUUACAAAAAUAAAAUAGUAGGAGUAUUAAAAAUAUGUUUAUGAAAUUUUUUUUCUUUUUAAAGAAGGAAUCACAAUCCAAACAAACACACAAAAAAACGUCUUUUAUGGCUAGUUUGCGAGAUUGGAAUGGAAAAGAAAACGUCGAAAAUGUUAAGUUAUGAAAAAGAAAAGAAAAGAAGAGAAUAAAAAGUUUGAUGUUGUUGGGAAUUUCGAGAAAAUAAAUGGAAGGAUUUUGGAUGCAUACAUUAUUAAAAUUUUAUUCAAGAUACAUCUAAAGAUAGAAAGUUGUAUUUUAAAAAAUCUCACAAAACUUUGUUCACUUUUCCUUUGUUUUCCGCCCAUAUUUGGAACUUGGAAGGAAUGACUCUUUUUUUUUUUUUUACACUAUAGUUGCAAAAUAGAUUCUCACCUAAUCUUUCAGUUGUUGUUCUUUUUUGUCCCUUACAUAGUCCCAAACAACAGAAACUGACUCCUCACUCUCAUUUUCUCUUUUUACGCUAUCAAAUCUCAGCUCUGAACAAACUAUUUCUGAAAAAAAAAAGUUCUAAACAAACUAUUUCUGAAAAAAAAGUUCUUGGUGUUUGGAAGGAAAUCUUUUAAAAUUCUAGGCAUUUGGAAAUGUUUAGGAAAACAUUUUUCUAAGGAAAUAUUAAUUUGUUCGUCAAUGAUUUGGAUAUUCAAGACUUCGUCAAUAAUUUAGAUAUUCAGAUUAAUUUUAUUUUCUUUCUUUAGUGUUAAGCCAUUUCAAGAAAAUCAUUGGGAUUGGAUUAGUGUUUACGAAGAGUCUUUAGUGUUUUUUUCACUGCUAAAUUCAAGGUUCGAAUACUGAACCUAACAAUUAAGAGUGGAAAGGAUGUGGAAAGGGGUGGAAGGUGUGUGUCUAUAAAUAUAUAUAUAGCGAUUUCAAGGAGCUCCACUAUCUCAAAAUUAAAUAACUGAAAGGAUACAUUGGGGACACAUCCAAAAUGUUACUUAUGUACACCCAAAAAAAAGGGUUAUUAUCAUUUUACCCCUUUAAACUAUAUCACUACUAUCAGUUUACCCCUUAACGUUAUCUUUUAGUCAUUUUACCCCCUUAAAUAAUUCAACUCAACAUGUUAAGAAAUUUUGGACAAAAAUACCCUUUUAUUUUAUAGCAUUACUACAUUGUUAUUGUCACUUUAUUCGUUUAGAUUAUAGUGAUACAAUCACUUUAAUUCCUAACAUUAUUUCCUAUGCAUUUUAUCUCAUCGUUAAUCUAACUAGUAUGGUCAAAAAAUUUUAAAUAUAUUUACCCUUUUUAUAUAUAAUUAAAAGUAAAAAAGUUGGAAUGGUUAUUCUUCCUUUUUUUUCACUUUAAGAGAUCGAAAAAUAUAAAAAUAAAAGGGUUUUUCAAAUUUCUUUUUUCACACUUAUCAAUAGUAGGAAAAGAAAAAGAGAUAGGAAAGAAGGAGACAACAAAAUUAGAUUUUACAAAGAAAAAAAUAAAGAAAAGUCUAAUAUUAUUAUAUUACUGUAAGGUUAUCGGGAUUAGGAUUGGAAUUUGGUAGUAAAUAGAAAAGUGAAAUAAUUUUAAAAUAAUAAAGUAUUUAAUUCUUUCUUAUUUGUAAUUUUUAGAAAAAGAAUUGAGCUCUCUCUCUCCCACUCCCCCUCUCCAUCUUUCUAUUUUUUAUUUUAAUAAAUUGUCAAGAAGAAAUAAAUUAAUACUUUGACUUUUUUUUCUUGAUACUAAAAAGGAGAAGAACCACUCUAAAUUUUUUAUUAUUUUUAUUAUGCAAAGAGGAGGGUGUUUUCUUCUAAAGUUUUUUAACUUGCUAAGUUGGUUUAAUGGUAGGAUAAAUUGGCUAAAAAAUAACUUUAGCGGGUAAAUUGAUAAUAAGAUUAUAGUUUAUGGGAGUAAAGUGAUAAUAAUUUUAAGGGUUAAACAUGUCUUUUCACUUUAAUUAACAAACUCUGUUAAGUUUGAUCGUUAGUCUUGGGGGUAAAAUGACUAAAAGAUAACAUUAAGGAGAAAAUUGAUAGUAGUACCAAACGUUAAGGGGGUAAAGUGAUAAUAACCCAAAAAAAGAAAGAAAAACCGUUUAGAAAAUAUGUUGAUAUUUUGAUCCCAUGCGUGUAAGGUUUGUUAUUCUCUCCAUUUCAUCAAUGUCUAGCAAGGUGGUCAAAAAAAACAUCUAGCAAAACAAAACUCAAAAGAGUAUGCAGUAUGACAAAGGAACAUUUUUCUCGAUAAGCAGCUCUUCUUCAACCAAAUCUUCAAUAAAGAUUUUCGUCCACUAUUAGACAAGGGCAAAGAAAGCAAAAUUGACAGAGAUUUGAACAGCAUUCCCAUCAUCACGGGCAACAACUGCCAGCGGCCCCCCACUAUUGCAACAUGAGAAUAAAGGAGUAAACGAAUCGAGUUUAAUCGAUUAGUUUGCGAGUUUGCUCGAAUGAAACUCGAGUUUGAACUCAUGCUGAUCGAAUUCGAGUUCGAGUUUGAGUAGUUCAAACUAUUUGACGGGUCCAACUUGAGUUUAAUAUAUGAAACUCGAGCUCGUUAGGCUCAAUUGAGUUUCACAUAUUUAUGUUUUUGUUUUAAUUUUUUUAUUUAUUAAUAUGAAAUGUCUAUUUUGUUCCUUAUUUAAAAUUAUAUGAAAUAUAAAUUUAUAUUUCUUAAGUUUGAUUAUACUCGAUUAAACUUGAUUGAGUUCGAAAUAAACUCGAUUAGACUUGAUAAGUACGAGCUCGAGUAAUGCAAAAUAAAAUCGAGUUCGAACUCAAGCUCGACUUUUAAGAGUUUAAUGAGUUUGAGCUCAAAUUCGAGUCCAAGUUAGAUUUGGAAUUUGAUGAUGAAAAUGUUUUUUCGGAGAGAAACUUUGCCAUCACAACUACAACAAAAAUGACCUUUAACGGCAUUUAAAAGUGUCAGUAUAUAUAAUCUAAACUAACACUUUACCUUUCUUCACACCUCGGACAAGUGUUGUUCCUUUCAAUGUGGGGAUAGGUUCGUACUAUUCAACGGUGUCAGGAAAACUAUGCUAUUAUAGCAUUCCAUCUGCCAACAAAAAUUCAUUUUCUUAAUCAUUGAAAGUGUCAGGAUAUUGUUGAAGUUGUUGAGCUAUGUUGACACUUUUAACUGUACGAAGUUUUUUUUUUUGUUUUUAAAUAAAGAAGCAACCUGAUUGUGCCCCCUGCUAUACAUUCCGUUAAUCAGAUACCCAAAGGAUUUGUAAAAUUAUUUAAAAGCAAAUCCAGUGUUUUGAAAAUCGGACCGGACCGGCCGGUUCGAUCGGUCGAACCGCGAACCGGGCAUGGCACCGGUCCGGUUCCAUGCUUAGGUUGACUUUGCUAGAAAACCGGUCAAACCCGGUAAAAACCGUUAAACCCGUUGAACCGUAUUGAACCGGUUUUCGAGUUUUCCCUCUUUUUUUUUUUUUUGCAAAAUGCUUCUAUCAAGUUUCGAACUCAAAACCUUUGCAAUAGAAGACCAGUGUAAUAACCAUUGCGCCAUCACAUCUUAUUUGCUUUUUUCGAUAAUUUAUUUAUAUAAAACAAACAUCUAUAUUUUAUUUUUCCAUUUUUUUUACAAAAUCUCAUUCUCUCAUGACUCUUUCUUUUUAAUUUUCAAUUCUCUCUUUCUCUCUCAUCUUUUUUUUUGUCACUCCAUUUUUUAGUCAAACCUCUAUAGUUUUAAUUUAUUGAUGUUUUCUUCUAUCUUUUAAUUUUGUUUUUGUCCAUUAAAUUGAAAAAGUUAAAAAAGAAUUAUUUUUCUUUAACCCAAAUUAUUUAAUGCCACAACCACUCACUUUUAUCUCAUUUUUUGUUUCUUAUCAAGUUUGCAUUUUUAUUUUCAAUUCUCUUGACUUCUUUCGAACUCCAAACUUUCUUUUUUAAAUUACAAUAUUUAAAUCUCAAAUAUGUAAAUUAAAAUUUAAAUUCACAAUGUCAAAUUCUCAUAGACGUGAAUUUUGUAUAAUUUCAAAAUAUUAUGAUAUUUUUGGGUUGGAUUUGAGAUUUUUUUGGUAGAUAUAAUUAAAAUUGAGAUGAAAUUUAUUUGUUUUAACUUAUAAUUUAAAAAUUUUAUUUUUGAAAAUCCAAAAUAUUCAAAAAUAGUGAACUUUUCAUCAUAUAAAGUUUUAAAUUAGUCUAUUGCAUAUCUUAUUUUGCGCAUAUAUAUAUUUAUAUAAAUUAUUUUUUUUUAAAUCAUUGAACCGAGGUUGAACCGGUCCGACCGGUUGAACCUCGACCCUUUCACCUCACCGGUUCAAUUGACGGUCCGGGUUUUAAAACAUUGAGCAAAUCAUGUAGUAAUUUAAAAGCAAAUCAAUGCUCAAAUAUCCUUCAACAACAAAAGUAACCAAGUGAAAGGGUUCAAAAGAACUGCAAGCUAACAUGAAAAUAGCAUUGCUAUCUAAUAAACAAAAGAGAAUCAGCACUAAGUCUAUAAGAAAUUGCAGUGAAUAAAGAGAAAGGCAAGUGAUUGAUGCUCCAAAUGCAUCUUGGAUUGUUUGCCACAAGUCAUACGGUCUAAUCAACCUGCUCAUUAGGUUCCAGCGUUACUUGUACAUUUAUCUCAUACCAAUUUGAUCCUAACACUUGUCCGCCAAUAUCAUCAGAUGGAUUCGGGCCUGAAACACUGGUAGAUGACGAUGAUGGAUACCUUAGGCUGUCUGCUGAAGUUUGACUCAAUUAUUGCGCUAAUUUCUUCAGAUCAGCAAUGUCUACAUCUUGUUACUUCAAUUUAUCUUCCAUUAUUGAUAAUACUGCCUGCUGCUCAAUAUUUUUAUGAUGGCACAUACUACGACUUGGGAUAUCCCUCUACAAGUCAGUUGGAUUGACACCUUCACUAAACAGCCGGAUGUGGCCAAGUUUGUUUUGUCCAAUGACUUGAGCAAAUAUGUCAUUUCGGCCAACUGAGUCCUCAGUUUCUGGUGAAAGUUUAGCUUGUUUUUCUUUCAUUUUCUAUUCUUUCAUUUUACUCUAAAAGAAAAGCAAAUAUAGUUAUUAUUAGUCUCAGCAUGACUUAAGUAACAUACAAACACUCUUAGUUCACUUAUCAAAUUCUCAACCACCACACUACUCGAUGGAGUCCCGUCAGCAUGGCUAUAAAAUUUAUCAAACCUAAUACAUGUUCAGGUCGAUCAUUUUACAAAAAAGAAAGGAAAAAUAAUAUCACCCUUAGUUCCACAUCAAACCUAAAACGUCUUUUCACUAAUAAGUUUCAGAUUAAUGAGGUAGUAAUUAGUAAUUGGUACUUUUGGGAUCUAGAUAUGAAUUAUAACAUGUAACACUUGGUUCUAAGAUAGAAAAUUCUGAGCUAAGACUAACUUUUCUUUUUUCGGCUCAGAGCUUAGAUAAACUUCUGAGAUUCUAUCAACAACAGCUAUUCCAAGCAAUGCAAGCUUUUUAUUUUAUGAAUCGUGAUGCCUGCUAUGAUUCUACAUUUUUUCAAGCUUCAUUCUGGUGGCCUAAAAUCUAGUACUUCCCUUCAAGAGAUCACCUCAUUUAGAAUGCAAAUUGACAACAUUGACAAUAGUCAGUCCAGAUAUUCUAAAAAUCAGACAUACGAUCAUUAUAUAACUGAGAUGGCUGCAUAAAAGGUUUAAGAAAUGUGGUAUAGAAUUAUUCCUCAUAGUACAAUCAAUUAGAUAGCUGAAUCCGAACUACGUGAACCACCUCUACAAUUAAGGUCAUUAGAGCAGCUAAAGGAAAGAUACAUACAGAGAAAAAAGAGGGGAGUGGUGAAGAGAUGGACGAAAUUAAGCCAGCCGCAGCCAAUAACAUCAUUCAGAGAGGUCAAUAAAAAAUCCUUGUUUCGAGGUCAUGAGUCACAGUAUAUAUUUCGAACAUCUACUCAUCUAGCACCCACCUUUAUCCCAGCCAAAGUCUCUGUUUCUUUCUUGCACACUUGCAAAAUUCUAACUACAAUGUAUUUCCGCUACCCAUCUAGAGUUAAUUUUCCCUUCACAAUAAAAAAUGUAAACUAGCAAUCCAUAGUUUGUUUGAUGUUUAUAUGACAUACAACUAUGCUAUGACUAAUUAUAAGCCGAGCAUUCGAUUCAUAAUUAGACCGUAGCAUAUACCAAGAAUAAACGUAAUUGAGAACAAAUUUCCCAGGAUACUAACUUUGCAGCUAAAUGGAAACCUGACAUAUCCAAGAUAAAUGUUAUGUUUAAUUCCUCAUCUCCCACACCGCCCACCCCCAGAUCCCAAAUUUAUAACAGACAUUGGGCUAACGAAUUUUGCCAAACUUCCAAUGCAUAUACUACAAAAUACUUAUAUAAAUCCAGUAAUCAAAUUCAUAAAGAAAGUUAAAACGCUGUCAAGCAAGAUUUGAACUUCACAUUGCUUUAAUUAAACUAAAACGUCUGAAGACUAUCAAUUUACUUCACAAAACACCAAAUUGGAAAAAAGGAAAAAAAACCCUAAUUAACCCAGAAAAGUUAUAAAGCUGAGAGGGCGGGUAACAACAGAAACAUUACCAUUCGAACAUAAGGGUUGUCGCCGAGGCAAGACUCGCAUAUGAUAGGGAAGUCGGAUCGUUUCCCAUCCGUCUGCUUCAACGUCUCUCAAUAGUCUGUGCACCAUUUUAUCAGAAUUUCACUCUGCAAAAAAGGUUGAAAUUCAUAAGUAACCAAAGAAACAUAAACAGACGACCCAAAUGCCACCUAGAUCUGCACCUCACCAAAGGUUUGCAUUCUACUUGACAUUUUAUCGAACAAGUUAUGGACAACAAAUCCAUAACAAAAUAGUCACAUUCUACAAGUAUGUAUUACCUCCUUUUUGACAGACUCUUCCUUCUCGGAUAAAAUCAACUUAAUAUGGCAGGGGAAAGACAUGUAGGCUAGCCAAAAAGAUCAUAUAUUGAAGUUAAUAGACAUAAUGGACAGAAUAGAAAACUCAAAAAAAAGUCAUCUGUCGGACAUACGGUUUAUUCUUCCAUAGGCACGAUAUGUGCGACGUCUUUGUUUAUGUGCUUGAUUCACUUGAAUGUGAGAAAUGAAAAGUGAAUCCACAUCCAAGCCUUUCACCUACAUAGACAAACCUCUGCAUUGCUUUCAGCAUUCUUGAGCAAAUUCAAAAUGAAGCUAGCAGAUUUAACAGGCCAGCAACCCUGUCCAUUUGAAUGCCUAUUCUUGGCCUAAGCAGUACGCCCGACACCUCCACAGAGAGAGGGGGAGGGAGGGCUGGAAAUGGUGGAGUUGGAAAAUGAAAAUUUUGGGUAAGUGUUUUGACUAAGUGUUUUGGCCGGUAGAAUGAAAAUUUUGAGUGUUUUAGAGCAAAAGAAUCUUCCGCCAAAAUCAAACGGUGUCGUUUUGUGUCUUUCUUUUUUUUUUUGGUACAUCUCACAUUUUCUCAAGUGUCAUGUUAGGUAGUCUAAAGGCACAUUAUUUUUUUAUAUCUGAAAAAAUAAAAAAUAUUAGAGUAUAUAUUAUUGAAUUGCUAAUAAGUGUCAUGAUAGGAGUGCUAUAAUGAUACAAACCAGCAAAUACCCUUAUAGGCAUGUUACGAUAGACCAUUUUUGUUGUAGUGACAUGCGCUCUGCCGUCACUGGAGCCCACCACCAUUGAAGUCCACUGUGAUUAGCAUUGUUCCUCGGGACUCAGUUUUUUGAAACCAUGGAAGUUCAAAAUAGCCAAAAUCCUAAUGACGAUUCGGGAGCAAAGCAAGAUGAAGAUAUCCUGAGAAAAGGCAAGAAAAAGUUCAAACGAAGAUCAACUGGAGAAAUAGUGGAGAAUAUUCAUCUUGGCGUCAACAAGGAUGCAAGGCUCAAUGGACGAAAUUUGCGAAACCCACAAUCGGGAGCAGGAGCCUGGGGGAAGAGAUCCUUUCUCGACCCGCUUAAAGAAGUGAAGCAGCCAGGGAAGUUCUACGAUGGGGUAGGGAAGGAAAUGGAUUUGGAUGAAGAUCCUCUCUUUUCAGAGUCAGAUUUGACCAAGGAGGCCGAGAUUCGUGAGUCAAAAUUGCCAAGGGUGGACUCAGAGCAAGAUGAAAUCAAGAAAUUCUGGCGUCCUUGGAGGAGAAGCCUCGUGAUUAAAGUAUUGGGAAAGAAGGUGGUGUACAAAGCUCUGAAAAAUCGUUUAAGAGACUCCUGGGCGCUGCGAGCGAAUUUCGAACUAUUGGAUUUAGAAAACAGAUUUUUCCUCUCGUGAUUCCGGACUAAAGAGGAUUAUCAAAAUGUACUAAAAGAGGGGCCAUGGACAAUUCAAGGGCACUAUAUUACCAUCAGUAAAUGGAAGCCUGCGAGCGCAGACAUUAAAACUACAUCAGUAUGGGCUAGGUUGCCGGGUCUACCAGUAGAAUAUUACGAUGAGGGGUUCUUGAUGAGGAUUGGCAAUGCACUUGGUAAAGCUCUGAAGGUUGACUACCAGACCCUAUCUGCUACCAAAGGUAAAUAUGCACGCUUAUGUGUGGAGGUGGAUUUGAAGAAGCCUUUGGUGCCAUUCGUUUGGGUGGACAGAGAGCUGCAAGUAGUAGAAUAUGAGGGCCUAGAGGCGAUAUGUUUUGAGUGUGGGUAGUAUGGGCUAGGGAUGUAAUUGAGCCAAGUCGAGCUCGAGUAUUGUUAUAUUCGAGCUCGACUCGACUCAUAUGUGCCUAGCCUCGAACUUGGGUCGAGCUCGACCGAGUUCAAAAAAUCGUAACUCGAGGCUUGAUUCGAGGAAUUUAAUUUAAACUCGAGACUCGACUCGAUAAGACUCGACUUUUAAUCAAGCCUUAUCAAGUCGAGUCUAAUCAAGCUUUUUGGCUCGACUCGAAAAAGUUUCUGUUGUAAAUUCAGUAUAAAUUAUACCCAAAAUGGUCAUUUUAUAAUUAUAAUACAUAUAUAUUAUUUAAAUUAUAUAUAUUAUUUAAAUACGCCCCGACUCGACGAGUUUCAAGUCUCAAAUUAUUGGCUCGAAACUCGACUCGAAUACCAAUCGAGUAGCUCGAGACUCGACUCGAACUCGGUUAAAUCGAGUUCAAGCCAAGCCAUUGACCGAGCUACUCGCAAGUUACUCGUGAGUAGCUCGGCUCGCAUACAUCCCUAGUGUGGGCAUAUUGCUUUAAAUAGCUGGAAUGGGUCCGAAGUGCCAGCAGCAGCUGCAGGGGAUGAGAGACAGGUUAAAUACAGAAAACAGGAGAAAGCUGAGAGCAACCUCUUUGGGCCUUGGAUGGUGAUAAGCAAAAGGAGAUCAAGGGCGACAAGUAAGGCCAAGAUGGGAGUCACUCAGUAGGAGCUUAAGGACAAGCGCCAGCAAGACAUAAAUUUACCGAGGGGCAGUAUCACAGAGCCAAAUGAAAAAAGGGGAAGCCAGGUCGAGGGCAUAGACUCGAAUGGACCUGCAUGGGGCAAGGUGAAGGAAUGUAAUGGCUCGAGAUUCGAAAUUUUAAGUGAGACUGGAGAUGAUGGACCAGUCCUGAGAGAGAGGGACUCUAAGGAAGCUCUCAUGGACAAAAUCAAUGCAAUACCCAGUCCAUCCCAUGGUUUGGUGUUCAAGAGUCCUGAGAGGGCAUUUGGACAAACUAAGGGAAAGGAGAAUCAGAGUUCUAGUUGCAGGAAGCUAGAGCAAAAAAGGAGCCUUAAGACAGUAAUAGUUAAUUUGCCAAGGCAGAGCCAAUCUUUAGGUGGGCAAAGAGUUUCAAUUCUGUAAAAGGGUGUGAAAAUAAGAGAAGGAGAAGCGAAAAUGGGGGAGUGUUCAAGACAAGUGGAGAAGCCAUACCGAGACAUUAUUUUGUGAGAUGCAGUGGGUGCAGAAGCUACAAUAGAUCAGUCAUUAGAUAGGGCAAAAGGGAGUGGAGAAGCAACUGAUAUGGAUCCCGGUGACCCACCAAUGGCCACCAAGAGAAAGGGAUGUUGGAUCUGAGAGAAACAAUUAGCAUUCCGAACCAGCCACAGAUUAAGGGAAUCAACCUAAGGGACGACAAUCUAAUUUUCCUAGGGAGGGGGAUAGGAAUGGGAGCAGCUACUGAAACCAAGGAAGGGAGAUGCCCUGAGCCAUACCAUACUUGAAUCUAUAGUCAAGAUGAAGAUUAUUAGUUGGAACUGCCGUGGGGCAGCUAACCAGAGAUUUUGGCGAAAUAUUAGGGAAAUACAGAAUCAGCAUAGACCAGACAUCCUGAUAUUAAUGGAAACGAAAGUAGCGAGUGAUAAUGCGACGAGAAUUAUGAGUUGUUUCCACUAUGAUAGCAAGAUGUGUGUAGAGGCAGCCGGAUUCUCUGGAGGCAUUUGGAUGUUCUGGAACAGCUUAGAGCUGGGGAUUGAAGUAAUAGGUACAAAUUAGCAAUUCAUUCAUGCGAUAGUCCGGGAUAACUCGCAACGGGAGUGGCUACUAUCUGCAAUUUAUGCAUCACCCGACAGGGGUUUGCGUUGAGAGUUAUGACAAUAUCUUAAAUUGGUAGGAUCCCAUAUAAACUAUCCCUGGUUGAUUAUUGGGGAUCUCAAUGAGAUAGUAGAAGCUGAUGAAAAGGGCGGACAAGUUUUUAGGAGAGUCAGUGAAAACAACCUCUGGGAUUGCAUUCAUAGCUGUGAGUUAAUUGAUUUGGGGUUUAAUGGUCUAGCCUUGACAUGGAACAACCUUCGGAAAGGAGAAGCAUGAGUUAGGAAACGUCUAGAUAGGGCACUAUGUAAUGAGGAGUAGAGACUUCAUUUUCCAGAAGCGGCAGUUACAUAUAUGGCCCGAGCACAAUCGGAUCAUCACCCCUUAUUGCUGGAGGAUGCUGUCGGAGGUAGGAAGUCAGCAGGCCUUAAGCCUUUUAGAUUUGAGUUGGCUUGGACGACCCAUCCAGGGUUUAUGGAAGAAAUGGAGAGAUGCUGCGGGACGGAGGACGAUUUACUACAGAAUUUGGUGAAACUCUCAGAGAGAUUUCAAAUAUGGAACACCGAGGUCUUUGGGAACAUUUUCCAUAGGAAGAGAAGAUGCUUAGCAAGGUUAAAUGGCAUACAGAAGGCGCUUUCCCAGAAAGAAUCGAAGUCUUUGGAAAAGUUAGAGGAAAAAUUAAUUUCAAAGUAUAAUGAAAUUUUAGAAUAGGAGGAGGUGUUCUAGUAUCAGAAAUCAAAGGUGCAAUGGUUAAGGUGUGGAGACAGGAAUACCAGAUUCUUCUACCUCUCUACAAUCAUAAAACAAAAACGCAAUGAAAUACUGAGUCUCAAGGAUAAGGAGGGCCGGUGGCAAACAGAUAGGGAAUUGGUAAGAGACAUUGCGGUAGAUUUUUUCAAAAAUCUAUAUAGUAGUGAGAAUGUUUAGCCUUUGAAUAGAGGAGGUGCUAAUAGUUUCAAGGGUCUAACUAAGAGGCAGAAAAACUUUUUAACACAUGGGGUUAGUGAAAUGGAAGUCAAGAAGGCACUGUUUGAUAUGGGAAGCAAUAAAAUACUUGGACUGGAUGGAGUGUGUGCGAGCUUCUAUCGGAGAUGUUGGUCAAAAAUAGGACGCUUACUAGUCAAAUGGGUGUAGGACGUCUUCAGGAGGAAGGAGCUACUGCCUGGAGUGAAUAGCACGCUGAUAUCCCUUAUACCAAAAAUGAAGAGUCUGGAAGUUGUGGUACAUUUGAGACCGAUUUCUUUAUGUAAUAUGAAUUACAAGGUAGUGACCAAAGUAAUUGUCAACAGAUUGAGGCCUUUGCUAAAUGAGUUGGUAGGUCCAGAACAGGCAAGCUUUAUUUCUUGGAGGCAAUCGUGUGAUAAUGUGAUAAUUAUCCAAGAACUAUUACAUAUAAUGAGGAAGAUGAAAGGUAAAAACGGUGCUAUGAUAAUUAAGAUAGAUUUGGAAAAAGCUUACGAUAGAGUAAUGUGGGAUUUUUUACAUCAGACCCUGGAAUGGGCUAGUAUACCUCACGAGCUAAUCAAGCUGAUUAUGAAUUGUGUACAAGUGGAGGCAACUGCAAUUCUAUGGAAUGGGGAAAAAUCAGAGAGUUUUGUUCCGUCUAAGGGCUUGAGGCAAGGGGGCCCCUUUUCACCGUAUCUUUUUGUAUUGUGUAUGGAGUGUCUAAGUCAUUUAAUAUUGUAGGCCACGAAAGGAAAACAGUGGAGAGAAGUGAAGACAUCAAGAGUUGGACCGAGGAUAACUCACCUAAUGUUUGCGGAUGAUUUAUUGUUGUGUGCAUAAGCCACGCCUUUACAAGGUCAAAUAGUUCGUAGCAUCAUGGCAGAAUUUUGUGGUAUCUCAGGGCAGAAAAUCAACAUGGAUAAAUCCAAGUUCUUCUACUCGCAGAAUGUAAAAAGCACAGUAGUCAAGGAGAUAAGUAAGAUUAUAGGGAUAAAUGAGACAAAGAAUCUUGGAAAGUACCUAGGAGUUCCACUUUUUCACUCGAGAGUUACUAAAGGCAUGUUUCAACCUUUGUUGGACCGUGUCAGAAUGAAGCUAGCCGGUUGGAAAAACCCUAUCAUUUGCGGGGAAAGCCGCCUUAGUUAAGUCAGUCCUGUCUGCUAUACCAAUGUACCACAUGCAGAUAGCAUUAAUCCUGGUGACGGUACUGGAUGAGUUGGAGAAGUAUGCUAGAGGCUUCCUUUGGGAGGAUAAUAAGAAGAGCAAAAGGAUUCACCAUAUCAACUGGGAGACAGUGACUCAAUUAAAAAAGAGGGGAGGUUUAGGGAUUAGAAGAAUGAGGAAAAUGAAUGUGGCAAUGCUUGCUACACAGAGCUGGAGGCUGUUUAAGGAUGAGCAGGCUUUGUGGGAGAAAGUGGUUAAGGGAAAGUAUGGUAAGGUAUAACAGGAAUCAAGUGUUCAUCUAGGGUUGGGGAUUCCCAUGUAUGGAAGAGCAUUGCAAAGGGCAGCGAAUUACUUAAGAAGGGAGCACAGUGGAAGAUUAGGAAUGGAGAGACAAUACGGUUUUGGAGGGAUAAGUGGUUAGAGGAUGAACCACUAUUGGAUGAGAUAGAGGGGGAAAUACCAGAGGAAGAAGUGGAGAAAAAGGUAGAGGACUACUGAAACAGUAAUGGCUGGAAUCUUGAUAAACUUGGAUCUUGGCUAAAACCAGAGCAGAUAGAAGCUUAUAGGCAUUUAUAUCCUCCCUGGUGCAGACAACCCAGACCGGCAUUGUUGGAAACUCGAGCCAAAGGGGGUAUUCAUCACCAGGUCGGCAUAUGAAUUGGAUUGGUUAGAGAGGGAAUUGCAGGAGGAGUCGGCAAGCUGGGAGAAGAUAUGGAAAACACAAGGUCCAGGACGAUGGUAGUUUCUACUCUGGUUAGUGAGGCAUGGUAAACUAUUAAAGCCAGAGCAAAAGACUAAAAGGAAACUGAGCCCGACUUACUGUCCAACAUGUGCAACUGCGGUUGAAUCAACCAUUCAUGCUGUCCGCGACUGUGGAUGGAUAAAGAGCAUAUGGAAAUAGUUUGUCAGGCAAAAUAGAUGGGAGGAGUUUUUGAACAAACCAGUGCUGGGUUGGGUGGACUGGAAUCUAAAUGAUGGAAGGAUUGGAAGGGAAGGGAAAGAGGAAUGGCAGCUGACAUUCCAACAGAUUAUGUAUCUUGCAUGGUCAGCCAGAAAUUCCUUUUGUGCCACAGGAGAUGAGCAGAAAUUGGAUAUUAAGAAUGAAGAGAUUUGUUGACGCAUAGGUCAAGCCAAAGAAGCGAUACGUAGGAGGGAUGAUCUAGGGAGAAAGCAGUAAAGUUUUUCAGAUGGGAAAAGCCUCCAGAUGAUUGGUGCAUGAUGAAUGUGGAUGGAGCUGCAAACCACACCUCUAGAAGGGCAGGAGCUGGAGGUAUUCUCAGAGAUAGUUAGGGGAGAUGGAAAGCUGGUUUUACAAUGAGUCUCGGGCUAACUGAUAAUAUGACAGUAGAACUAUGGGCAAUACUUAAAGGGUUAGAAAUGCCUUGGAACUCUGGGGAACAAAGACUGAUUUUGGAAACUGAUUCAAAGGCAGCUUUGGAUAUAAUACAAGGAGCAGGUUUGGAAUCACCAUUAUCCAAUCUGAUACUUCUCAUCAGGAGCUACACACGUAGGGAUUGGGAAUGUAGACUACAACAUGUUUGGAGAGAAGGGAACAGGUGCGCAGACUGGCUAGAUAAAAGGAGUGUUAACAGAGAAUAAGGGAUGCAGAUUCUAACUGAACCUCAACAGGAAUUGAGGGAUUUGAUUGGAGCAGAUAUUUUGGGGGCCGCGACCUCGCGUUUUGUCCCUACUUAAGAGGGUCGUCCUCUCCCAUGUGAACAAAAAAAUAAAAAAGUUCGAGUCCAAGUUUUUUAACUCGAAUCAAGUUUGAGUAGUGCACUACUCGAGUUCGAUUCGAUUCGAUUACAACCUCAUCUAAGAAGAGUCCUAUCAAGGCCUUUGGGGCAUUCUCAAGGCCUUCAUCUAUGUCUUCAACGUAUGCCAUCUUCCUUUCUUUCAUCAGUGAAAGUAUCAUUUUCAGGAACCUAGGAUAGAGAUGAUAGCAAUCCAAGACAACAAAUCCUUCCAUAUGUAGGCAGAAGAGGUUGUGGACACCUUCAUGCUGAUCAAGGUUAUAUUGUGAGAUCAAUCCAUACACAACAGUGCGGCCUUGGAAUCUCAUGUUGAAAAGCACAACAUCAAAUCAAGCAUCUAUCGUCUGACAUACUCGAAGCAAAUGUCAAUGCCAACCGGAAAGUACCUAAAAAAAAGAAGACAGAAAGUCAGGAGUGUGGAUCUGCUUUGAGCAGUGCCAAUGGGAAUGUGAUAUAGGAGAAUGAAAUACAUGACAUGCAAGAAAAGAAGAUGCCCUUGCAGAGUGAAACCUACGUCAUAUUUAAACAAGAAACUAAUUAAAUAAAAGCCUACAAAGUUUCAAAGGAUGAAUUCAAUCUUGAUGAUCUUCAAAGUUGAUUUGAGCUGAAAGAUACUGCUCAGUGAUGCAUCGACAUGAUCUAUUUGAGUAGAAGUCCUGAUCAUCAUGAAAAAUGCUGUUUCAACAGGCAAUGGUUCCAUAGAAGAAGUAAAUUUUAAGGGCUUUGUCCUGAAUCUUUAUUUUUUCCAACUACCAUGCAAAGCUGAAGCUGACCCUUUCAGGGCCGCGUUUACAUCUGCCUCUUCUUUAUAAUUGAAAGCUUCAUCAAAUCCGAACUUGGUCUUCAGCAAAUCAACCUUCAAAACAAAAACAAGAGUCAGUAGAAGCCAAUAUAUAUAUAUAUGUGUAUAUAUAUAUAUAUUAAUCAUGCCAAAUCCCCGACUUAGGUCAUUAGGUACAUUAGGCAGCUUAGAAAAAUUGAGGGUACAACAUUAUAUGAACUGUAAACCUAGAAUUGGAAAAGGAAAGAAUUAAGUGGAAGAAGGGAAGGGGGGCCUUUGUGGCUUUUUUUUUGAAAAAAUUUUGACCAAAAUCUAGAUAUUUGUCAUGUUUUUAGUGGGGAAAAAAGAAACCAAUAACGCUAGGCAUUUGGAGGUAUUCAAGGAAAAUUUUUGCCAAAUUUCUUUUCCUUGUUAAUUUGUCAAUCAAUAAUUUGGUGAUUUUUUUUGAAAAAAAUAGAAUCAUAAACACAUUUUUUUAAUCAUCUUUCUAUUAGGUUCAUUUUUUUUGUCUCAGAUAUAUUACAUCACAGAAAAUAUUAUAGUUUUUCUAAAUUUUUUCACAAAUAAUCUUCAACACGAACACACCCAAAUCUUUUUAUUCUUUUAAUUGCUCCUAUUUUUUUUUGGUGUCUUGAAAAUGUCUGUGAUCAUUUGAAAGAUAAGUACAAAGAAAUAAAAUUAGCAAAAUGAACCAUAUAUCUUACAUUGCAUACUAUUUUUAGAUACAAUGAUCUAAGAAAUAAAUCAUAUUAAGAAAAACAAUGUCACAUCAAAAAUCCGAAAGUGCAAAUCAAACCAAACAUUUGAAGAGCUUAAGGUAUUUAACUCAAAAUUUAUUGCGUGACGCAUGUUUAUUUUCUAGAAAAUUGCACUUAAGGUGCGUUUGGUACCCCAUAGAAUUGGGGUUUAGAAUUAGAAUUAGAACCCUAAUUCUAAUUCUUAUGUUGGAUGCUGCCUUUUCCAUAGAAUUAGCAUUGAAUUCUAAUUUCAAGAGGUUCCAAUUUCAUGAGUUGAAUUCUUUAUUAGACCAAAAGAAUUCUGAUUCCAAUUCCACGUUUAAACCCUAAAAAAACGGGUCUACACGCGGAUCCAAUGUGGAUAAAAAAUAAAAAUCGGGUCAAGUUUAUUCGCGUCCCUCUUUCUAUCUAAUUCAUCGCUUUUGCUCGGCUCAAUGGCUUUUGCUCUCCACUGCCACUUCCAUCUCAACUUCAACAUUUUGCCUCUCGCACCACCAUCACCCCCAUUGCCCUUCGCUCCUCUGACCAUCCCUCUACCCUUCACCACUCCUGCCACCCCUUCGAGUGCUCUCUUCUUUGGAGAUUCGUAUAUUCCGGGGAGGUGAAAGCGAAUUCAACCGCUUUUCUCCGCUUGAGCUCGAAAUUUGUGAUGGAAUUAUGGUCGAACUUGACUAUGAUACUGGUAAAUUGGCCACCAAAUUUGUUCAAAGACGGAGACUUUAUUGUCAUGCGUGGAUAAAGUUGGUUUCAGUUUCCUUUUCUCUUCUUCUUUUUUCUUUUUUCCCCACUUGUUAUUUUUACUAUCUUUGUGUCUAUAUUUCGUGUUUUACUUUGUCUAGAUACUGGAUUCCUGAUUUCGGAAUUAAAGAGAGGAUUGAUCAUAUCCUUUUAGCUCUGGUAAGAAUUUCUUCUUUUUCUCCAUUAGUUCAUUUUUUGUAUUAUUUUAAUUUGACUGAUUCCUUGUUACUUGGUUAAUGGGGUUAAUUUACUUGAUUUCGGUUCCUUGUAUCUCUAUUUCUUGAUUUCUCUUUGAUUUGAUCAAUGAGCUCAUGAUAAAUCUUUUCUGCAAUCAAGGUAAUGAAUAGUUUUUGAUGUUAGAAUCAUAUGUUUAUGGAUGAGUUCUUUAUCUCAGUGCUCCGCAAUUUACUUAGUUUCUAGAAAGUUGGUUGUGGAAUUAUGAUGUGUAGUUGAUUGUGGAAGAUGAAUUCUAUUAACUGAUGACCGCUGUUUUAUUACUUCCUUAACUUGGAUUUGCUCCUGGAUGAUUAUUCUUUUUGGUGAUUUUAGUACAAUUGCUUAAGUUUGCAGGUGGCUGUUAAGCGUGUCCUUGUUCUGAAUACUGUGAGAUCCAGGCUGCCUUUCGUAGUUACUACUACAGAUGAUGCCAAAGAUUCUGUAAAGGAGGAAAUUCGCUUGAGGUAAAAACUUUCUAAAAAUUUUUGACCAUGGGCUUAUGUUUUGCUUAUCUCUGCAUAUUGCUGUUAGUUAUCUUGAUAAUUGAUAUUUUAACCUCUUUGGUCAAGUUGUGCAUUUCUUAAUGAUUGAAGGUCUACUUUUGUUUCUGCUUUCUCUCACUAAUUUGUGGUGCUGUGACUGGAGUGGGUUUGAGUUCAAUUAUUUAAAGGGUUAAAAACAAAAAAGCCCCCUGUGCUAAACCUAAUACACAACUAAGCCCCCUAUGGUUUCAAAAUAUGCAACGCGACACCUCGUGCUUUGAACUAAGUUGUAACACUGACGGAAAUCGGUAAAAUUAACGGGAACUGAUGAAAGGACCAAAAUGCCCUUGUAUAAUACCCAAAAGGCAAUUGAGCGGACUCAUUUCUUCCCUUCAAACCCUACGAAGAGAGAGAGAGAGAGAGAGAGAGAGAGAGAGAGAGAGAGAGAGAGGAAGUAAAUCGAAGGAGACGAAGGAGACGGAAUCAAGUAAGAAAAUCGAAGGAGACGAAGAUUUAUUCCAGAAAAUCGAAGGCAAAUGGGUAUGUAUGCUAUACUUCGUUCAUGUUAUAAUUAAUUAAAAUCAGUUCAUGCAUGUUAUAAUUAGUUUACAAUUUAGGGUUACCCAUCUCAGAUUUUGAGGGCUGAUGAUGUUAUUUACACCCGUAUUUGGGUGUUUACCUUAGAAAAUUCCUGAUUUUGUGAGUUUUGAAACUGGUACUUUGGAUUUAAAAUGAAGAUUUUUGCUGUUUUGGGACUACGACUUUAGUUUUGAAGCCGAGAUUUUUUUAAAAAAUUUUGGGUGUUGGAACUAGGAGUCAUGCAAAUAAUUUCUGAAAUGUCCAUUUUUGAUGGGAGAUUUUUGCUGAUUUGGGACUGCAAGUUUGGAUUUAAAGUUGAGAUUUUUGUUGAUAUUUGGGUGUUGACUAGGUGACGCAAAUAAUUUCUGAAAUUUCCAUUUGUGAUGGGAAAUUUUUGCUGAUUAGGGGUGUUGAGUAGGAUCUAUUUCUGUUUGUGUGUGUUUGUGUGUUUGAGUACAACUCAGUCACUUGCUAUUACAACAAGAUAUUUAACAAAGAAUUGUAAGUCAAAUUUCUAUAAUUGUUACUGUCUUCUCUGGUUUAGUGGUCCAGAAUGCUAUUAAAAUUGGUUUUCUGUUUGUGCUUUUAUGUUUAUUUGGUUUUCUGUAUAUCAAUGAUGGAGACAUAGUAGUUGGGAGACUAAAGCAUAUUUAUUAUAUUUCUUGAAACAUUCAACAGAAGAAGACAAGUCAGAGGAGACAGUAGAUAUACAUAUGUAUUUUGAUGGAAAAUUUAGAGAAUAUCCUGCCCUCCACUACACAGGAACCCGUAUGGCUAUCUUUAAAAAUAGACUUGAGGACCACAUCUGCAUAGUUAGCCUUUGCAGAAUGUUUAAAAAAGUGGAUGAGGAUGCAACUAGAGUGACUUUCUGGUUUUGUGCUCCAGGAGUAGACUUAGAUGGUGGUCUACAUUCAAUUAGGGACCAUGAUGAUGUUAAAUUAAUGAAUAAAGCACAUUGGGGUUUGGCAACAAGGAUAAUAUAUGCCUGUAGUGGGGAUGAUCCUUUUGACUGUUUACUAGAACAUGGUGGGGACAAUGUGUUGGAGCCAAAUUCGACAAUGGAUGCAUCAACAACAAUUAAAAAUGCAGAUGGGGUACAUAACACCAAAAUAGACAGCAGAGAUGGUGGGGUACAAAAAAAAGAUGAUGGGGUUAGUAAUUGCAAUCUAAAUAAGCCAUUUAACACUGAUGAUGAUGAUGAUGAUGAGCCUGAAUGGUUGAAGGAGGGGUUGGAAAAAAAAGAAGAUGAAGACAUUUUCGCAAGUAAAAAAGAUGUGGACAGAAGUAGUAAACCAGAAGGUGGGUCCAUACUACAUUCCACUCAUUUUAAGCCUUAUCACGUGUUCUCUUUCCCUGAGAAAGUGGCUAUCAAGAGCCUUGCCAAAAGUGAAACUAGUAAGGAAAAAAAGUCUAGUAAAAAUAAGAAGCAGUCUGCAGGGCCAGAUAGCAUUGGAGAAAUUCCACCUCAUAUCUCAUUUCAGAAUUCAUCUCAAGCUGCAUCUGAAGCUGCUGACCAACACCCAUCUCAGAUUCCAUCACAAGCUGAAGCAGGGAACAGUAAAAAGGCUGAGGAAAGUUCAAUAGAAGAAGGAGCACCACAUACACCCAAAGAGGAUUGGCAAGAACCAGUAAUUUCUGAUGAAGAGUUGCUGGACAAGUGCGGAUCUAAUGAUGAAGGCCAUGAAGAAUGUCAUGACUUUAACCCUGAAGUGGAGUUUCUCAAGCCACAUUUUGAGUUGAAGGUUGGGCAAAAGUUUUCCAAUUUCAGAGUUUUUAGAUAUGUGUUGAUCGAAUGGUUGGUAAGAGAGGGAUAUGAGGUUGAUUGGGUAAAAAAUUACUCGAAAAAAAUUAUUGCGAAGUGUGCAAAGGGCUGUUCUUGGAGGAUUCGUGCAACACCAGUCCAAGGUGAAACUACUUUUCAAAUUAAAUCAUUGAAGGGGCAGCAUGUUUGUGCUAGAGAUUACAACAACAAGCAUGCAACAGCCAAGUAUUUGAGCGUGAAGUACCAAGACAAGAUAAGAGGUGACCCGCAGUGUGCUGCAAUAGGAUUUCAGAAUGAUAUUAGAAGAGAUCUAAUGAUUAACGUGUCCGUUGCCAAGAUACGCAGAGCAAAGAGAUGUGCAAAAGAUGAGAUGCUUGGCACGGAUAUGGAGCAAUAUCACCACCUUUGGAGUUAUGCAGCUACAAUUAGAGAGACAAAUCCUGGUAGCACUGUCAAGAUUAAGCUUGAUACAGCAGAAGAAGGUUCACAAGGGACAUUUCAAAGACUGUAUUACUGUCUUUAUGCUUGCAAACAGGGGUUCCUCGAUGGCUGUCGACCAAUAAUUGGUCUUGAUGGGUAUUUUUUGAAAUCUGCAUUUGGUGGUCAGUUGUUGUCAGCAAUCGGUAGAGAUGGCAAUGACAAUAUGGUUCCAAUAGCUGUAGCAGUGGUAGAGGUAGAGAGGUAUGACUCAUGGAAGUGGUUUCUGGAACUACUAAUGGCUGAUCUGGGACUUGGUGUGGAAAACAUACCCUGGACAUUCAUCUCAGAUCGACAAAAAGGACUGGUCCAUGCAGUGAAUGAGUUAUUUCCAAAUUCUGAACACAGGUUUUGCUUGAGGCAUAUGUACCAAAAUUUCAAACAGAAGUUCAAAGGAAAAGAGUUGAAGGACUUGUUCUGGGCAGCAGCAAGUGUUGGGAAUGAAGUGGACUGGAAAUUAGCAAUGAAUUCCCUUGAAAAAGCUUCAAAGGAUGCAGCUGAAUGGCUGCAAAAAGUGCCAAGUGUUUUAUGGAGCAGGUCACAUUUUAGACAAAGUAGCAAAUGUGAUAUUCUUGUGAACAAUCUUUGUGAGUCAUUUAAUAACUAUAUCUUAGAAGCUAGAGAGCUACCUGUCAUAGGGAUGCUUGAGUGGAUUCGAAGAAGGCUCAUGCAAAGGAUUCAAGUGAAGAGGACUGGUAUGCAGAAAUUUCAAGGAAAAAUAUGUCCUAACAUUGCAGAGAAGAUUGAUAGAAAUCUGAAAUUCAGUAGGCUGUGUAUUCCCACAUGGGAUGGCAAGAACAAAUAUGAAAUUGAUUGUGGGCCCCGAAAAUCUGUUGUGGUGGAUCUGAAGGAAAAGACUUGCACAUGUGGCUAUUUCCAGCUUACAGGUUAUCCUUGUGCUCAUGCAUGUGCUGCAAUAGGAGCACGUAGAUUGCCUUUGCUUGAUUAUGUGCAUGCCUGCUACAGUAGAGAAAAUUACUUGAAAACAUAUGAGCACACUAUCACACCUGUCCCAAGUAAUAAGUACUGGGUGAGAUGUGAAGAACAACCCCCAAAACCUCCUGCAGUUCGAAGAAUGCCUGGCAGACCCAAAAAGAUCCGGCAAAGGGCAGCCGACGAGCCUAAAAAGGGUCAAGUCUCAACCAGAAAGGGUCUUGUGGUAACUUGCAAGAGAUGUUUUCAGCCAAGACACAAUUCAAGGACCUGCAAGAAUGCCAUUCAUCCCAAUUCUAAAUUCUACAAGGUAACACAGCUUACAGAUUUCAUAGGCUAAGACUAAUUGCUGUCCCAAAUCAUUUUAAUCUUCAAUUAAAAUGAAGUUGUUUUUUAUAGGCUCCUGACACCAAUGUUGCUGAAUCAAGUUCAGAACUUCAUUCAUCAGCUCCUUCACCAAUAGUACCCCCGCAACCAGUCCCAAAUCAAGAACAAGCUGCACCUGUUGAAAAAAAAAAUUGCAGGCCCGGGAAGCAGUAUACGCAGCCAACAAUUGCGAGUGUAGCAAAAAAUGUGCCUGCUAGACAAUCAUGUUCUCAGGUUGGAUUUCAUGUAACGCAAAAGUGAUUUAAUGAAGCAUUUUUCCUUCAAACAUUCAUAUUUUCUACUUCAAUUGCAGCCUGUGAGUGGAACAACUUCACUAGCAAAAGGACCCCUUCGUCCUACUGUUGCUGAUGUUCUAUACAACCUAAGAUCCAAGAAAGCAAGAAGAUGUUAAAGUUGAAUUUUGAAGUGGACUAGAUGUUGUUGAUUGCCUUUUUGUGUAGUUUUAAGGAAUUAGUGGUUGCUGUUAGAGUUGGUAGCAAACAGCUGGAAUGUAUGUUUCUGAUGUAUUUUGUCUACUCUGAUUGGAAUUGUUAUCAAUUAUUGCAAACUGGAAACUUUGAUGUAUUUUGAUUGGAUGCUGUUGGCUUCAGCAAUUUGGAGGAUUCUUUGCUGAUGUUGGACACUUUAAUGUACUUAUUGACUGUUUUAAUGGAGCAUUAUGAUUAUGGGCUGCAAUGGUAUAUCUCAAUUGCAGAAGAAGCUAUUUCUGGGCAGUUUUUAUGGGCUGGAAUAUUUCAUGUCCUGUUUGUCUGGGCAGUUUUUGUUUGGUGGGAUGUAUUUUGUCUACUCUAUUUGAAAUUGUUAUCGUUUCUGGAAUGUAUAGUGAGAUAUAUUUCUGGAAUGUUGGGUGGGAUAUAUUUCUGGAAUAGUUUAUGGACUGAAAAUUUUAAUGUCCUGUGUGGUAAAUUUUAUGAUUGUCGUUCCCAAAGGCUAGUUGCAUUCUUCGUCAUCAAGGUAGUAAAUCAGGAUUCUAUACACAUGCAUCCGGCUGGGCAAGGGUGAGUUUUAUUUGGGUUGCUUAUGGAGGGUAGCAAAUAUAGGAAUAUUUGCUCACAUAAACUUAAGUCAUAGAAGAUAUUUGUUUUGAUUAGCUUCAGCACAUAGGUCCGGUUAAUUUUAGUACCUCAAAUGGGAUUCCGUCAGUGUUACAACUUAGUUCAAAGCACGAGGUGUCGCGUUGCAUAUUUUGAAACCAUAGGGGGCUUAGUUGUGUAUUAGGUUUAGCACAGGGGGCUUUUUUGUUUUUAACCCUUAUUUAAAUCAAAAGCCUGUGGUAUGCUAUAUAAUUUUCUUCAAAUUGCAUAAGUUAACUACUUGAGAUAAUUGAUGUUACUCUUUUCUUUUCACCCCUCUUUUUUGAUGUUGAAGUCCAAUUAACUAUAGAAUGAGAAGAUGAAUUUGACCAUGAAGUUCAGUCGCUGAACCAUAUAUUCAAAUCCAGCUGAAAAUUUGUGUAUAGCCUCAGUAAAUGUCAUCACAAGUUUUGGUGUGAACCCUUGAUGGAAAUCAAGUUAACCUGGUUUCAACUGAUGUUCCUUAUUUUCUUUUCGUGCAAGAUGAGUCUCAGGACCAUAUAAAGAGGUAGCAGCUUCAUGAACUAGCCAUGCUGAACUCAAAUUUUAGAGAAGAGAGUCCAGGACCAAGUGGCAGCGUGUCACCAUUCAAUACUAGUGGAAUGAAACGUCCCAAAAUUGGGCGUUGAAAUGUUGUGUCUACUGCUUCAUUGAAGUACUUUCUCUUAACCUCUGAUCCGCAGAGGUAUGCCUGAACAUAUACAAUUUGUGGCUAUCAACUCUCCUUACGGCUCAAUGCGCAGCUACCUAAGUGAAGAAUUGAUAUGAAUAGACAAAGGGGUAUUUGGAGAUAUGCGUUUUUGGCUGGAUUUUUUUUUAUUUUUAAGUUUUUAUUUAUUUACUGAAGGAACAUAAAACAGAGACAGAAACAGGGUGAGGCAGUUGGAGUAGGGGUGGAAAAGGGGGAAACAGAAAUUGGUUUAUACAGUUGGCCUCUUGAGUUAGGAUUUAUUUGUAACUGAUAGUUUUUAGCUUUUUGGUGUAUACAGUUGAAGCAUUUGAUCAAGUGUUUUUGUUACAUAUGUAGGAUUUAUUUGUAACUGAUUGUUUCCUUAAAUUUUUUUUCAUGAAAUAUUGCUUCUUGAUUUUGUAGUUUUUGUCACAUGAGUGAAAAAUUGCUUCAAAGUUUUCCUCUCUCAUAGUUUUAUCAUGCCAUUGGUACUUAAUGGAGGAGUUUGAGUUUUAGUUGUGCAUAGCUAUUAUGAUUGAUGAAAUCUUUUUUGAAUUUUGCAUAAGUAUUAGAAAUAAGAAGGAAUUUUGCUUUAUUAUAAUAUAUCAAAACACAGUUGAAAAUUCCACGACUGAGAUGGGGAAAUAUUUCUUCACAAAAAGGGGUAAUGGAUCAAAACAUGCUAAAGGAAAUGCUCACCAAAGAAAUUGAUAUGAGAGUGAGAAAAAAUAAAUUAUUAAAGGCACAACUUGGUUUUUUCUUUUAAAUCUUUAGUAAAAAUCAGCUCAAUGUAAGAAAAAAAGAAAUUAUUAUGUAGAAAAAAGAAAAAAAAAGAAAAAUUUUAUGUAAGCAAAUUUUCUUGAAAACAAUUCUAAUUCCUAAUGAAUUCUUCUCUCAUGCAAACAAAGAAUUUGGAAUUCCAAAUAAAUUCUAUAUCAAUUCUAUGAAUUUCCCAAAUGAAAGAAUUGGAAUGACUUGGAAUUCCAAUUCAUAGAAUUUCAGUUCUAUAGAAUUUUGAUUCUAAUUCGGUAGAACCAAACGCACCCUUAAGGAUCAAUUGCAUUUGCUCAGCAUCUCAAGAGUCUUUUUUGUAUUUGAUUAAUUAGUGCAUUUGCUCAGCAUCUAAAGAGUCUCCAUUAGUUCAUUUUUUGUAUUAUUUUAAUUUGACUGAUUCCUUGUUACUUGGUUAAUGGGGUUAAUUUACUUGAUUUCGGUUCCUUGUAUCUCUAUUUCUUGAUUUCUCUUUGAUUUGAUCAAUGAGCUCAUGAUAAAUCUUUUCUGCAAUCAAGGUAAUGAAUAGUUUUUGAUGUUAGAAUCAUAUGUUUAUGGAUGAGUUCUUUAUCUCAGUGCUCCGCAAUUUACUUAGUUUCUAGAAAGUUGGUUGUGGAAUUAUGAUGUGUAGUUGAUUGUGGAAGAUGAAUUCUAUUAACUGAUGACCGCUGUUUUAUUACUUCCUUAACUUGGAUUUGCUCCUGGAUGAUUAUUCUUUUUGGUGAUUUUAGUACAAUUGCUUAAGUUUGCAGGUGGCUGUUAAGCGUGUCCUUGUUCUGAAUACUGUGAGAUCCAGGCUGCCUUUCGUAGUUACUACUACAGAUGAUGCCAAAGAUUCUGUAAAGGAGGAAAUUCGCUUGAGGUAAAAACUUUCUAAAAAUUUUUGACCAUGGGCUUAUGUUUUGCUUAUCUCUGCAUAUUGCUGUUAGUUAUCUUGAUAAUUGAUAUUUUAACCUCUUUGGUCAAGUUGUGCAUUUCUUAAUGAUUGAAGGUCUACUUUUGUUUCUGCUUUCUCUCACUAAUUUGUGGUGCUGUGACUGGAGUGGGUUUGAGUUCAAUUAUUUAAAGGGUUAAAAACAAAAAAGCCCCCUGUGCUAAACCUAAUACACAACUAAGCCCCCUAUGGUUUCAAAAUAUGCAACGCGACACCUCGUGCUUUGAACUAAGUUGUAACACUGACGGAAAUCGGUAAAAUUAACGGGAACUGAUGAAAGGACCAAAAUGCCCUUGUAUAAUACCCAAAAGGCAAUUGAGCGGACUCAUUUCUUCCCUUCAAACCCUACGAAGAGAGAGAGAGAGAGAGAGAGAGAGAGAGAGAGAGAGAGAGAGAGGAAGUAAAUCGAAGGAGACGAAGGAGACGGAAUCAAGUAAGAAAAUCGAAGGAGACGAAGAUUUAUUCCAGAAAAUCGAAGGCAAAUGGGUAUGUAUGCUAUACUUCGUUCAUGUUAUAAUUAAUUAAAAUCAGUUCAUGCAUGUUAUAAUUAGUUUACAAUUUAGGGUUACCCAUCUCAGAUUUUGAGGGCUGAUGAUGUUAUUUACACCCGUAUUUGGGUGUUUACCUUAGAAAAUUCCUGAUUUUGUGAGUUUUGAAACUGGUACUUUGGAUUUAAAAUGAAGAUUUUUGCUGUUUUGGGACUACGACUUUAGUUUUGAAGCCGAGAUUUUUUUAAAAAAUUUUGGGUGUUGGAACUAGGAGUCAUGCAAAUAAUUUCUGAAAUGUCCAUUUUUGAUGGGAGAUUUUUGCUGAUUUGGGACUGCAAGUUUGGAUUUAAAGUUGAGAUUUUUGUUGAUAUUUGGGUGUUGACUAGGUGACGCAAAUAAUUUCUGAAAUUUCCAUUUGUGAUGGGAAAUUUUUGCUGAUUAGGGGUGUUGAGUAGGAUCUAUUUCUGUUUGUGUGUGUUUGUGUGUUUGAGUACAACUCAGUCACUUGCUAUUACAACAAGAUAUUUAACAAAGAAUUGUAAGUCAAAUUUCUAUAAUUGUUACUGUCUUCUCUGGUUUAGUGGUCCAGAAUGCUAUUAAAAUUGGUUUUCUGUUUGUGCUUUUAUGUUUAUUUGGUUUUCUGUAUAUCAAUGAUGGAGACAUAGUAGUUGGGAGACUAAAGCAUAUUUAUUAUAUUUCUUGAAACAUUCAACAGAAGAAGACAAGUCAGAGGAGACAGUAGAUAUACAUAUGUAUUUUGAUGGAAAAUUUAGAGAAUAUCCUGCCCUCCACUACACAGGAACCCGUAUGGCUAUCUUUAAAAAUAGACUUGAGGACCACAUCUGCAUAGUUAGCCUUUGCAGAAUGUUUAAAAAAGUGGAUGAGGAUGCAACUAGAGUGACUUUCUGGUUUUGUGCUCCAGGAGUAGACUUAGAUGGUGGUCUACAUUCAAUUAGGGACCAUGAUGAUGUUAAAUUAAUGAAUAAAGCACAUUGGGGUUUGGCAACAAGGAUAAUAUAUGCCUGUAGUGGGGAUGAUCCUUUUGACUGUUUACUAGAACAUGGUGGGGACAAUGUGUUGGAGCCAAAUUCGACAAUGGAUGCAUCAACAACAAUUAAAAAUGCAGAUGGGGUACAUAACACCAAAAUAGACAGCAGAGAUGGUGGGGUACAAAAAAAAGAUGAUGGGGUUAGUAAUUGCAAUCUAAAUAAGCCAUUUAACACUGAUGAUGAUGAUGAUGAUGAGCCUGAAUGGUUGAAGGAGGGGUUGGAAAAAAAAGAAGAUGAAGACAUUUUCGCAAGUAAAAAAGAUGUGGACAGAAGUAGUAAACCAGAAGGUGGGUCCAUACUACAUUCCACUCAUUUUAAGCCUUAUCACGUGUUCUCUUUCCCUGAGAAAGUGGCUAUCAAGAGCCUUGCCAAAAGUGAAACUAGUAAGGAAAAAAAGUCUAGUAAAAAUAAGAAGCAGUCUGCAGGGCCAGAUAGCAUUGGAGAAAUUCCACCUCAUAUCUCAUUUCAGAAUUCAUCUCAAGCUGCAUCUGAAGCUGCUGACCAACACCCAUCUCAGAUUCCAUCACAAGCUGAAGCAGGGAACAGUAAAAAGGCUGAGGAAAGUUCAAUAGAAGAAGGAGCACCACAUACACCCAAAGAGGAUUGGCAAGAACCAGUAAUUUCUGAUGAAGAGUUGCUGGACAAGUGCGGAUCUAAUGAUGAAGGCCAUGAAGAAUGUCAUGACUUUAACCCUGAAGUGGAGUUUCUCAAGCCACAUUUUGAGUUGAAGGUUGGGCAAAAGUUUUCCAAUUUCAGAGUUUUUAGAUAUGUGUUGAUCGAAUGGUUGGUAAGAGAGGGAUAUGAGGUUGAUUGGGUAAAAAAUUACUCGAAAAAAAUUAUUGCGAAGUGUGCAAAGGGCUGUUCUUGGAGGAUUCGUGCAACACCAGUCCAAGGUGAAACUACUUUUCAAAUUAAAUCAUUGAAGGGGCAGCAUGUUUGUGCUAGAGAUUACAACAACAAGCAUGCAACAGCCAAGUAUUUGAGCGUGAAGUACCAAGACAAGAUAAGAGGUGACCCGCAGUGUGCUGCAAUAGGAUUUCAGAAUGAUAUUAGAAGAGAUCUAAUGAUUAACGUGUCCGUUGCCAAGAUACGCAGAGCAAAGAGAUGUGCAAAAGAUGAGAUGCUUGGCACGGAUAUGGAGCAAUAUCACCACCUUUGGAGUUAUGCAGCUACAAUUAGAGAGACAAAUCCUGGUAGCACUGUCAAGAUUAAGCUUGAUACAGCAGAAGAAGGUUCACAAGGGACAUUUCAAAGACUGUAUUACUGUCUUUAUGCUUGCAAACAGGGGUUCCUCGAUGGCUGUCGACCAAUAAUUGGUCUUGAUGGGUAUUUUUUGAAAUCUGCAUUUGGUGGUCAGUUGUUGUCAGCAAUCGGUAGAGAUGGCAAUGACAAUAUGGUUCCAAUAGCUGUAGCAGUGGUAGAGGUAGAGAGGUAUGACUCAUGGAAGUGGUUUCUGGAACUACUAAUGGCUGAUCUGGGACUUGGUGUGGAAAACAUACCCUGGACAUUCAUCUCAGAUCGACAAAAAGGACUGGUCCAUGCAGUGAAUGAGUUAUUUCCAAAUUCUGAACACAGGUUUUGCUUGAGGCAUAUGUACCAAAAUUUCAAACAGAAGUUCAAAGGAAAAGAGUUGAAGGACUUGUUCUGGGCAGCAGCAAGUGUUGGGAAUGAAGUGGACUGGAAAUUAGCAAUGAAUUCCCUUGAAAAAGCUUCAAAGGAUGCAGCUGAAUGGCUGCAAAAAGUGCCAAGUGUUUUAUGGAGCAGGUCACAUUUUAGACAAAGUAGCAAAUGUGAUAUUCUUGUGAACAAUCUUUGUGAGUCAUUUAAUAACUAUAUCUUAGAAGCUAGAGAGCUACCUGUCAUAGGGAUGCUUGAGUGGAUUCGAAGAAGGCUCAUGCAAAGGAUUCAAGUGAAGAGGACUGGUAUGCAGAAAUUUCAAGGAAAAAUAUGUCCUAACAUUGCAGAGAAGAUUGAUAGAAAUCUGAAAUUCAGUAGGCUGUGUAUUCCCACAUGGGAUGGCAAGAACAAAUAUGAAAUUGAUUGUGGGCCCCGAAAAUCUGUUGUGGUGGAUCUGAAGGAAAAGACUUGCACAUGUGGCUAUUUCCAGCUUACAGGUUAUCCUUGUGCUCAUGCAUGUGCUGCAAUAGGAGCACGUAGAUUGCCUUUGCUUGAUUAUGUGCAUGCCUGCUACAGUAGAGAAAAUUACUUGAAAACAUAUGAGCACACUAUCACACCUGUCCCAAGUAAUAAGUACUGGGUGAGAUGUGAAGAACAACCCCCAAAACCUCCUGCAGUUCGAAGAAUGCCUGGCAGACCCAAAAAGAUCCGGCAAAGGGCAGCCGACGAGCCUAAAAAGGGUCAAGUCUCAACCAGAAAGGGUCUUGUGGUAACUUGCAAGAGAUGUUUUCAGCCAAGACACAAUUCAAGGACCUGCAAGAAUGCCAUUCAUCCCAAUUCUAAAUUCUACAAGGUAACACAGCUUACAGAUUUCAUAGGCUAAGACUAAUUGCUGUCCCAAAUCAUUUUAAUCUUCAAUUAAAAUGAAGUUGUUUUUUAUAGGCUCCUGACACCAAUGUUGCUGAAUCAAGUUCAGAACUUCAUUCAUCAGCUCCUUCACCAAUAGUACCCCCGCAACCAGUCCCAAAUCAAGAACAAGCUGCACCUGUUGAAAAAAAAAAUUGCAGGCCCGGGAAGCAGUAUACGCAGCCAACAAUUGCGAGUGUAGCAAAAAAUGUGCCUGCUAGACAAUCAUGUUCUCAGGUUGGAUUUCAUGUAACGCAAAAGUGAUUUAAUGAAGCAUUUUUCCUUCAAACAUUCAUAUUUUCUACUUCAAUUGCAGCCUGUGAGUGGAACAACUUCACUAGCAAAAGGACCCCUUCGUCCUACUGUUGCUGAUGUUCUAUACAACCUAAGAUCCAAGAAAGCAAGAAGAUGUUAAAGUUGAAUUUUGAAGUGGACUAGAUGUUGUUGAUUGCCUUUUUGUGUAGUUUUAAGGAAUUAGUGGUUGCUGUUAGAGUUGGUAGCAAACAGCUGGAAUGUAUGUUUCUGAUGUAUUUUGUCUACUCUGAUUGGAAUUGUUAUCAAUUAUUGCAAACUGGAAACUUUGAUGUAUUUUGAUUGGAUGCUGUUGGCUUCAGCAAUUUGGAGGAUUCUUUGCUGAUGUUGGACACUUUAAUGUACUUAUUGACUGUUUUAAUGGAGCAUUAUGAUUAUGGGCUGCAAUGGUAUAUCUCAAUUGCAGAAGAAGCUAUUUCUGGGCAGUUUUUAUGGGCUGGAAUAUUUCAUGUCCUGUUUGUCUGGGCAGUUUUUGUUUGGUGGGAUGUAUUUUGUCUACUCUAUUUGAAAUUGUUAUCGUUUCUGGAAUGUAUAGUGAGAUAUAUUUCUGGAAUGUUGGGUGGGAUAUAUUUCUGGAAUAGUUUAUGGACUGAAAAUUUUAAUGUACUUUGGUGUACUUAUUACUCAAAAUUGGAAUGCAGAAGACGUUAUUGUGUGUGCUUAUUGUUCAAAACUGUUUUUAAUGCACAAAUAUGCUUACAAGUGUAUAUAAUAGUUAGAUGUUUGUUUCAUUGUUUUAGGUAGGACAUCUUUCGGAAAAACAGAAGAAUAAAGUGCACAUUUCCAUGAACAAAACAAACUACCUGAUUUUCUUCAUUUCCAUUCAUAAGCUUCUUCAUUGUCUUAUUUUACAGACAUUUUCAUCAACAGAAGCAAAAGUGAAAAAAUAGAUACCAUUAGACAAUAGCUAACUAGUACUUUCAAGUUCUUCACUUCAUCAUUCAAGUUCUUCACUUCAGAAUUCGAGUUCAAGCCCGACAAAUGUUCUUCAACCAUUGGCCUCUCAAAAAAGUUUGCUCUGCCGGUUUCAUCUCUAUAGAUGGGAUUACACCAUGAGAAAAAUCUGCAUUCAUCCCUUUCACAAACAAAGUACAGCAUCCCUUUGGAUGGCCUUUCGGACUCAACAAUCUUCACAUUUGCCUUUCUUCGACAGUCGCACAGCUUAUAUUGGUACCGUAGAUUCCUAACUCCACUAUCCCCUCGAGAGCUUGAGGAAGACAUGAGCAAAUUUUUUAGCCAGUCAUUUCCCUUCAUCAGUAGAUAAAUCCCAAUUUAGUUAACAACAUUCUUACUUUAAACCCUAAUAACAACAAUUUGUUAGCCAAAACCCAAAAUCAAAUGCUUUUACCUUAUGGGCUGCAAUUUGUUAGCCAAGAUUGUGUAGAAGUUCCUCGCAGGUUGACUUCGUAUAUAGAGGAUGGCUUUACCUUUCAAACCUCCUGUGUGGUAAUUUGAUUUCUCCCAAAGGCUAGUUCAAUUUCUCUCCAUCAAGUAGAAAUCGAUUCUAUACACAAGCAUCGCUGGGAGGGAGUUUUAUUGGGGGCUAAGGGGUACAAUAGGAAUAUUUGCUAAAAAUUAAGUAUAAAGAAUUUGUUUUUAGCUUCCAGUACAUCAGUCCCGUUAAUUUUACCGAUUUCCGUCAGUGUUACAACUUAGUUCAAAGCACGAGGUGUCGCGUUGCAUAUUUUGAAACCAUAGGGGGCUUAGUUGUGUAUUAGGUUUAGCACAGGGGGCUUUUUUGUUUUUAACCCUUAUUUAAAUCAAAAGCCUGUGGUAUGCUAUAUAAUUUUCUUCAAAUUGCAUAAGUUAACUACUUGAGAUAAUUGAUGUUACUCUUUUCUUUUCACCCCUCUUUUUUGAUGUUGAAGUCCAAUUAACUAUAGAAUGAGAAGAUGAAUUUGACCAUGAAGUUCAGUCGCUGAACCAUAUAUUCAAAUCCAGCUGAAAAUUUGUGUAUAGCCUCAGUAAAUGUCAUCACAAGUUUUGGUGUGAACCCUUGAUGGAAAUCAAGUUAACCUGGUUUCAACUGAUGUUCCUUAUUUUCUUUUCGUGCAAGAUGAGUCUCAGGACCAUAUAAAGAGGUAGCAGCUUCAUGAACUAGCCAUGCUGAACUCAAAUUUUAGAGAAGAGAGUCCAGGACCAAGUGGCAGCGUGUCACCAUUCAAUACUAGUGGAAUGAAACGUCCCAAAAUUGGGCGUUGAAAUGUUGUGUCUACUGCUUCAUUGAAGUACUUUCUCUUAACCUCUGAUCCGCAGAGGUAUGCCUGAACAUAUACAAUUUGUGGCUAUCAACUCUCCUUACGGCUCAAUGCGCAGCUACCUAAGUGAAGAAUUGAUAUGAAUAGACAAAGGGGUAUUUGGAGAUAUGCGUUUUUGGCUGGAUUUUUUUUUAUUUUUAAGUUUUUAUUUAUUUACUGAAGGAACAUAAAACAGAGACAGAAACAGGGUGAGGCAGUUGGAGUAGGGGUGGAAAAGGGGGAAACAGAAAUUGGUUUAUACAGUUGGCCUCUUGAGUUAGGAUUUAUUUGUAACUGAUAGUUUUUAGCUUUUUGGUGUAUACAGUUGAAGCAUUUGAUCAAGUGUUUUUGUUACAUAUGUAGGAUUUAUUUGUAACUGAUUGUUUCCUUAAAUUUUUUUUCAUGAAAUAUUGCUUCUUGAUUUUGUAGUUUUUGUCACAUGAGUGAAAAAUUGCUUCAAAGUUUUCCUCUCUCAUAGUUUUAUCAUGCCAUUGGUACUUAAUGGAGGAGUUUGAGUUUUAGUUGUGCAUAGCUAUUAUGAUUGAUGAAAUCUUUUUUGAAUUUUGCAUAAGUAUUAGAAAUAAGAAGGAAUUUUGCUUUAUUAUAAUAUAUCAAAACACAGUUGAAAAUUCCACGACUGAGAUGGGGAAAUAUUUCUUCACAAAAAGGGGUAAUGGAUCAAAACAUGCUAAAGGAAAUGCUCACCAAAGAAAUUGAUAUGAGAGUGAGAAAAAAUAAAUUAUUAAAGGCACAACUUGGUUUUUUCUUUUAAAUCUUUAGUAAAAAUCAGCUCAAUGUAAGAAAAAAAGAAAUUAUUAUGUAGAAAAAAGAAAAAAAAAGAAAAAUUUUAUGUAAGCAAAUUUUCUUGAAAACAAUUCUAAUUCCUAAUGAAUUCUUCUCUCAUGCAAACAAAGAAUUUGGAAUUCCAAAUAAAUUCUAUAUCAAUUCUAUGAAUUUCCCAAAUGAAAGAAUUGGAAUGACUUGGAAUUCCAAUUCAUAGAAUUUCAGUUCUAUAGAAUUUUGAUUCUAAUUCAAUUCUAAUUCGGUAGAACCAAACGCACCCUUAAGGAUCAAUUGCAUUUGCUCAGCAUCUAAAGAGUCUUUUUUGUAUUUGAUUAAUUAUGAAGAUGAUUUUAGAAUAAUUAUGUUUUCCAGUUUUCAAAUGGGCAAAUUGUUAUAUUUGUUAGAUUAAAAGUAAGCCCAAAUAGAGCUAACUACCACUAGAAACCCUCUAGAGUUAAAGUUUUAACUACCAAGCACAUCAUGCAACCAUGGUGUGAAGCCCCUACUCUUAAAAUGGUUUUCCAAGAUUUGCUUUAUUAAUCAGGAAGAAUAGGGGGAGGAGUCCAAGAGUGUAAAAUCAGCUUGAUUGGAAAGGUGCUGGGUGAGAAAGCCUCAAACUACACGGGUGUGAAGAAUUUUGUGACCACUGCAUGGGGGUACCCAAAACAUUUGAGAGUGGUGGAAUUAGGACUGAACAUGUUCCAGUUUGUUGUGCCUUCCGAAAGUGACAGAGAGAGGAUCCUGCAGGGAGGACCUUGGAUAAUGGAUAAUCAAUUGCUUGUUCUGAAUAGUUGGUAUGAAGGGAUAGAGGAUGAUGAAAAGGCUUUUUGUUUGGCACCACUUUGGAUCCAAGUUUGGAAUUUACCGGUUCACUGGAUGUCCAAAGAGGCAGGUAAGAAGAUUGGCUCAUUCUUUCAUCAGGUUAGAGAGGUUAUAAUUCCCCAGACUGGGGGAAAGGAAGGUAGACAUUUGAAGCUUUUAGCUAUGGUGAACACACACCUCCCUCUGCUGAGAGGAACAAUUGUAAAGGUGGGGGAGGUUACUAAGUGGGCUAGUUUCAAGUAUGAGCGAUGCCUAGACUUUUGCUAUAAUUGUGGAAUCAUAGGCCAUAGUGAAAGGACCUGCUCGAAGUCAGGCUCUUUGAGUGGAGGAAAAAAGGACAACCAGUACGGUCCUUGGCUCCGAAGUGGAAAUUCGAGGGUAUCUUCACAAGAGAAACAGACAAAUAUAGUGUAUAACCCACAGAAACAGCAAUGGAGGCUCCAAGAUGGACUGUGGAAGGAGAAAGAAAGUAAUGAGGGUCAGAAGGGUGAAAAGAAGGACCACUCAGACCAGUAAUUGCUCCAGACAGCAAGGAGAACCUAGUACCAUUAACGACCAAGAAGGUCAACGUCAGGGAGAACAGAGGAGAGGUUUAACUGAGCAUCUUAGUAAUCUAGUUUGUAAACCAACUAUUAACGCUGAGAAUGCUAGAAGUGAUGGGACGGAUGGCCAGAUCCAGAGGGAACAAUUAAGUGAACAGACUAGUUUCCCUGCUAUUCAAAAGACUGAUCUGGAACCGAGUGGUAGUGGUGAAGGUUUAGGAAGUCAGAUUCAGCAUAAUCUCAGUGAAAGAUGUAGGUUAUCAAAUGCACAAGAUGGGAGGCCAGGGGAAAAGAUGCAGCCCGGGAAUGAAGAUAAGGAAGUAGAGAGUUCAGAUGUCUUGAUGAUGGAAGUAGGAUGUGGUACUAUGACAGUUCAGCUUCCCAAACUUGGUCAUGCAGAAGGUAGCAAUCAAGGUUUGGAGACAGUGAGUUUAUCACCUCUGCUGGAACAAAAGAGGUCCGAGGCUAUAGGUAAACAAAACAGAAGGAUUCUAAGAGCCUUGAAAUCCCCCAAGAAACCAAAACAGUCUUUUCAAGAGCCCACAUCAGCUUAUCUUAGGGGGAGAAAAACAGGAAAAAGAAAAGGUGGAGUGGAUGAGAUGGAGAUAAAAACUGAUGAAAUUAGUAUUCAAUGUGGCAAGAGGAACAAAACUGAGUUAAGUGGACUAGCAAUAAGAUCGGAUUCUGAGGGGGAGGGUUCCAACCCAUUUGGGACCCCAAAGUUUAGAUGAGAGUGCUGGUGUGGAAUUGUCAAGGAGUGGGGAGCCCCUUGACAAUUCCCCAGUUGAGAGAGGUGAACAACCUUUCCUCUCCAAGUAUGGUGUUUUUGUCUGAAACUAAGAAUAGGAGUAAUUAUAGGGGAAAAGUUAAAAACAUUUUGAAGUUUGAUGAGAUGCAAGUUGUCGAGUUUAUGAAUAAGGCUGGAGGUAUGGCGCUAAUGUGGAAGGCGGAGGUAAGGAUCAAGCAAGUUUUGUGUACAGCUUUUACCAUUGAAGCUCACAUUGCGGAUGAUGAGAAUAGGAGUGAAUGGUGGUUUAUAGGGAUAUACACAAGCUGUGAUGAUCAAAUUCGGAAACAACAAUGGAAAGUAAUCCAAUCCAGGAAGCAUCUUUGGGGUGAUAAAUGGCUAAUAGCAGGGGACUUUAAUGACAUUGUUUCAAAUGCUGAAAAGUGGGGAGGCAACAGGAGGGAAGAAGGUAGUUUCAAGCCCUUUAAGGACUUCAUCAACGAUAAUCAGCUCCUGGAGAUUGGAUUCGAGGGACACCCAUGGACUUGGUGCAACAAUUGGGAAGGGGAAGGUGAGAUCAAACAGCGGCUGGAUAGAGGUUUGUGUAGCUUUCCGUGGUAUCAACUCUUUCAGCAAGCUAGCUGCCAACAUUGUGAUUCAUGCUUCAGACCAUAGCAUACUGCUCUUUGACACUAAACCUAUCCAAGCUAGGAGGAAGAAAAGAUUCUACUUUGAUAAAAGAUGGUUGCAACACCAAGAGAUUUAUGAGGUUGUGGAACAGGCUUGGAGGCAAGGAAAUGAUGGUUCCAGGAUGUAUAAAGUAACCCAGAAAAUUAAAUCGUGUAGAUCAGCUUUAUUAAAGUGGAGAAGUAAGGUUCAAGGAAAUUCAAAGCUUAAGAUUGAUAGGAUCAAGGGUCAGUUGCAGGAGCUCAAAGAGUGUGAUAUAAGUGACAAGAAGGAGCGGGGGAAAAUUCUCAAAAGCAACUUAAGAGAGGCUUACAGACAGGAAGAAAUAUAUUGGAGCCAAAAAGCUAGGCUGCAAUGGCUGAAGGAAGGGGAUAAAAAUACCAAGUUCUUCCAUGCGUGUGUCAAAGAUAGAAGGAGGUUGAACAGGAUGAAACAUAUCCAGAGGGAGAAUGGGAGCUGGACUACAAAUGAAGAGGACCUAGGCACGGAAAUUGCAGCUUAUUACACUAAGCUCUUUGAAGCUUCAGAAGAAGGUGAUAUGCAGGAAAUGUUAAAUGGUAUACCACACACUAUCACAGGGACUAUGAAUGACAAACUUACGAAAUCUGUAGGUGAGGUAGAAAUCAAAGCUGCACUUUUCUCCAUGUGUCCUGAUAAAGCUCCUGGGAUAGACGGGAUGCCUCCUAUUUUUUUUCAAAAGUUUUGGAAAAUUAUUAAAGAGGAUCUGGUCAAGGCUAUUCAAACUUUUUUUCAUACAGGGCAUCUCAUUAAGUCAGUCAAUCACACAAUCAUAUCCCUCAUUCCCAAAGUCAAAAAUCCUACAUCUCUUAAGCAGUACAGACCAAUCAGCCUCUGCUCUACGGUGUAUAAAAUCAUAGCCAAAAUUCUUGCUAAUAGACUCAAGCAGGUCUCCACCACUGCAUUAGUAAAAAUCAGUCAGCUUUCAUUCCUCGACGACAAAUUCUUGAUAAUAUCAUGCUCUCUCAUGAGUUCAUUCAUUAUCUUAAUAACAAAAGGCUAGGCAAAGAUGGGUUUAUGGCUGUGAAAUUAGAUAUGUCUAAGGCUUAUGACAGAGUUGAAUGGAGGUUUUUGGAUGCUGUGAUGAACAAAAUGGGAUUCAAUGACCGUUGGAGGAGGUGGAUCAUGGAGUGCAUGUCAACAGUCAAUUACUCUUUCACGAUCAAUGGUCAAAUCAGAGAAUAUGUGACUCCCCAGAGAGGAAUUAGGCAGGGAGAUCCGUUGUCACCAUACCUGUUUCUCUUAUGUUCAGAAGGACUCUCUAGCUUACUCCACACAGCUACGGAGGAAAAAAAGGAUAAUGGGUUUAAAAAUCAGUAGACUUGGUCCUACUGUGUCCCAUUUAUUUUUUGCUGAUGACUCGCUGAUAUUUUGCAAAGCCGACCCAAAGAAUGCAACUGAAUUGAGAAGGAUUCUCCAGGUGUAUGAGAAGAGCACUGAACAGAUGGUUAACUUGGAGAAGUCUUCAGUUUUAUUUAGUAAAAAUGUGGAUCAGCAACUACAACUGGCUACUUCUCAAGCUCUAGGGAACAUUCAGAUUGUUAAUAAAGGGAGAUAUCUGGGGCUUCCAAUGGUAGUUACUCGAUCUAAACAUCAGUUAUUUGGGUACAUUAAGGAUAAUAUCCAACACAGGCUACAAAGGUGGAAAAAUAAGUUGUUGAGUGCGGCUGGGAAAGAGGUAAUGCUUAAGGCAGUUGCUUAUGCACUACCAACUUACACUAUGUCAUGCUUCAAGAUUCCAAAAAGGAUGUGUAAGGAUAUCAACUCCAUCGUGGCAAAUUAUUGGUGGGGAGAGGCUAAUGGAAGAAACAAAAUGCAUUGGAGCUCUUGGAGUAACAUCUCGCGAGAUAGGAUUUCUGGAGGACUAGGAUUCAAAGAUUUAGAGGCCUUUAACAUAGCUUUACUAGGGAAGCAAGUGUGGAGAUUACUCACUCAACCAAACUUGUUGGUUAGUAAAGUUCUUAAGGCUCGAUAUUUUCCUAAGGAGUCCAUUUUCAACUGCAAGGUUCCUGCAAAUGCUUCGUGGAUCUGGAAAGGAUUGAUGGGGGCAAGGAAGUUUAUGGAGGGAGGAAUUCGGAGGAGGAUUGGGAAUGGGAAAAGUACCAAUAUAUGGGAUGAUUCCUGGAUUCCAAGUGUUCAUUUGGGCAAGGUGUCUUCACCUAAACCAGAGGAAACCGUGCUUCACAAGGUUCAUGACUUGAUACAUCAGCGAAAAUGGAUUCGGCCCCUAAUAUUUGCGACUUUCAGCAAGCAGGAUGCAGAAAACAUUUUGAAUAUCCCCAUCAGUUUAGGGACAGAGAGGAUUGUCACUACUGGAUCCACGGAACUAAUGGCAUCUAUACAGUGGGAUCUGCAUAUAGGAAGCUAACUCAGGAAAAAAUGCACCACAAUAACCAAGGGGGAAGGGAGGAAGCUAGUACAAGCUGGAGCAACCACAGCCAAGGAAUCUGGAAGUAUCUGUGGAAGCUCAAAGUUAAACAUAAAGUCAAGAUCUUCCUAUGGAAAUGCCUUAGCCAAGCCCUGCCAGUGAGACAAUUAAUAGCGAGCAGGACAAAGCAGGGGGAUCCAAUCUGCAGAGGGUGCGGUGAAGAUAGUGAAACAAUUGAACAUGUUUUAUUCCAUUGCAGCUAUGCCACACAGGUCUGGAAGUUAGCUCCCAUCCAAUGGGAUCUAACUCUGGACCAUCAAAGUUGCUUCAAGAAGUGGUGGACCACUGUGACAGAAGCCAAAGCUAGAACAGAAGGAAAUGAUCACCUAUCUUUAACAGCCAACAUCCUCUGGCACAUAUGGAAAAGCAGAAAUGCAAGAGAAUUCGAUGAUAAGCAAAGGCAGCCAUGGAAAACGGUUCAGAAAGCUCAGGAAGAGUGGUUUGAAUUUAAGGAAGCUAAUGAAAUACCAUCAACACGGAGUACAGAAGAAACAAGAACUCGGCAGUCACAAGUGCAGCUACAAGAGCAAGGCCAUAAUACAGUGACACUGAGAUUAGCAAUACAGGAGCGAAAGGUCACUUCUCAACUCGGAAUUGGGAUCAUAUGCACUGGGAAUUUUCAACAUCAGGCUCAAGGGUGGGCGCUACAUGAGAGAAGUUCCGGGAAUCAUCUCAUUGAUGAAUUACAAGCUGUCAAAUUACUGCUUAGUAAAGCUACUGUAUACCAGUUUGAGAAUAUUCAGGUGCAGUUGGACAACAAGCGAGUCUUUCAUCUAAUUCAGAAUGCUAAAACGCUGGACAUGCGCGUCACAUCACUGCUAGAGGAUAUUCUCACUUUGAAGGCCUUGUUUCGAAUGUGCUCUUUUUGUCUAGUUGAUGGAGAUAAUAAUCAUUUAACUAAUAGGAUUAGCGCUUAUGCGUUGAAUAUCAUUCAAGAUGAGGAAUUUGUGAUUCCUUAGUGCCAUUGUGCACUAGUUGUAUUUAGUUAUCAAGCCUUUGCUUGAAUUGUAUAGUUUACUUCAUGAUAUAAAAUCACUUAUCGUUGCGACCAAAAAAAAAAAAUCAGGAAGAAUAUAGAGAAGCAAACUGUAAUAUAUGUACCUCAAAAUUUCAAACAAUGAAAGUAAAGAAAUUUGGCCAUCUUUUACCAACAAUAGCACCCUUUGAACACUGCAGCUAGUUUGAGCAAUUGAGCUCUCUUAAAUACAAGACCUGUUUGGAAGGUGAGUUUUUUGGGUGUAUGUAUAAAACUUUACUGUAGAUUACUGUAGAAGUUGUAGAAAAACUUUUGUAAGAAAAUUUUUUGGGUGUUUGUAAGAUGAAAUUUUUUUUUCCUUUUCAUUUUUUCCUUUUCUUUUUCUUUUUUCUUUUUUUUCUUUCUUUCUUUUUUCUUUUCCUUCCUCCCUUUCUUCUCCUUCUCCCACCCCCUUCCCUUCCCUGUUUCCUCUCCCGAGACUUCCAUGGCAGAGACUUCCAGGUGAUUUCUUUUUUUUUUUUUCUUUCUGUUCCAUUCUCCCUUCCCCGCCACUCCUCCCUCUCCCCCUCUCGUCCCCUCCCCAGCCCUCUCCCUCCCCCGCCGCCCCUCCCCUUCCCUCCCCUCCCCUCUCCUUCCCUCUUCCCCGAUGCCAUCUGGUCCGGACCCUCCCCUUCCCCUUCCUUUCCCCGCCGCCCCUCCCCUCCCUUUUCUUCCCCUCCCCAGCCACCCUCCCUCUCCCCCAACGCGAUCUGGUUGGGACCUUCCCUCUCACGUUCCCCUUCCCCUUCCCUUUCACACAAUCUGGUCGGCAGUUGUACAUUUUUUUUUUUUAGCUUUUUCUCUCCCUCCCUCCCCUCUCCUCUUCCCUUCUCCCUCCUCCGCCACCCUUCGCCAAGCCUGCAUCUCCUUUUUCCCUUCCUUACCGGUUUCGUGCAAUAUUAUCAGCAAGUAGCUAGUGUAAUAAUUGAAAUUUGUGUUUUUUUUUUUUUAAAAAAAGACAACAAAUGAGUGUUUAUGGCAGGGGAUCAGGAGCAAAAGGGGAGAGCCGCCGGACAAACCCCCCAUUCUUCCCCCAAGAAACCCAACCCAACCUGAAUACCCAAAAAUCACGAAUUGAUCAGAAGGGAACUGGGGAUUUGUGGCUAGCUAGCAUCUGUGCAGGCAUUGACAAAGAAAGAGCAAGGUUUUUUUUUUUUUUGGGGGCGGGGGCAGGGGCGUGGGGCGAGGGGGUAGUAACAAUGACAGUGCCCCGGGAGAGGUGGUGGGGGUGGUGGCUGGUGUGGUGGUUGGGUGAGGGAGGAAGAAAAGUUUUUGGAAAAUUUUUUGUGUAUUUUUGAAGUGUAUAAGUAAAAAUCUUUGAAAAGUUUUUUUGGGGUUCCUGUAGCAAAAGUUGUUAAAAAAUUAGUAGUUAAAAAACUUGAUAAAAAACUAGAGUGUCAAACAGGCCCACAGUUGCUAGUAAAACAGGAGAUGGAUCCUCAAGCAAUGAAGACUACUAUAUGUUACUUUUUUUGUACUAUGGCUGUCAGAAUUGUUUAUUUUCUACAUUUCAUUUCACAUAAAGGUGGAAAAUUGGAGGUGUUUCAUGCACCUCUUCUAAAGUGUGAAGCUAAAUAAUUCUUGAACGAUCAUGCUUUCAAACCUUUUUCCUUCUCUUGCUGAUAAAGGCGCGCUCUGGUACCUAUAUACUAAUGAAAAUCCACUUGCCUCUUCUUUAAAGGCGUGACACACCUAGAAUUACAUCAAUACCUUGCCUUUUCUUGAUAAGAUUUUGACACAAAAAUUAGUGGGCGACACCUUUUUAUUAUCAAGAAAAUUACACUUAAAAACAUUUCAAUGAGCCAGGCUAAGCCCCAUAGAUCCCCACAUACUUGAAUGGUUCAGAUUUCCUGAGUUUUCUGGUAUCCCACUUUCAGCUCCCAAUUUAUCUCCAAGAUUACGUAGUAAGCACACAUUUAGCACCAAACUUCCAAGUCAUUAUGUAGCUAUAAAAAUGUGUUGCACAAAAAAUAUGUCAGCUUGGUCAACAGCAGCUUAAUUAUCAGUACAGAUUGUGCCAGAAUAGAUCACAUUAAACUCACUGAAUCAAAUAAUGAAUGGACCAGCAUUUGACUUUUGAGAUAGUUGAUAUUGCAAUUUCUUGGCUGUGCAAUAGUCAUCCAACUUCGUCUUGUUGAAGGGGAAUUUUACUAGCAACUUAGUUUUGUUAAUGUAACCAUCCUUUUCUCCAUUGUUGCAAAACUGUGUUUAGGUGUUACAUGAGCAUUUAGCAAAUCAAAGGUAGACGUAAUUAGACAACUGAAAUGAUGUUAUUUUGAACAACAAAAUCAUCAAAGAUUCUUGUCUAUUAUUAGAGAAGACCAAAGAAAGUAAACUUGACAGAGACUUGAAUAGGUUUCACAUUAUUCACGAGCAACCACCACAACCUGCUUCCCAACGUUGCGACCUGAGAAGAGUCCUAUCAGGGCACUUGGGGCAUUCUCAAGGCCUUCAGCUAUGUCUUCCACAUAUGCUAUCUUCCCUUCUUUUAUCUGGGGUAGAACCAUAUCCAGAAAUUUUGGAUAGAGAUGAUAGUAAUCGAACACCAAAAAUCCUUCCAUUUUAAUUCGCUUAGUGAUCAGGCAGAAGAGAUUGUGAAUGCCUUCAUGCUGCUCAAGGUUAUAUUGUGAGAUCAAUCCGCAAACAGCAAUGCGACCGUGGACUCUCAUGUUGAGAAGCACGGCAUCAAGCAUCUUUCCUCCGACAUUCUCAAAGUAAAUGUCAAUGCCAUCUGGAAAGUACCUAAGGGAAAAAAGAUAGAAAGUCAGGAAUGCUGAUUUACUUUGAGCAGUCCAAAGUAAGAAACUGACUGUGACAGAAUCAUCCUCCUCUAAUGCGCCAACAUGACAUGCAAGAAAAGAAUGAAUGCUGGCAAAUUAAGAUCUGCAUUGAAUGUUGAUAACUUGGAGAAGUGUGCUUCGAGCUCAAGGUACACAUGUACCAGGUGACACAUAUACACAGUUCAUUUAAGUGAAUGCCCUGCCACUCAGAACAAACUGCCUUGGGGAGUCAGAAAGUAGAUUUUAAAAUCUAAACUUUUCAGCCAGUAUAUUAGGACUGACCUUUUUAAAGCCGCAUUUAGAUCUUGCUCUUCUUUGUAGUUGAAAGCUUCAUCAAAACCAAACUUGUUCUUCAACAAGUCAACCUUUAAAGAAACAAGAUAAAGCAGGAUGAGAGAAGAAACAAUAGGCAUACAGUGAUAUCAUGUGGCUAGCUUUAAGAAUCCUCAGUGUUUGUUCUAACAGACAAAUAUGAAGUAAAAGUUCCCCUUGCAAACAUUAUUCAGGCUAAUCAUGCAAGAUGCCUGGAGUAAGAAGGGUGAAUUUAUUUAUUUUUCCUUUCUUGUUUUUGGUACAGCAGAUCAUUAGAUGCUCAAUGGAUGCUAUCUGAAUAUAUGCUGCUUCAUGAAGCAUAGGUACAACUAGCACUGGAAUCAGACAAUAGAAGAUCCAAACAAUAUGAAAUGCUUGACUGCCUUCAGAUAUGGAAUGGUUAGAAUAAGCUACUAGUAAUCAGUUCAGAGUAGCUUUCACCAAGACUGCCCUGUAAUGACCAUCAGCAUUCUUUAUAGAAUUGAAGGUUCGCAAUUUGUACGCAAAGAAAGUCUAUGGUAGAAAAGAAAAAGGACUCAACAUUCAGUUUAUCUAGAAGAUACUCACACAAUCUUAUAUUAAUCCAUUUCAACAGAAACAUGAAUAAGGUUCUCACUGAAACUGAUACAAGGUUUCCAAUGAUCUAAAUGGCAGCAAACAAAGUGCGGGCUUGCUUUCUUGAACCCAAAAAGGAGGAAAAUUGACCAUGCAGAUGUCUUAAGAGAUUACCUUUUCUUUGGUUCCAGCACUUCCAACAACAUAACAACCAAAAGCCUUUGCAAAUUGUCCAACAAGCUGACCAACAGCUCCAGAAGCCGCUGAAAUGAAUACACGCUCUCCCUUCUUCGGAGAACAAAUCUCAAAAAAACCAGCAUAAGCAGUCAUGCCAGGCAUACCUGUUAGCAAAGCAGAACAAUUGAAGAGGGGGGGGAGGUCUUAAAAAAAUUAGGAGCCACGAUGGCAAACUGGUAGGGAUAUAACACUGGAAGCAUCAAAGUAAAAGGUUCUGCAGCCACAUUCAGUUGCUUGAGGUAAAUAAAACAUGUUUCUCUGUCCCAUCCUUGAAGAAUGUCCCAGAAAUUCCAAAUAAGGUAACGUUAGAAACACCAGUAAUGGUAAAAACAUAGAAGAUCAGCUCCAGAAAAAUUAGCAUCAGGUGGUGGCAAGAGAUACAAGCAUAUGGCAUUGUAGUAGCAUCUAAAUCGGAUGAAGAGGUUCAAGGAAGAAGUGAAACUAUUCAUAAAUAAAAGACUCGAGCAAUUAACACAUGGACCUAAUUCCUGAUCACUCUCUGAUGACAGUUCCCUUAAGAGCAGAUCUUACAUCAUGUACAGCUCACUAUACAUAAAGGAGGUAUAUCCCAUUCCUACCAUAGUAAACAACUGUAAAGUGCUUCAAUCAGACUGCUAAAGCUUACUAAAGUUCCACACAAAGCCUUUAAAGAUAACGAACAUCCAAUGCUGGAAAUCUCCAAUAAGAAAAGGAAGUAACUUUGAUACUGGUGUACUGUAAUGGAAACCUAAUCAGACAGAGGCACUGACCGAGGAUUCCUGUAUAGUAGGACAGAGGCACAUCAGUGUUGUGAAUUUUAAAGCGAGUCUCUGGAUCAGCAAUUACACUGUAUUCUUCCCAGCGAGUCAAUCCCCAUAGCAGAUCACCCUUGUUGAAUUUUGGAUUGUUUGACUCCAAAACUCUAGCCACUCCAAGACCCACUAUGGGCUACAAAGUGAAUCAGUAUCAAGUUAUGAAUUUGACUUGAGUCUACUCAUGAAAAGUAAAACUUCUGCCCCUUCAAUUGCACCAUAAACAACUACAUGUAUUACACCUAUUAUGUUAUAUCCAAAGUCAUGGGACUUAUCUCAAGUAGACAACCAUUUAUGGGACUGCAAUAAGUAACAAUGAACAGCGAAAAAACCAACUUCAAUCCAUUGGUUCUCCAGCCAAAUAAUAGGCAAAGCCAUUGUGGAAAACAUAGAGAAAUGUUUCCAAAUUGAAUUCUUUGACAUGUGUACUGAAAAAAAAUGCAUAAUCAGGCAACCAGUGAAUGUUCUUUGUGAAACAAGAAAGAAGAGAUAGUAUCACUACACAUUGUCAACAUUACUCUUUGGAGUUAUAAUGCUUUCUACUGUCAUGUAGAGUUAUAAAUCAAAGUGCAUCCUUCUCUUAAAUUAAUACUCUGGAGAUUCUCAAAUAGUUAACUUACUCCAACACUGAACAAACUGUUCUCUGAAUAUUUUUGCCCAUCAUUUUCCAUGAGAUGCAGAAAACCAUAAAGUCCCACAUGCUCUGGACCACCAGAUUUAUUUUAUCAAAAAAAUAAAAGAACAGAAAAAAGAAUGAAAUUCCUGAACAUCUUGGUUUCAAUCUACUUUUGAGUUUCAUUUCUUCACAGAAAGAUGAAUCAAGGUUAACCGCUAACCAGGUCAAACAUAAUUACAUACUCUAGAUAUACACAUGCAAGUCAGAAUUCUCAUAUGAUCUUAUUUAACUGUACAAAAAUAAAAACUUUUGACUGUUUCAUGACUUCAGAGUCAAGUGAAUACUUCAAAAUCAACCAUAAAAGCGAGCAAACCGCAGAUGUUAAGAUUAACACCAAUUAAGCAACAUACAAUAAAAUUCACAAAUAAAAAAUUCGAAUUUCCACUCAUGCAGACUAUCUCUACAUAAAAAUUCUACAUGACUCCUAAAAAAUAAGAAAAAAAGGUCCGGAAAUCCAAUUGUCACUCUCUCUUUAGCACUACAAUUGCAUGUACUGAUUAAACAUCCAUUAACCACUCCAGUUUAAACCAAUAAAAAAAAGAACAAAGGAAAAGAAGAGAGAAACACAAAACGUACAAAUGUUCACAGAAACUGACUUACAGAGCCAGGAGUGUAGGCCUCAGCAUAAUGACCUUCAAGCUUGCGCAUGCGGGAUCUCAUAUAAGGAUCACAAGACAAAUACAGAUUCUUCACCAAGAUUGCCCCUGAAUAAUCGCCGCCAUCUGGAAGCUUCAACUUCAAAGCAGUCGUUUUCACCUCCAUAUCACUCUCUUUUGGGAAGCCACUCACAUAAUUCUUCAGUAUAACGUGCUUAUUGCUCACUUCUUCCUCUGCCAUUUUCUGAAAUUCUCUCCCCAAGAAGAGAACAACCCUUUUCUUCUCUGAACUAAAUAUUGGUGGGUUUUUUUUAUCUCUUUGGAAAUGGAGACUGAAAUGUGCAAUGGGUCGAUUAAAAGCGGAUUCUUGCUUUUGUUUUGUUGUUUAACUUAUAGGUUUGAUUAUUUGGCAUUUUGUUUGUUUUAUCAUAAAUGAUAAAGCCAGCAUUGAUAUCUUGUACUUUAGCUAAAAAGACGGUUCCCUAUGAAACUUUGGUAAGUCAGGUAAAAUUGGAUUAUUGGCCAGCUGAUUUUGCAAUAUGAUGCAGAGGUGCAAAAGAGAUGAAUUACCAAAUAGGAGUGGAAAGAAGAAGUUUUGCAUGACUUUCUGAAGCUUGGAUUGUGGGCUAUUUGUGGGUUAUUUCUGAAGUUUUAAAGUGAUGUAUUGACAGGAUCAUUAGUCGGAUUGAAAGUCCGGAUACCAAAAAAAAAAAAAGACAGGACCAUUAGCUUAAUAGCAAAAGCAAUGGACAUAAGAGGGAAUGACAUUAGGCUGCUAUGAUUACUCUAUCGUAUAUGGAUCUAAUGCAGUUCCGGUUGUGGGUGGUUCAACCCGAUUAUAGUAUUUUUUUACAUUAUUUGAUAUAUAAUUACAUUAUAUUAUUAUACUCAGAUUAAAAGUGAUGCAUAUGAAUUAAAUAGUUGACAUAUAUUCAAUAGUCGUGUAUAUGAAUGCAAUACUUGACAUAUAUUUAGUAUAACAUUAAAAUGUAUUUGUAUGUCAAAAAUUUGAAUACGUGCAACAAUCGAAUAUAAAACACAAUUGUGGGUCAGCGAAUUUUUGAGAACGGUUCGAUUCAUCCGACCAGUUGAUCUCUGAUCCAAUAAUUUAGCUGAAUCGCUGUUCGGUCCGAAAUUAACAAUAUUGAUUUUUUUUUUUACACAAGGACAAAACCAAAGUGAAACAGGAUGGAAUCACCUGCCCUCUCUAUAAAAAAAUUGAAUACGUAUAAUAGUCGGACAAAAUCAUAUAAAACACAAUCGUGGGUCAGCGAGUUUUUGAGAACGGUUCGAUCGAUUCGACUAGUUGAUCUCUGAUCUAAUAAUUUAGUCGAAUCACUAUUUAGUCCGAAAUUAACAACGUUGAUUUUUUUUUUUUUUUUUACACAAGGAUGAAACCAAAGUGGAACAGGGUGGAGUCACCUGCCCUCUCUCCCAAGUCCUUAAAAUUUUAAGAGUUUUUUUUUUUUUAAAAGAUUUCUUCUAUAAAUUAAACUCUUUGCCCCCACAAAAAUGUUCACAAAACUUUUGUCUUAAACUUCAAAUUUUUCAUGUGCGUGAAAUUGAAAGGUGCCCCUCUCAAAGCAAAAUUUUCAAUUCCAUCCCUGGUUGUAUGUGAUUUUCUUCUUUAAGUUUUUGUUUAUCUACUGCGUAUAUCAUAUCAUGGUAGACAAAAAUAAGAAAAAGAUAGGGGAAAACAAUAAUCAAAAGAAAGGGAAACAUGACCAAGAUAUAAUAUGUAACAUUCAAGAAGCACCAAUGUAGGAUACAAAUUCAAGAAGCAGUAAUAUAGGAUACAAAAUAAGGAAAAGGAAAUGAGAAAGUACAAUUAAAGAAGUAAGAAACGAAAAGCAAAGAAUCCCAAGAAGAGAACCGAGGCAGAUAGGAGCAGCAACACUUGCACCAGGCAUCCAACUGACCGGCAUCAAGAGAGGUCCAAAAGACAAAAUACAACAAUCUUAUCGUCUUGGAGAUGUGCUUUCUGCCCUUGCUGGUGCUGGAAAAGAAAGUUUCAGUGUUUGUUAUAGCUUUUAGCAAGUAAAAAAAUCAUCCAAGAAUAAAGAAUUUACAAACAUAAUGCACUCGAGAUUCAGGUUCUUCUGGAGAAAUCAAGCUUUGUAAGGUUCAGUUACAGAGCACAAAGCAAAAAUUUGCUCAGGGAAUUGCUAAUUAUAUAUGAUAAUUAACAUGGAUCCAUAUGAGGAAAAGCAGCAGCCAAUCCUACCAUACAUGUCAAUUCCUAUACUUUGAACUUCUAGAUUAACUUGUGCCCAUCGUCUAAUCAUGCAGAAAACAAGAAGAGAUAAAGUUGAUAUGGUUCAUUGACAGAUGCACAAAAGAAGAGGUAUGUACAGAGAAAUAAUAAAGCAAGAAAUUGUAAAUGAAGCUCUCACAUAUAUGAAUCUCAAGGUUGGCACAUCUUUGCUUUGAGAUAGUCUGUCAUGGAUUUAUUCAAUAUUUUUCUUCUAUAUGGCUUUACUUCUUUCUAGAGCAGGGACAUGUAAUGAACCAGCAUUAGAUGGGAUACUAAGUUUGUGAUGAAGGGUUGGACGGUAUUCAAUCUGAACCAACUAGAAUAUGCGGUUUAAUGCAUUAUCUAUACAUUAGUUGUAAAUUCUACCUUUCGUCUUGUUAAAAGCAAUCUAUAGCAAAGUGGAGAGUAAGGAAAUCACUUUUAGCAGAGCUUUGAGUAGCCAUGGAUAUUGUCGGAAGACUUUCAAUAAUUCAGCAAGAAAUGCAAAAGCGAGACUUAUAUCUAGGAAAAUUUCAUAUAACGUAGCCACAAAAACAGCAUUGAACUGAAACUUACGUGCAUGUAGUUGCUGUAUUAAGCAAAGUAAGAUGAGGCGAUGCAUUGCACAUGUUCAUGGCAGCAGCUGAAUUUCUGGAAUAUGAGCAAUCUUGUACCAUUCUUGGCCGAUCUUUUCCUUGCAUCUGUCCUUGAGAAGUGGACAUUCUUUAAUUGUCAAUUUCCUUAGGUGACGCAUUGCCUCAGCAGAAGGCAAAUGCAACAGAUUUUUGCAGUCUUCAAUGUCCAGUCCUUCGAGUGAAUGGAUGCUACCCAAGAACUCUGGCAGAGCCACAAUCCCGUCAAAAUUAUGUAUCGUUAAAAAGGCCAAGUUGGAGAGAUGCUGAAUCUGCUCCGGCAAAGAUGUGACUGCUUGCCAACCACUUAAUAUAAGAGACAGCAACGAGGCAAAAGGUUGUUGGAAUUCUUUGUUCUCAUUAUCGGUAAUAGUAACUCUGCAAGGAUUAAUGGUGUAGCUGGGCCAGGGGAAAUAAUCAAGAUCAUGAGAGAAAUCACCUAGCACCAAUCCUUCUAGUUGAAUCUUCCUCGACAAAGGAUGCAAAUCCUCUGGUUGAAUAGCAGGGCACCCCAAUAAUACAAAAAACCUGAUUGAUGUACAGACUUCCAUUCCACUUGGUAGUGAGCGCAAGUUGUUGCAUCCCGCAAGGCUCAGCUCAACUAGAGAUCGUAGGGAAUGAAUAUCCGGGAUGGAAACAAGAUUGGGGCAAUCCAUUACUCUUAGAAUCUCAAGAGAUGCCAAUCCUCCCACGUCCUUUGGUAGAUGACUUAAACUAAUGCAUCCCGAAAUACAUAGUUCUUUAAUGCAUCUAAGGUUGUGCCAAACACCAUCUGGCAGGCUUACCAAUUUGGGACAGAGCUCGACUUUUAAAAUCUCCAAAGAAGGGAAUAUCUUGACUAAUGAAUGUGAUGAAUCGUGGCACAUCAAACCCGACCACUCUUUCAAAUCAGGCAUAUCCUCCAGAAUUAGUUCUUUCAGUGCUGGAAAUGAAACCACAGCAUCCCCUGCUAAGCGACUUGGAUUGCUACUACUUGCAUCAUCAACAUUUUUCCAACCGAAGAAAUCAGUGCCGAUGCAAUUUACACUUUUCAUUCCAAUUAUGUUGACAAUAUUGAGGUGAGGGAGGUGCCCAAGUGGUGGAAUUUGCUGACACUUGUUGAAGUUCCUCAGCACGAUCUUCACAAGAUUGCGAAAGACCAAAGGAUGGCUUGUGGUCAGCAUCCACGAUGGAAGGCUUCGGCCCAUAAAGUUUUCCAUUGUGAAACCUUUCAAAUUUGGGUGAGGUUCAAGACCUUUCAAGACAUCCUCAUCAGUGGAUUCGUCUCUGGUCCUAGUAUCCCAGUGAAGUUCCAAACUAUCAAGGUUUAUCUUUGUGGAUAUUUUUGCUUUGAUUGCUUCCUCUUGGUUGCUAACAUUCUGGAGAUCAAAGAUCUUGAGGUCGCCCCUGAGAUUGUGCAAAUGCCCCAACUGAUCAAUUUGACAUCCCUUAUCUUGACUUACAUAGAAGAAAGGCAACGUCUGAAGAGAGCUCAACUGUCCUAUAUCAGGAAGCAAACAUGGCUUGCCGUUGAUGAUUCCAUCUUUUUCAAUGCACAAAUGCCUCAGGUUAACCAAAUUUCCAAAAUUUUUGGGAAGCUGUUGCAGAUUACUAAGCCUCAUUGUUUGCAAAUUGUACAACUGUGUGAUGGGAUUUGGGAGUUCUGUUAUUGAAGUCCUGGAGAUGUCAAGAUAUCUUAAAAGCUUUAACUUUCCAAUCGUGGCUGGCAAUUCCUUAACUUCUUCAUCAACAAGAAAUAAGACUCGAAGGCUUUUACAAACGAUCGGCAAACCAUGUGCAAGGUUCAAAAUCAAAGUUCGCAGCUUUAAAAGACUUUCCCUACCGGUUAUAAGUUCAGCCGAGGGAAACAAGAAAAUGGACUCUUUGGCUACUUCUUGAACAAAGUCAUACACAAGAUCGUGAAUAGUGAAUUUUAUAGUUCUUCCAAACCCAUCCUUCUCGUAAACUUGCAACAAAGAAGUCCGGAACAAAAUACUCAUGUAGUUACUUCCAACAUCCUCCAUUUCCAGGUGACUUCCCUUGGAAGGAUUAAGCAAUCCCUGUGCCAUCCAAAGUUGUAUCAUGAUUUCCACUGAUAUAAAGCCACCGUUUCCCAUUAUAAUACAACAUAAAAGACAUUGUUUCAACGACAAUGAAGGCAAAUGAUCGUAGCUUAACUUUAUAGCGGAUCUGACUCUACUUCCAGCUUCUUCCAUUGCAGUCCAGGUUUCACUAUGUUCUAUUUUUGACCACUCACGUUCAUCCUUUUUGGAGUACAACAAACCUCCUAUUGCCUUUACUGCCAAUGGCACACCACCGCACUUAGCAACAAUUUUUCUUCCUAUAUUUAUCAAUUCAGGAGUCUUUAUUGCUGCACAACCUUGACCAAAUGCUAUUUUCUCAAACAAUUCCCAGCUAUCACCAUCAGAAAGUGUUCCCAAUUGACAAGGAAAAGAUGCUUGCAUGAUUGAAACAACUGUCUCGUUUCGAGUUGUCACGAUUAUCCUACUUUCGUCCGAUCCACCUAUCCCUCGCAGACACUUCCUCAUUCUAUCCCAUUUCUCUGCAUCUUCAUUCCAAACAUCAUCCAGUACAAGCAAGAAUCUUUUGGUUUUAAGUACCUCGCUAAGCUUUCCUACAAUUGCCUCUGCAACUGUCAGAUUAGGGUUGGUUCCUGUAAGAGACUCUACCAUCUUAUUUAAGAGUCUUUCAACAUUGAAAUCUUCUGACACGUGGAUCCACAAUUUGUGAUCAAAAUGCCUCAGCACCUUUUCAUUUUUGUAGACUAGCUGAGCAGUAGUUGUCUUGCCCAAACCAGCCAUCCCAACUACACCAAUAACUGAUAAGUUAUUACCAUCCUUCUCUGAAGAAGUUAACAAGUUUACAACCUUGUUCAAUUCCUCACUCCUUCCCACAAUACUGGAAUCAUCAACAAAAGGAUCAAUAGUACUAGAUCGAUCACUUCUGGGAUCGUUAGACAUGUUAACUAACUCAACAGGCCUAAGUCCAAUCCUUUCCGCUUCCUGAUAAACUUUCUUUAUACUCAAGUUCAUGUUCUUAAUCUUGUGAGCAAAUUUGAAACGGAAUGCGAGCGGAUAUGAACCAGAAAAGAAGCUACGAACCUGGUCUUGCAUGCGCUUCUUCAACUUUUUGCGAAGAACUUCAUAUGCAAACUCGUCCAGCAAGUACUCAGCCUCGGACGACACAUCCUGGAGCCUUCCAAGCCAAAGAUCAACGGCGUUGCUUCUGUUAUUUUUGCAUUCAGCAUCAAGAAGCAAAGCUUGAAUCAUCUCCAGAUCUCGAGCUAAACUUUCAAGAUCUUCCUUGACACCCCACACUAUGUCGAUCUCUUCAGCCACAAGUGAAAUUAACUUACUCCGAACUCCCUCUAUAACAAUAUUAAGCAAAACAUCAGCCAUCUCACUUUUGUAUUCCUACGAGAGGAAGAAUUGCUCGCUAAUCUGUGUGAUAUUAGCAAAGAACAAAGAAGUCAACGGCCCUUUGAGGAGGGGGACUGAAAGAAGUAAAUGAAAUGGCGACAGAGUGUCGUUGAACCAUGUGAAAAAUAGUGAAGUAAAGAAGGGGAAGAGAUAAACUCAAAGAAACCUUAUCCAUCGGCUGACGUGUUGCCAAACUAACGUCCACGAAAUUAUUGUCCCUUGUAAUUGUCGGUGGUCCCUUGUAAUUGUCACACUAUGAGGUAUGAAAAGGUUAUCUUUUUUUUUUUUUUUGGGGAUAAUUGCAGAAACCUCUCUUGAGAUUUCUGAUAUUUGCACUGACCUCCCCUCUAGGUUUAGAAAUUGCAUUCACCUCCCAUAAACAGUAAUAAUUCGUUGCAGAAACCUCCUUGACAGCUUUUGUAGAGGUGAGAUAAGAAUUUUCUUCCAAUUUUGCCCUUACUUGCUUGACAAUUAUUAUUUGCUUGACAAUUGCUUAACUAAUUAUCUAAUUAGUUAAUAGUUAAACUAAUUAACUAUUAACUAAUUAUUUAAUUAACUAAUUAACUAAUUAUCUAAUUAACCAAUUAACUAAAGCUGUUGUCUGUCCGAAACUAACAAACUAUUUGCAUGUUAAACUAAUUAACUGCUUAACUAAUUAACUAAUUAACUAACUAACAAAUUAACAAACUAUUUGCAUGUUAAACUAUAUGCAGUAUGCAUUACCUAUUUAAAGAAUCAGCUCUUUAUAAGCAUUUUACUUUCAAACAUUUAAUUUAUGAUAAAAACAUCAAUAUUUGUAUGUAAAAUUCAAAAAGUGAUACAGUAAUAUUGCUGUCCUGGUUGUAAUAUAGCAAGAAAGUUUAGCAUAAGGCUUAAGUUCUUCCCAAAAUGUUAUUUCUACUUAUGUUUGAGGUAGAAAUAUUGUGGGAGGUCCUUGUGGUUCAAUAUGUUCGCAUGAAUUUUCGCUUAUCUGGUCAAAUUUUAUAUUAUGGUAUGUUGUAAGGUUUUACUUAAUCAGUCUACAAACUUAUGUUAAUAGAAAAUUUGAAAUGACUGAUUAUAUGCAAAUAGUUUCAAGUAGCACUGUUCAAGUCCCUAACUAAUCAUGCUAUAAGUACAUCAAAGUGAAUAUCGAAUCCAAAGUUCUAAAGUAGAAUCUUUCGUAAAAGUACUUAUUAAGCGCUUAACAGUAUUAUUUGACUUCAAACUUGCAAAAUUGCCUUUUAUACUUAAUAAUGUGAAAAUUUUGAUUUCUGAAUUGUGUUUAACUUCACAUAGAGCUCAUAUUUUGUGAUAAAACAAAUUAAAUUUUUUUUUUGAGUUUUUGCAAUAUAAAUGUUACCCUACAAGUGUUAAUUUUGAAACAGCGCUAAAGCCUGAUGCUGCGCAUCAAGUUGCCCUGAUUAAUUGUAGUAUUUGUGCUGAUGCAUUGUGCAAUUGGCGAUAAUGCAAUCACACACAUGCUCCUAAAGGAGAAGAAGAAAGUGGGCCGCUAAGGCAACAAAGGGAGAAAAAGUACACAAGAAAGCGGGUACCUUCUCCUUUUUAGGCAAAGGUAACUAAUUUCGAUACAAAAAUGUACAAAAAUAUAAUGGGAUAAGAGGACCACUCACAAAGAAGCUGAGGCGUAAUUACCAAUAACCAAGUUGCAACGAAGCGGUCAACUAUUUUCAGUUCUUUUCUUUGUUGAAGAGCCAAGACUUAAAUAGACAUAAUUUUUAAAGAUUUGAUGGUUCAAAUUGUGUCACAUCGUUUUGAAAAUCGAGUCUAUCGAGUCUAUUGAAAAUCGAGAAUGAUUGAAGAAUGAUCUCAAUAGAUAAACUCAAAGAAACCUUAUCCAACGGCUGAAAUGUUGCCAAAAUAUCAUUAGGACUUUUUAGUAAUUAUUAUUGCACAGGUUCGGCACCUGUCAAUUGAACUGAAUCUUUGAAUGACUUCUAUGCACUUAGGUUAGGAUUUUAUUUUUUUCUUCUUUUUAAGGCAACUUAAAUAGGAUUUAAUCUAAGCUUUAACCCAAAGAACCUCUCUCCGGCUGCAUUAGGUACAUUAGGCAGCUUAGAAAAACUAAGAGUAGAACAUUAUAUGAACUAUAAACCUAACAUUGGAUAAAAAAAAAAAGAGUAAACCUAACAUUGGAAAAGGAAAGAAUUAAUUGGAAGAGGGGAAGAAGGGGGGGGACUUUGUGGCUUUUUUUUUUUGAAAAAAAUUUUGACCAAAAUCUAGAUAUUUGUCAUGUAUUUAGUGGGGAAAAAAGAAACCAAUGAUGCUAGGUGUUUGGAGGUAUUCAAGAAAAAUUUUUGCCAAAUUUAUUUCCUUGUUAAUUUGUCAAUCAAUAAUUUGGUUCUUUUUUUUGGCAAAAAAAAUGAAUCAUAAACACUUUUUUUUAAUCAUCUUUCUGUUAGGUUUUUUUUUUUUUUUUAUUUCACAUACAUUACAUCACAAAGAACAUUAUAGUUUUUCUGAUUUUUUUCACAAAUAAUCUUCUAUACAAACAAACCCAAAUCUUUUUAUUCUUCUUAUUGCUCCUCAUUUUUUUUGGUGUCUUCAAAACGUUUGUGAUGAUUUGAAAGAUAAGUACAAAGAAAUAAAAUUAGCAAAAUGAACCAUAUAUCUUACAUUGCAUGCUUCUUUUAGAUACAAUGAUCUAAGAAAUCACAUCAAAAAUCCGUAAGUUCAGAUCAAACCAGACAUUUGAAGUGCUUAAGGUAUUUAACUCAAAAUUAAUUGCGCAACACAUGUUUAUUUUCUAGAAAUUGCACUUAAGGAUCAAUUGCAUUUGCUCAGCCUCUAAAGAGUCUUUUUUGUAUUUGAUUAAUUAUGAAGAUGAUUUUAGAAUAAUUAUGUUCUCCAGUUUUCAAAUGAGCAAAUUGCUAUAUUUGUUAGAUUAAAAGAAAGCCCAAAUAGAGCUAACGACCACUAGAAACCCUCUGGAGUUGAAGUUUUAAGGGAAUUUCGCCAAUUUGGUCCCUAAACAUUUUCACUUAAACCAAUUUCGUCCUUAAUGAAAUAUUUUAACCAAUUUAGUCCUUGAACUAGUUUUUUGCUUCCAACGUAGGACUUUUGACAACAUUUUACUCACUUCGCGUGGACCAACAGGGGUAUAAUUGUCACACUUACUUAAUCUGCUGCAAUUAUUCGAAAGACAUUCUCCGCCAAUGCGAUUAACCUUGAAAAACAGAACAAAAUUGGGCGAAAUUGGGAUUAGAACUAGGGCUGAGGUGAACGGAUGAUGGAGGCCAGAAUUGAACACGGAAUGCGACCAUCAGAGGCAAUGGACAAUGGCGAUUCUGACAAGGAUGGCAACGAUCAAGUGGAGUCAUCAACAAGAUCAAGUAAGUCUGCACUUCAAACAUAAACCUCAUCAACCGUAUGCAUGAGGGGCUUGAGUUGACUGCCAUUAGUGUGUUGGAAUGGUGAUAAAAGCAUUGAUAAUGGAAGGGGUUGAGGGAGGGAGGGUUUAAUUUGGCAGCAUUGUAUAGCAGGGAUGGGGCAUGAACAGGUUAGGGGAUGUUGAAAUUUUUGUUAAAGUACUUAUAGAUUCCACAUGGAAAAGAUCGCCACCCUUCUGACCCCUCUGACGCCGCCACCCUCCGCAGUGCUUCAAUCGUUUGGUUCCGCAACGACCUUCGGGUACACGACAAUGAGUGCCUCAACUCUGCCAACAACGAGUCCAUGUCAGUCUUGCCCGUCUACUGUUUCGACCCGAGGGACUACGGGAAAUCCUCUUCUGGGUUCGAUAAGACUGGCCCGUUUAGGGCCACUUUCUUGCUUGAAUCCGUCGCCGACUUGAGAAAAACUCUGCAGGCUAAGGGGUCUGAUCUUGUGGUGAGAAUUGGGAAGCCAGAGAUUGUACUGGUGGAGCUGGCGCAGGCCGUUGGGGCGGAAGCUGUGUAUGCCCACAGGGAGGUAUCGCAUGACGAGGUGAAGGCAGAGGAUAAUAUCGAGGCGGUGUUGAAAGAGGAAGGAGUGGAGGUUAAGUACUUUUGGGGAAGCACAUUGUAUCAUAUUGACGAUUUGCCCUUUAAAUUGACGGAAAUGCCGACUAACUACGGCGGGUUUAAGGAGAAAGUGCAGGGACUGGAGGUUAGGAAGACAAUAGAGGCCCUGGAUCAGGUGAAAGGAUUGCCUGCUAAGGGAGAUGGGGAGCCUGGGGAGAUUCCGUCCUUGGUUGAUUUGGGUCUCAAGAGUUUAGACAGUCUAUGCUUCUUUCUAAUGUCUAUUUGAACGGGGGCUUAUUCUUGACUGUGCUUGGAUUUUGGGAAUAGAGUGGGGCUGCGGAGCAAAUUUAUUUACUUGGAUCCAUGGUGUAAAUCAAACCUCAAUAAUGAUGAACUCCGAACUUGUCUAAAACUGGCUAUUGAGCAUUUAGUAAUACGGAAUUGUUUCUGUAUAAAAAAAAAAAAAAAGAAAAAUUUGUACGGGUUGGGGAUACUGGGGGCAGAUGGAAUGCAUGUUGUUUUACUCAUUUUUUUAUUGCAAACUUACCUCCUGGCAGAAUGGAAAGCCAGCAGCAAGUGCCUCUCUUGUCGGAGGGGAGACAGAAGCGUUGCAGAGGCUUGGAAGAUUUGCAACUGAAUCGCAUUGGCGGGAAUGUCUUUCGAAUAAUUGCAGCAGAUUAAGCAAGUGUGACAAUUAUACCCCUGUUGGUCCACGCGAAGUGAGUAAAAUGUUGUCAAAAGUCCUACAUUGGAAGUAAAAAACUAGUUCAAGGACUAAAUUGGUUAAAAUAUUUUAUUAAGGACGAAAUUGGUUUAAGUGAAAAUGUUUAGGGAUCAAAUUGGCGAAAUUCCCAAGUUUUAACUACAACUCUUAAAAUGGUUUUCCAAGAUUUGUUUUAUUAAUCAGAAAGAAUAUAGAGAAGCAACCUGUUAUAUAUGUACCUGAAAAUUUCAAACAAUGAAAGUGAAGAAAUUUGGCCAUCUUUUACCAACAACGGCACCCUUUGAACACUGCAGCUAGUUUGAGCAAUUGAGCUCUCUUAAAUACAGUUGCUAGUAAAACGGGAGAUGGAUCGAUCCUCAAGCAAUGAAGACUACUAUAUGUUACUAUUUUUGUCCUAUGGCUGUCAAAAUUGUUUAUUUUCUCCAGUUUAUUUCACAUAAAGGUGCAAAAUUGGAGGUGUUUCAUGCAUCUCUUUUAAAGCGUGAAGCUAAAAACUUCUCGAACGAUCACGCUUUCAAACCUUUUUGCGUCUCCUACUGAUAAAGGCGUGCUCUGGUACCUGUACACUAACGAAAGUCCUCUUGCCUCCACUUUAAAGAUGUGACACACCUGGAAUACAUCAAUACCAUGCCUUUUCUUAAUAAGAUUUUGACACAAAAAUUAGUAGGCAACACUUUUUUAUUAUCAAGAAAAUUACACUUCAAAACAUUUCAAUGAGCCAAACUAAGCCCCAUAGAUCCCCACAUACUUGAAUGGUUCAGAUUUCCUGGGGGGUUUUCUGGUAUCCCACUUUCAGCUCCCAAUUUAUCUCCAAGAUUGCCUAGCAGGCACACAUUUAGCACCAAACUUCCAAGUCAUUAUCUAGCUAUAAAAAUGUGUUGGGCAAAAAAUAUGUCAUCUUGGUUAACAGCAGCUUAAUUAUCAGUACAUAUUGUGCCAGAAUAGAUCACAUUAAACUCACUGAAUCAAAUAAUGAAUGGACCAGCAUUUGACUUUUGAGAUAGUUGGCAUUGCAAUUUCUUGGCUGUGCAAUAGUCAUCCACCUUUGUCUUGUUGAAGGGGAAUUGUACUAGCAACUUAGUUUUGUUAAUGUAACCAUCCUUUUCUCCAAUGCUGCAAAACUGUGUUUAGGUGUUACAAGGGAUAAGUCUGAUGAAGCACAUGAGCAUUUAGCAAAUCAAAGGUAGAUGUAAUUAGACAACUGAAAUGAUGUUAUUUUGAACAACAAAAUCAUCAAAGAUUCUUGUCCAUUAUUAGAGAAGACCAAGGAAAGUAAAGUUGACAGAGACUAGAAUAGGUUUCACAUUAUUCACGGGCAACCACCACAACCUGCUUCCCAAUGUUGCGACCUGAGAAGAGUCCUAUCAGGGCACUUGGGGCAUUCUCAAGGCCUUCAGCUAUGUCUUCCACAUAUGCUAUCUUCCCUUCUUUUAUCUGGGGUAGAACCAUAUCCAGAAAUUUCGGAUAGAGAUGAUAGUAAUCGAACACCAAAAAUCCUUCCAUUUUAAUUCGCUUAGUGAUCAGGCAGAAGAGAUUGUGAAUGCCUUCAUGCUGCUCAAGGUUAUAUUGUGAGAUCAAUCCGCAAACAGCAAUGCGACCGUGGACUCUCAUGUUGAGAAGCACGGCAUCAAGCAUCUUUCCUCCGACAUUCUCAAAGUAAAUGUCAAUGCCAUCUGGAAAGUACCUAAGCGAAAAAAGAUAGAAAGUCAGGAAUGCUGAUUUACUUUGAGCAGUCCAAAGUAAGAAACUGCCAGUGACAGAAUCAUCCUCCUCUAAUGCGCCAACAUGACAUGCAAGAACAGAAUGAAUGCUGGCAAAUUAAGAUCUGCAUUGAAUAUUGACAACUUGGAGAAGUGUGUUUCGUGCUUGAGGUACACAUGUACCAGGUGACACAUAUAUACAGUUCAUUUAAGUGAAUGCCCUGCCACUCAGAACAAACUGCCCUGGGGAGUCAGAAAGUAGAUUUUAAAAUCUAAACUUUUCAGCCAGUAUAGUAGGACUGACCUUUUUAAAGCCGCAUUUAGAUCUUGCUCGUCUUUGUAGUUGAAAGCUUCAUCAAAACCAAACUUGUUCUUCAACAAGUCAACCUUUAAAGAAACAAGAUAAAGCAGGAUGAGAGAAGAAACAAUAGGCAUACAGUGAUAUCAUGUGGGUAGCUUUAAGUACCGUCAGUGUUUGUUCUAACAAACAAAUAUGAAGUAAAAGUUCCUCUUGCAAACAUUAUUCAGGCUAAUCGUGCAAGAUGCCUGGAGUAAGAAGGGUGAAUUUAUUAAUUUUUCCUUUCUUGCUUUUGGUACAACAGAUCAUUAGAUGCUCAAUAGAUGCUAUGAUAUAUGCUGCUUCAUGAAGCAUAGGUACAACUACCACUGGAAUCAGAUAACAGAAGAUCCAAGCAAUCAGUUCAGAGUAGCUUUCACCAAGACUGGCCCAUUAUGACCGUCAACAUUCUUUAUAGAAUUAAAAGGUUGCAAUUUGUACGCAAAGAAAGUCUAUGGUAGAAAAGAAAAAGGACUUGACAUUCAGUUUAUCUAGAAGAUACCCACACAAUCUUAUAUGAAUCCAUUUCAACAGAAACAUGAAUAAAGUUCUCACUGAAACUGAUACAAGGUUUCCAGUGAUCUAAAUGGCAGCAAACGAAGUGCGGGCUUGCUUUCUUGAACCCAAAAAAGAGGAAAAUUGAACAUGCAGAUGUCUUAAGAGAUUACCUUUUCUUUGGUUCCAGCACUUCCAACGACAUAACAACCAAAAGCCUUUGCAAAUUGUCCAACAAGCUGACCAACAGCUCCAGAAGCCGCUGAAAUGAAUACACGCUCUCCCUUCUUUGGAGAACAAAUCUCAACAAAGCCAGCAUAAGCAGUCAUGCCAGGCAUACCUGUUAGCAAAGCAGAACAAUUGAAAGGGGGGGGGUCUUAAAAUAUUAGGAGCCAUGAUGGCAAACUGGCAAGGAUAUGACACUGGAAGCAUCAUAGUAAAAGGUUCUGCAGCCACAUUCAGUUGCUUGAGGUAAAUAAAACAUGUUUCUCCGUCCCAUCCUUGAAGAAUGUCCCAGAAAUUCCAAAUAAGGUAACGUUAGAAACACCAGUAAUGGUAAAACAUAGAAGAUCAGCUCCAGAAAAAUUAGCAUCAGGUGGUGGCAAGAGAUGCAAGCAUAUGGCAUUGUAGUAGGAUCUAAAUCAGAUGAAGAGGUUCAAAGGAAGAAGUCAAACUAUUCAUAAAUAAAAGACUCAAGCAAUUAACUCAUGGACUAAUUCCUCAUCACUCUCUGAUGGCAGUUCGCUUAAUAGCAGAUCUUACAUCAUGUAAAGCUCACUAUACAUAAAGGAGGUAUAUCCCAUUCCUACCAUAGCAAACAACUGUAAAGUGCUUCAAUCAGACUGCCAAAGCUUACUAAAGUUCCACACAAAGCCUUUAAAGAUAACGAACAUCAAAUGCUGGAAAUCUCCAAGAAGAAAAGGAAGUAACUUCUAUACUGGUGUACUGUAAUGGAAACCUAAUCAGACAGAGGCACUGACCGAGGAUUCCUGUAUAGUAGGACAGAGGCAUAUCAGUGUUGUGAAUUUUAAAGCGAGUCUCUGGAUCAGCAAUUACACUGUAUUCUUCCCAGCGAGUCAAUCCCCACAGCAGAUCACCCUUGUUGAAUUUUGGAUUGUUUGACUCCAAAACUCUAGCCACUCCAAGACCCACUAUGGGCUACAAAGUGAAUCAGUAUCAAGUUAUGAAUUUGACUUGAGUCUACUCAUGAAAAGUAAAACUUCUGCCCCUUCAACUGCACCAUAAACAACUACAUGUAUUACACCUAUUAAGUUAUAUCCAAAGUCAUGGGAGUUAUCUCAAAUAGACAACCAUUUAAGGGACUGCAAUAAGUAACAAUGAACAGCCAAAAAACCAACUUCAAUUUAUUUGUUCUCCAGCCAAAUAGUAAGCAAAGCCAUUGUGGAAAACAUAGAAAAAUGUUUCCAAAUUUGAAUUCUUUGACAUGUGUACUGAAGAAAAUAAGCAUAAUCAGGCAACCAGUGAAUGUUCUUUGUGAAAUCACUACACAUUGUCAACAUUACUCUUUGGAGUUAUAAUGCUUUCUACUGUCAUGUAGAGUUAUAAAUCCGACUAAUAAGUGCAUCCUUCUCUUAAAUUAAUACUCUGGAGAUUCCCAAAUAGUUAACUUACUCCAACACUGAACAAACUGUUCUUUGAAUACUUUUGCUCCAUCAUUUUCCAUGUGAUGCAGAAAACGAUAAAGUCCCACAUGCUCUUGACCACCAGAUUUAUUUUAUCAAAAAAAAAAAAGAAAAGAAAAAAGAAUGAAAUUCCGGAACAUCUUGGUUUCAAUCUACUUUUGAGUUUCAUUUCUUCACAGAAAGAUGAAUCAAGGUCAACUGCUAACCAGGUCAAACAUAAUUACAUACUCUAGAUAUACACAUGCAAGUCAGAAUUCUCAUAUAUAUGAUCUUAUUUAACUGUACAAAAAUAAAAACUUUUGACUGUUUCAUGACUUCAGAGUCAAGUGAAUACUUCAAAAUCAACCAUAAAAGCGAGCAAGCCGCAGAUGUUCAGAUUAACACCAAUUAAGCAACAUAACAUAAAAUUCACAAAUGAAAAAUUCGAAUUUCCACUCAUGCAGACUAACUCUACAUAAAAAUUCUACAUAACGCCUAAAAAAAAAAAAAAAAAAAAAAGGUCUGGAAAUCCAAUUGUCACUCUAUCUUUAGCACUACAAUUGCAUGUACUGAUUAAACACCCAUUAACCACUCCAGUUUAAAGCAAUAAAAAAAAAAAGAACAAAAGAAAAGAAGAGAGAAACACAAAACGUACAAACAUUCACAGAAAGUGACUUACAGAGCCAGGAGUGUAGGCCUCAGCAUAAUGACCUUCAAGCUUGCGCAUGCGGGAUCUCAUAUAUAAGGAUCACAAGGCAAAUACAGAUUCUUCACCAAGAUUGCCCCUGAAUAAUCGCCGCCAUCUGGAAGCUUCAACUUCAAAGCAGUCGUUUUCACCUCCAUAUCACUCUCUUUUGGGAAGCCACUCACAUAAUUCUUCAGUAUAACUUGCUUAUUGCUCACUUCUUCCUCUGCCAUUUUCUGAAAUUCUCUCCCCAAGAAGAGAACAACCCUUUUCUUCUCUGAGCUAAAUAUUGGUGGGUUUUUUUUAUCUCUUUGGAAAUGGAGACUGAAAUGUGCAAUGGGUCGGAGUUAAAAGCGGAUUCUUGCUUUUGUUUUGUUGUUUAACUUAUAGGUUUGAUUAUUUGGCAUUUUGUUUGUUUUAUCAUAAAUGAUAAAGCCAGCAUUGAUAUCUUGUACUUUAGCUAAAAUUACGCUUCCCUAUGAAACUUUGGUAGGUCAGGUAAAAUUGGAUUAUUGGCCAGCUGAUUUUGCAAUAUGAGGCAGAGGUGCAAAAGAGAUGAAUUACCAAAUAGGAGUGGAAAGAAGAAGUUUUGCAUGACUUUCUGAAGCUUGGAUUGUGGGAUAUUUUGUUGGGUAAAAAGCAAAGAAUUGGUAAAUAUUGUGACUAGAAUUGGCUUCAAAUCGUGAUAGAAAUCACUUUUCUUUAGGCUUUAUUUGUCCGAUAUAAAGUGCAAUAACCUUGGACAAAUAUCCUUUAGGAUAAGAUGAAGUUUUGUUUGUCUUAAACUCUUGCACAAAGCAAGACAAACCCUUUGUGAACUAAGGAGUGCUUUUGAGAGAGUAAGGAUAGUAGGAAAGUGAUUUUCUGCAGCAAAUCACUCUCUACUUGACCUCUUUAUAUAGGAAGAUUUGUUUGGGAAACAAAAGACCUCAUUAAACACUUGUAUGAAUAGAUUCAAAGUAUUGUGUAUGAAUAGAUUCAAAGUAUUGUGUACACAUUCAUGCACUUUAAUUCAUGCAUCUCAUGAUCAUUAGAUCAAAACAUGAAUCUAUCCUUUCAUUCAAUAAUUCACAUAUACAUGAAUACAUUCAUAAAUGAAUGUACAUUUUAGAAUCAUUCACAAUACUAUACAUGUACCAAAAAUUAAUGAAUAUACAUUAAUUACAUGUAUGUACAUCAUACAAAUUUUGAAAAGUUUCCAACAAUCCCCCGCCAUUUUCAAAAUUAGAAAAUGGAUUUCUAAAAGGUCACCAAGUAAUCUGACACUCAUAUGCAUAAAUAAUGGUGUCUUUCGAUUGAACCACUAUCUUAGUGAAGGUUCUUUGAAAUCAAUCCUUCAAGAUGGUAGACAAGCUUUGAACCACUUGGACAUUGGACCAACCUCAUAAACACAUCACACACUGAGCAACGCACAACCAUAAGUUCUUCAAUGAUACAUUUUACGGCCUUGUAUCACUAUCCUUUCAUGAAUGUUUACAAAGUAAAGUCCUUAACUUUGUGGUUUGCCGAAAACCAACAUUCAUAUAGGCGACAUCUUAGUGCCCCCACCAUAGAUAGCACUUUUAAGAUUCGUUAAGAGUCCAAUGACUCAUCCUUACAUUUGCACUGGCGAGAAUAACAUGCACUAUUCAACAUUGGGAUGUCUAAACUUCACAUAGUGCACCAACCACUAGAAUGGUGUACUUUCACUCAUUGAAUUCAAGACUAGACGUUGUAUCUAGCGUUGAAUUGAGGUUCCACCAUUAGUGAUCAAGAAUUUUGGACUUUAAACCCAUCCCCCUUGAUGUAUUUGACACCAAAUUUCUUGAUAACCCUUUUGUCAAAGGAUCACUCAAAUUUUCAUUUGAUCUCACAAAGUCAAUUGAUAUGACUCCAUUUGUAAUCAAAUCUUUGACAUAACUAUGUCUCAAACCGAUAUGUCUUGAUUUACCAUUAUACACUUGACUAUAAGCUUUAGCAAGUGUAGCUGCACUAUCACAAUGAAUUGAGAUAGGCGACAAAGGUGUUGGCCACAAUGGUAUAUCACAAAGUAAAUUACGUAGCCAUUCAGCUUCUUUACAGGCCGAAGCAAGUGCUACAAACUCUGCUGCCAUUGUUGAAUCGGUGAUACAAGUCUGUUUCUUAGAACCCCAAGAAAUUGCACCUCCACCAAGCAUAAAGAUCCAACCACUUGUCGACGAGUGAUCAUCUUUAUUGGUGAUCCAACUAGCAUCUGAAAAUCCUUCUAGAACUGAAGGAUAACCGGUAUAACAUAUACCAUAGUCCUUAGUGGCUUUUAAAUACUUUAAAAUUCUGGUUACACCUUGCCAAUGUAACCUACUAGGGUUGCUUGUAUAUCUGCUCAAUAUACCAACUGCAUAUGCAAUAUCAGGUCUAGUACAAGUCAUUGCAUACAUUAAACACCCUAUAAUCUUGGCAUAUUCCAUUUGAGAUUUUGGAUCCCCCUCAUUUUUCACAAAAUUUAUUUUGGGAUCCAAUGGUGUUGAGGCUGGAAUACAAUCACUUUGAUUGAAUUUGUUAAGAAUCUUUUCAAUAUAAUGUGUUUGAGACAACAUUAUAUUGUUAUCAUGUUUGAAGAUUCUCAUACCAAGAAUGACAUCUGCCUCACCCAUGUCUUUCAUGUCAAAUUUGCUUGAAAGCAAAGUUUUUGUGACUUCAACUUGUUCCAAGUCAGUCCCAAAAAUCAACAUGUCAUCAACAUAUAAACAAAUUAUGACACCUUUGCCAUCAUCAAACUUGCUAUAAAUACAUUUAUCAGAUUCAUUUAUUUUGAACCCACUAGCAAGAAUAACUUGGUCAAAUUUCUGAUGCCAUUGUUUCGGUGCUUGUUUUAGUCCAUAUAAAGACUUGACAAGUUUACACACCUUAUGCUGUUGACCAGGUAUCACAAACCCUUCGGGUUGCUCCAUAUAUACUUCUUCAUCCAAAUCACCAUUCAAGAAUGCUGUUUUAACAUCCAUUUGGUGAAUGACUAGAUUUUGGAUAGAAGCUAUAGCAAGUAGCACUCUAAUUGUAGCAAUUCUAGCUACUGGUGAAUAUGUGUCAAAAUAGUCCACACCAUACUUUUGUGUGAACCCUUUGGCAACCAACCUGGCCUUGAACUUAUCAAUAGUUCCGUCGAUCUUCAUUUUCUUCUUGAAGAUCCACUUACAACCAAUUGGUUUUGAACCAGGUGGUAAGUCUACUAAUUUCCAGGUUUUAUUACCCAUGAUUGAGUCCAUCUCAUCAUUAAUAGCUUCCUUCCAAAAGGGAGCAUCUUGUGAGUUCAUUGCUUCUUCAUAGGUCUUGGGAUCAGCCCCAAUAUUGAAGCAAUAUGAGAUUUGGUUGCUCACUGUAUCUCUAGUUCCUUCAACUAGAUACAUAUAAAAGUCCGAACCGAAGUCUUUUGACUUUCUAGCUCUUUUGCUCCUUCUCAAUUCAAUGGUUUCAUAUACACCAUCUUUUGUCAAUUCACUUGAUUUUGGAAUAACAUCUUUUAUAGAGGUGAACCUAUUCUCUUCAAAAAUAGCAUCUCUAGACUCAAUUAUGGUAUUAACCGAAAUUGAAUCAUUAGGUUCAAUUACCAUGAAUCUAUAUGCUUUGCUAUUUUGUGCAUAUCCUAAGAAUAUACACUCCACACCUCUUUCUCCCAAUUUCCUUUUUUGAGAUUCUGGGAGUUUUACAACAGCUCUACAACCCCAAACUUUCAAAUAGUUUAGGUUGGGCUUCCUUUUAUUCCAAAAUUCAUAAGGGGUUAUAGAACUCCUUUUAUUAGGAACUCUAUUUAGGAUAUGACAAGCCGUUAACAAGGCUUCACCCCAAAAUCCUUGACUUAAACCAGAUUUUGACAAAAGUGCAUUAACCAUUUCUGUCAAUACACGAUUUUUCCUUUCGGCUACACCAUUUUGUUGUGGUGUGUAAGGAGCAGUCACCUCAUGUUUUAUCCCAACAGACUCAAAAUAGGUAAUAUCAUAAUAUUCCCCACCUCUAUCUGUCCUUAGACAUUUGAUAAAGGAUUCACAAUGAAGUUCAACUUCUGAUUUGUAUGCCUUAAAUUUUUGCAAAGCUUCACCUUUUGAGUGUAACAAGAAAACAUGACAGUAUCUACUAUAAUCAUCAAUAAAAGUCACAAAGUACUUUUUACCACCCAAAGUAGGAGUUCCAUGCAAAUCACAUACAUCACUAUGAAUGAGAUCCAAGAUUUUAGAUGAUCUUUCAACUUUAGGAAACGAAUUUCUUGUGAUUUUCGUUAGCAUGCAUGUAUUGCAUUUUCCUUCAAUCUUAUCACAAUAUGGCAGCAAAUCAAGUCUCAUCAUUUCAUGCAUUCUUUUGUAAUUAACAUGACCAAUCCUAUUAUGCCACAAUUCAAAAGAAGACUCAACCAAGUACGCAGAAAUAAUAUCACUCUUAUUAUUUCUAAUAGCAAGUACAUUCAACUUAAACAUCCCAUUGCAAAGAUAACCCUUGCCUACAAACAUACCACCUUUAGACAAAAUAAAUUUGUCAGACUCAAACACAAGUCUAAAGCCAAAUUUAUUUAACAGCCCAGCUGACACCAAGUUCUUCCUAACUUCCGGUACAUAAAACACAUUUGUCAAGGUUACAACAUUUCCGGAAGUAAAUUUUAAUUCUACUUCUCCAAUGCCUUGAACCGGAAUUGUAGCAGAAUUUCCCAUGUAAACAACGGUGCUUUCAUCCACCGGUUUCAUGGACUUGAAGAACGUUCUAUUGUUGCACACGUGUCGCGUAGCUCCAGAAUCAACCCACCAAGCAAAAUCAUCUUCAAUCAUAUUGAUUUCAGAUAUCAUUGCUACAAGAUUUUUGCUUGUGUUUUGGGAAGACUCUUGCUUCUUCUUCUUGUUUUGAAGAAUCUUGCACUCGGACUUGUAGUGUCCCUCUUUCUUGCAAUAGAAGCACUGUCCCUUCUUUCUUUUCUUGGAUUGAUUCUUGGGUUGUUGGCCCUUCUUGCUUCCUUGAGACUUUUCAGUUUGCCUCUCUUCAAUCACAUGCACUUUUGAAGUAGAAUCUUUGUUCUCUUCAAGGAUUUGACUAUCCUUCUUUUCUUGCAUGCGAAUUUCCUCUUCUACUCGAAGAGAUUUAGCAAGAAUCUCAAGAGAGAUAUCCUCUUUCUUAUGUUUGAGAUCUCUUUUGAAAUCUUUCCAAGAAGGUGGUAACUUAUCUAUUAUAGAGCAAACAAUAAUGGCUUCAUCCAUGUGUAGAUUGUGUUGUGUGAAGUGAUUAAGAAGCCUUUCAAUCUCACUAAAUUGCUCCAUAACAGACUUAUUAUCUACCAUUUUAUAAUUAUUAAAAGACGAGACAAGAAACUUCUUACUUGUAGCAUCUUCUUGCAUGUACUUGGACUCCAAUCGAUCCCAAAGUUCCUUGGCGGUAGCAAUUGAAUGGUAGACAUCGAACAGGUUGUCACUCAUGGUAUUGAGGAUGUGACCACGGCAUAUUUCAUCGUCGUUCUCCCAUUUCUGACGGUUUCGGAUGUCUUCAAGAGUUUCUUCAUCGGGAUUGAUCAAUGGUUUUGGUGUGGUCAAAACAUAGACCACUUUGAGUGCAGUGAGAAGGAAACGAACACGUUUUUGCCAACGAAUGAAAUUCCCUCCAUCAAACCUCUCGAGCUUGACAAUAUUGGAUGCCAAAUCUUUCAAGGUACCAGCCAUUGUAGAGUAUAAAUAAAGCCUAAAGAUUGUUGGGUAAAAAGCAAAGAAUUGGCAAAUAUUGUGACUAGAAUUGGCUUCAAAUCGUGAUAGAAAUCACUUUCCUUUAGGCUUUAUUUGUCCGAUAUAAAGUGCAAUAACCUUGGACAAAUAUCCUUUAGGAUAAGAUGAAGUUUUGUUUGUCUUAAACUCUUGCACAAAGCAAGACAAACCCUUUGUGAACUAAGGAGUGCUUUUGAGAGAGUAAUGAUAGUAGGAAAGUGAUUUUCUGCAGCAAAUCACUCUCUACUUGACCUCUUUAUAUAGGAAGAUUUGUUUGGAAAACAAAAGACCUCAUUAAACACUUGUAUGAAUAGAUUCAAAGUAUUGUGUAUGAAUAGAUUCAAAGUAUUGUGUACACAUUCAUGCACUUUAAUUCAUGCAUCUCAUGAUCAUUAGAUCAAAACAUGAAUCUAUCCUUUCAUUCAAUAAUUCACAUAUACAUGAAUACAUUCAUAAAUGAAUGUACAUUUUAGAAUCAUUCACAAUACUAUACAUGUACCAAAAAUUAAUGAAUAUACAUUAAUUACAUGUAUGUACAUCAUACAAAUUUUGAAAAGUUUCCAACAUAUUUAUGGGCCAUUUCUGAAGUUUUAAAGUGAUCUUUAGGCAAUGGACAUAGAGGGAUCUAAUGCAGUUAGGUUGUGUGUGGUUUGAUCCGAUUAUAGACAGUAUUUUUUUACAUUAUUUAAAAGAUUUCUUCUAUGAAUUAAACUUUUCGCCCCCACAAAAAUGUUCAAAAAACUUUUGUCUUAAACUUCAAAGUUCUCAUGUGCAUGAAAUUGAAAGGUGCCCCUCUUAAAGCAAAAUUUUCAAUUCCAUCUACUGUGUAUAUCAUAUCAUGAUAGACAAAAAUAAGAAAAAGAUAGGGGAAAACAAUAAUCAAAAGAAAGGGAAACAUGACCAAGAUAUAAUAUGUAACAUUCAAGAAACACCAAUAUAGGAUACAAAUUCAAGAAGAACUAAUAUAGAAUACAAAAUAAGGAAAAGGAAAUGAGAAAGUACUAUUAAAGAAGUAAGAAACGAAAAACAAAGAAUCCCAAGAAGAGAAGAGAGGCAGAUAGAAGCAGCAACACUUGCACCAGGAAUCCAACUGACCGGCAUCAAGAGAGGUCCAAGAGACAAAAUACAACA
rnacentral:lncRNA from 1 species